GUUGACUCUUCCUUAAGAAUUGGAAGAAACUGAGAGGACUAGCUAGUGGCAGCACUGAACCUGAUUAUAUACGAUGAUUAUGUAUAGACUUGUGAUAUGUAUGGAUUAAUUAACACUGAAAAGGAAGAGAAGAGAACCUUAGGAAAUGAUUAAGAAAGGGUGAGGGAGAAUUUAUAUCUUAACUUGAAUAUUUAGGGUAGCUAAUUAAUUAUAAUUAGUAUUUAGCAAACUAAGCAGAAGAGAGUUGUGGUAGGUAAAAAUAAGGCCCCUACCUCAUUGUAAUGUUCUCUUUUAUCGAACAAUGCAGUGUUUUAUGUUCAUAUCGUCAGCUGAUAUAUAAUGGUUGCUUGAUGUACGAUUUUAUGAUCAACUCAUGAAUCGUCAUCAAGCAACUUGUAAGCUUGUUUGAUACUGGGUUUAAUUACUACUCAUAUUUAUCUUCAAAAUAUUUUAAAUUAUUGUUUUUUUAAUAAUUUUGAUAAUAUCAAAAAUUAAAAAAAUAUUUUAAUACAUUAAGACUUGAAAUUUUCAUGUACGAGAAAGUGGGAAAGAGUGCUAUGAUUUGUUAAUGAAUCCAAGAAACAUUUAUCUUUUUUUUUUAAGUAAAAAGACAAAAGUAAACUAGCGACAUUUGAAGAGUUGUAAUAUGUAAUAUGUAACAUGAGAUUAUAACAAUAGUUAUCAUAUUUUUUAACUGGUGAAGCACUCUUUGGGACAAAAAUUUAAUUUUUUUUUUUUGCUAAAAAAUAUUUUUUUAUAUGUUUUGCAUUGUUUUGAUGCGCUGAUCUCAAAAAUAAUUUUUAAAAAAUAAAAAAACAUCACUUUAAUACAUUUCGGCACAAAAAGUAUUUUUAAAAAUAACCGUAACCACAUUUUCAAACAAACACUAAGAAAAUUGUUUAUCUGAACUACAAAUAACAUGGUGAGUAAAUAACUUACUUAAAUUAUAAAUAUAAGUAAAAAAACAAAUUAAUUUUUUAUUUUAAUUAUAAAAAAUAAUAACUAAAUUAAACUUGGUUAACCGGGUGAGAUGAACUAAGUAAUUUAAUAAAAUUUUCAAAAAAAUUAAACUUAGUUAAUCUAGUAAGUUAAUUUCAUGGUUUAAUUAAUCUAGACACAUUAACAUCAAAGAUUUAAAAAAAAAGACAAGAAGAAAACAAAGUUAUUUUGAUAAAAAAAAUAAUAAUUGAAAUGAAUUCACUAACAAUUUGAGUUGGUGAUUCAAUGAAAUAUAAUUUAAACUUUAAGAGAAUUUAGUUUAUUAGCAAAUAGGUCCAUGGGCCUUGAAACAGGCCUAGCAUGGGAUCUAUUUUAUUAAGAAACUCUCCUAAGCUUGAAACUCAUUUCGAAAUUUUAGAAUAAAGCCCAUUCUUGGCCUGGACUUCCCUUGUUGGUAUUAAAAGUUGAUCGAAAAGAUUUUAUUUGAUGUGUGAUUUAUAUAUAUAUUUUAUAUUUGAUAUAUAUAUAUAUAUAUAUAUAUAUUUGAAUUUUGGAUUACAUAUUUUUUCUUUUUAUAUAUGGGGGAGGGGCCAUGUUGACAUAAGAGAAAAUGUUGUAAAGAUAGGUUUACAAAAACACAAAUAAAAACCCUUUCAAUUUCUUAAAAUUAAGCACAAAAGUUAAUUCUUCUCAAAUUCUCCAAUCCACUCAUGCAAAUCAAAGCCUGAUUUUUUUUUAUUAUUCUAAAAGUGGUAAAACAUAUUUUUAUAUAUAUAAAAAUUCCGAAAUAAUUCUUUUGCUGAUAACCAAAUCAUUUAACAUCAAACUGAAAAAAUCAUAAUAAUUUUUUUUUCAUAAUCUUUCCUUAGCUUCUAACUUAAAUUACUUUGUUACCUCAAUCACUAUAGUUAAAACAUUUCAUUAAAUUUUCAAAAUAGGAUUGUCCUCAAUCCUCGUCUAACCCAACAAACUCGAGACAACGUCUAGGUUAUGAGCUUGAAGGGUCAACUUAUUUUUUUUUUAAAUAUCAAAACAAUAAUAUUUUGAUAAAAAAAAAUAAAAAUUUCCCAUAAAAAGUCAACAUAUUAAUUACUGAGUUUUGACUGGAUCAAACCCGGAUUAGUCAGGUCAACUAAAAUUUCUAACCAAGUUAGUUGGAUAUAUAUAUUUUUUUUUUCUCAAGUCUCAAAUUAAUGAGGUCCUAAAUUAAUUUAUUCAACUAGUUGGAGUUUUACAACUACGCUCACAACCCCUUUGAGACAUAUGUUCGAAGCCCAUCAUAGAACAUAACCGAGGCCAUUCAACCUCUUUGAGAAAUAUGCUCGAAGCCCAUCAUAGAACAUAAACGAGGCCAUUCCUCUACAGGUGCAAGGUAAUCCAAUUCUCGAACGGUGAACAUACCAUGAAGCAUCCAAACAACCCCAAAACCAAAUCUCCAAAAUCCUGCAAAACUUCUCUAAAACCCUUUUGCAAACUCUCUCCCUCCCUAUCUCUCACAAAUGGCCUUGCUCCAAACCCACUCACUUCACAUAAGAACCCUACCAUCGACCUUCAAAUCACAUUCUUUCCUACCUCUUUUUUCAUCUCCUCAGUCGUCUUUCAAAACCCAUCAAGAAAGCUCUCUUUUUUCUAUCACUAGAACACCCAAGAAGAGACCUUUUUCACUCUCUACACAACAAAGAAGACUUCUCUGCAGACCCCCUCAAGGAAAGUACAUUAGAGAAGACUAUCUUGUGGUAUAUACCCUUUAAUUUUUCUUGUUCUUCUUUUUUCCUUUCUAUAAUCUCAUGUUGUCUUUGUUUUGUGUUGUUGGCUUGUAUUCUGCUUGGUUUCUGAGAAAUGUAGGGAAAAAGAAAAGUAAUUCCAUGAAUUCUGUUUUUUUUUUUUUUUUGAAUAUUGAGACUUGGCUUUAAUUGUGUUAUACCAACAUUUGGCAAAGUGGUAAACAGAAAUAAAGAGAGAAUUGGAGAUGCUAGUUUUUUUGAGUGGCUUUGUUUGCUUGUGGGAUGUUGUUGAAUUUUGUAAAUAUGAUGUGCCUGUUGUUUAAUUGUUGGCGUGACAGAAAAAGUUGUCAGCUGAGGAGAUACAGGAGCUAGUAAAGGGAGAAAGAAACGUGCCCCUUGUUAUUGAUUUCUAUGCAACAUGGUGUGGACCCUGUGUUUUGAUGGCCCAAGAACUUGAAAUGGUAUGCCCCAAUUCUUUAUUUUGAUGAGUUGGAUGCUUUCUAUUCUCAGUUAUCUUGCAAUUUCGUGCAUUUCUUUUUGUACCCAAUAGGAAUAGAUAUGGUUCUGGAAUAGGUUUUCCAUUUGUCAAGAUGCGAAUUUAUAGGUAAUGUCUCGCAAGUCCUAUGAUAACGGCAAGCCCAAUUAGCUUGAUAAUGAGGCUUGGUUAAGUUGAGUUUAGUUUUGUAAUGCAUGUAUAGAGUUAGGAAGUGCCUUCAAAGCCACCAAAGGUACAAACUCUUAAUGGUGGAUCAUGUGUCCUACCAUCCGGUCAAAUUUAAUGGACCAUGACAGGAUAUCAUUCUGUUUUUGGCUGGAUUUCUAUGAAAUUCUGUCAUGGUCCAGUAAAAUUUGACUGGGUGCUACGACACAUUCAGUCAAGCAAAGGCAAAGCCUCUACGUAUUUUAGAAAGGGACUGAAGAAAGUGCGUGUAGAGUUAUAGAGCACAUGCAGUGAUCACUCAUAAGUUUUCUUGUUAACAGUCCAAAUGGCAUGGUGUUCCUUGUCAGGUGCCAUUUAGAAUUCUCAAAAAAGGUUUGGAUUGCUUGAUUCUCUGAUAGAAGAGAUUGGAUGGAGCAUGUCAGAUUUGAUGUGGAUAUUUGAUUCGAAUAUUGCAGACUUAAAUUUACAUGGUGCUUAAUUUGCAUACAACUAAUGAGUUGGCUAGGAAGGUGCUCACAAGAUUUGCCACCACAUACUUAAAUCUGGAGGGCAUGUUGAAGAAAGGAUUUUAAUCAAUUUCUUGAUCAUAAGAAUGGGUUAGAAGUUUACUUGCCAGGGAUACAAAGGCAAGAAUGCAUUGGACAGUUUCAGGAAAUCAAAUUUUUGGAAAUCCAUUAACUUUUAUUUAUGGUGUGUGACUACACUUGUUAAGGCUUCAAGAUUCUCCUUUUCACUUUCUUUUGAAGUUUUAUCAAGCCGAUUCACACACUUUAAGCAAAAUUCCAUAAACAUCCAAACCUUUUAAUUCCUCAAGGCUGUCUUUUGCACUUUCUUGCACAUUAUCUAAUUGCAUACAACUUGCAAACAUCAGUCGAAGAUAAAUCAUUUCCAACAUGUAGUUCAGGAUAAGGAAAAUGACCUCAAAUCUUGUUAGAAAUCAAACUCUACAGUAAAGACUAGUAGUGGAGAGUAGUAGAUCAUGCAGUGUAACCAUUGCUAUUUGAGUAAUGAAUGUAAUACAACACCUCUUACCAAAUAACUAUAUUUAAUAUCAGCUUAACGAAAUGGAAUCAUAUCUCCCACACAGUCUGCUUUGCAGCUGAGUCUGAUUGAUGCAAAAGUAGAUCAGCAGAUGAUGUUCAUGUUGUCUGUUGUUCCGUGCAGCCUUUCUCUCACCGAGAACAUGACGUUUAAUUGUUUGCUCCUUUCUCGAAGCGAUGCUUGUGGAUAGCAGCACAAACUUUUUCUAUGGUUGUUAAAAUUGUUAAAUCCAUCGAAAGGUUUUCAUCCUCCAAAAACUAAACUAAUUAUCAGUGCCAGACGUGGUGUUCUUUUUACAUGUAUAUUUCCAUCCAAGUCAAACGGAGCUGCUUUAUAUAUGGAUUUCACUUGAUUAAUGUAAUUUAUGGAAAUGACAGAGGUGUGACACUAUUUUUAAUCAAUUGCUUUCACCUUUGCAGCUAGCUGUGGAAUACGAGAGCAAUGUGAUGAUUGUUAAGGUUGAUACAGAUGAUGAAUAUGAAUUUGCACAAGACAUGCAGGUACUUUUCAACAUCAUUUUCAUUUUCUUUUCUUUUUUUUAUAUAAGAAAAAAACCUGUAACACUCUGUUGCAUGCACAUUUUCUAGAUGUGUGAAUUCAUGUGAUCUUGUUAAAUUUUAACACCACCCUUUUCUUUGUGAUGUUUGGAAAUAACAUUUCUACUGCAAUCAUGAAACCACAACUUAAUCUUCUAGAGACUUGGUUUGUGCUCAGGUUCGAGGUUUGCCGACCUUGUUUUUCAUUAGUCCAGAUGCGAAUAAGGACGCGAUACGGACUGAAGGGCUCAUCCCAUUACAGAUGAUGCGGGAUAUCAUUAACAAUGAAAUGUGAAGAAGAGAGGCACUGAAUUGCCACAGAAACCCGUGAUUUUUGUUGUUGGUGUUAGUUUACCUUAUCCGAAUCAACUGCUUGUUACUUGUGCUGUAUGUAAUUUAUUUUAUAUUUGUUGUUUGAUUUUGUAGAGAUCUUUUUGCGCUAAAUGAGAUUCCCUGGAUAGCGAGGAUGUAUUUUUUUAAUAUAUGUGCAAGUUUUUCGCUUUGCUGCAUGGUGCCUCUCAUUGUUUUUUACUCUUCCUUUUCCAUAAACAACUUUUCCCAGAGAAAUUGUAGUUGAUUGUGACUUGUGAUGAUUUUUUUCGGACAAACUUGAAAAGCACUCCCAAUUAUAGGUAGUCUCAAUUUUUCAAUCAAACAAUUUUUUUUGUAUCAAUUUUACUCGAUUUUUUUUUAAAAAAAAAUUCUCAAUCAAGGCUUUUCAUUCAAAUUGUACUUUUUUAUAAAUAAAAAAUAACUUCAUUUUAUAGGAAAUUUAAAUUUUUUUGUUUAGUGAUUUUAAAAAUAAAAAAGAAAAAUAACAAGAUUAAUUCAAACAACAUCUUUAAGGAUACUUUUGUUUUAAUUAAAAAAUAAAUGGCAUGCAAUAAUAGAGAUGAUAAUUAAAACAUCAUAUAUAUAUAUAUAUAGUCAGAGAAUGUCAAUAAAAAUGAUCUAUUUUGUACUAUUUGAAGCUGAAUGAAAUUUGUUAAAUUGUUUGGAUAUUGGUGGACAAGGACACACUAACAAACUCUUUCCUUUUUUUCAACAAACGCUCUUUAAAAAUUUAUAUACACAACAGAAGAAUCAUUUUCUACUUAAAUACAUAUAUUUUUUGUUUAUGUUUUGAUAUAUUGUUUAUGCUUAAUUUUCCUUAUAAAAACUGGAGACAUUGAGCAAAGAGCCUGCACAGCAAAAAAAGCCAAGGUGGGCAAGAAGAAAAUGGCAUCCAUUCUAGCUAUUGGCACUGCAAAUCCACCCAACUGUUUCGACCAGGCUGACUAUCCAGACUUCUACUUCCGAGUCACUAAAAGCGAGCACAUGACACAGUUAAAGGACAAGUUCAAGAGAAUAUGUAAGCAAUACACAUGCAUGCGCAUGAUUUCUCAUCUUCGGAUGGGUUUUGAUCAUUCUUUCCAUUGCCAAUCACACUGCUUAAUUUCACGAAGGGAAGAAGAGAGCUGGAGAGUACUGUACGUAGAGCCAGUACACCAUGCAUGCAUGUCUUUCUGCCAUUAAUUAUACAUGAUAGCUCUGCUUAAUUACACAUGAUUUGAUUUGAUUUGAGGAUGCAACUUAAAAUUCAUAUAAUGGGAUCGAAGCCCAUUUCAUCUCCUAUUGGAAAAAAAGCACUUUGUCUAUCAUAUUCAUAUCUGUGUUUUUUAAGGUACCGGGGCAUUGCGGUGAGAAUUUUGAAUUUUUUUUAAGAGUUUUAAAUUAAUAAUCUUUAGUGUUUUUUUAUUGUUUUAAUGUAUUGAUAUUAAAAAUUAAAAAAAUAUUAUUUUAAUAUAUUUUCAAAAUAAAAACACAAUAUUAAUUAACAAUAAUAUCAUGCUUCUAAGUGAAAGUAAAGAAAAGCUUCAAGAAAGAAAGAAAGAAAGAGUUCGGUGUAUUUGCCUAAAUCCUAUGAUCAUAUGUUUUCAUUUUUCUUGGCUGAUGCGCAGGUGAAAAAUCCAAAAUAAGGAAACGUUACAUGUAUAUCACCGAAGAUACUAUCAAGAAGAACCCAAGCUUAAGCACCUACGAUGCCGCGUCCCUCGAUGCGCGUCAAGAAAUUCUGGUCACUGAGGUACCCAAGCUCGGCAAGGAAGCAGCAUUGAAGGCCAUUGAAGAAUGGGGCCAGCCCAAAUCAAAGAUCACCCACCUUAUAUUUUGCACUUCUUCAGGUACCCAUAUGCCAGGUGCAGAUCAUGAGCUUACUAAGCUCCUUGGCCUUGAACGUUCUGUCAAGAGAUUCAUGAUGUAUCAACAAGGCUGCUUCACAGCAGCCCUAGCCCUCCGCCUUUCCAAAGACCUUGCUGAGAAUAAUCCCGGGGCACGUGUUCUCAUCGUGUGUUCUGAGAACAUGACUGUUUGUUUCCGAGCACCAUCUGAGACUCACUUGGAUAUUCUUGUAGGCUCUGCGAUUUUCUCUGACGGUGCUGCUGCUAUCAUUGUUGGGGCUGAUCCUGACACAGCUACCGAGCGCCCAUUAUUUCAACUUGUGUCAGCCGAGCAGUGUAUUGUUCCUGACUCGGAUGAUGGAAUAGUUGGUCACAUACGUGAAAUGGGGAUUUCCUAUUACUUGCAUAAAAUGGUGCCCAAAAUCGUUGCGGAAGGCGCUGCGCAAUGCUUGGUGGAGACAUUCAAUGCUCGAUAUGGGAUCAAGGACUGGAAUUCUCUGUUUUACGUUGUCCAUCCUGGAGGUACAGGCGUUUUGAACAAGUUUGAAGAGCACAUUGGCUUGACGAAAGAUAAAUUGAGAGCAUCUCGGCAUGUGCUAUCUGAGUAUGGAAACAUGUGGGGUCCAAGUAUGUUCUUCGUUCUUGAUGAGAUGAGGAGAAGAUCAGCCAAGGAAGGGAAAGCCACCACUGGAGAAGGAUUGGAUCUAGGUGUGCUGUUCGGGUUCGGCCCUGGCGUAACUAUCGAGACCAUAGUGCUCCGUAGUUUCGCUACGGAUUGAAUGACUACUUCGGCAGCGGACUCGUCAAGAUUACUGGAAGGAUCAUGCAUGGUUAAUUAAGGUAACUCUGUGUCAGUGUUUGUUCUUUUGUUUUUCAGAUUUGAUGAUUCAAUAAAGCAUCUGUGCGGAGGAUCCGGCUCCUGUGAUAGGAUCGGACUUCUCUCACGAAGACGUUCCUGUUGUUGUUGUUUUAGCACUUGUUGUUUUUGAAAUUGAAUAAGAUUUAAUUAUUAUGUUAUUAGAAGAGGUGGGAUGCAUCCCACUGAGUUUUCACUUGAAUUUAUUAAUUUGAUUCAUGUUUUAAUUACAAUGCCUUUGGAAAAUCUCUGAAAGCCUUGCAGUGGAUUCUUGGGAACAUUUCUUUCCGAAUCGGCUCCCUUUGGGAUCCUUUUUUACAGAAAAACUAGGACUGCCUCAAGUGGAUUACCCUGCUAUUUCACUACAAUAUUUAACAGUUUUACCGAUAGAAUUUUUCUGUCGGCGUAAAACACAUAUUCCAUCAGUAAUUAAUUUACUAACAAAAUUACCGACAGAAUUUAUUCCGUCGGUAAUUCCGUUGGUAAAAAUAGCACGUCAUCAUUUUUUUUUUGUUUUAAUUUUUUUUCCACGGUAAUUCUCUCGGUAUAUACCGAGGGAAUAUUUCCGUCGGUAAAAUCCCUCGAAAAUUUACCGAUAAUAUUUUCGUUUGUAUUUAUCGAUUUUUCUGGUAGUGUUUAUCAUUCUGAACUUCAAUUGUUUUUUGAGAGACCCUAGACUUCCUUUCCAAUUCUUUCACAGAAAAUUAACAGUGCUUAGAACAUAUAUAUCACUGGAAAUAAUGAAAGAAAUCCAACUAAAACUUCUAUCUGCAAUAUUCUAGCAAUAUUUUUGCACUUCAAUAAAAAUAAAUUCAGAAUAUUGUUGAACACACAAUUACAAGAAAUUUUAUAAUACUUAAAAAGUAACCAAUGAUAUCACAUUAGUUAUUUCAUAAAACAUACUUUAAUAAAUAAAUAAAUAUAAGUAGGAGAGAAAUAUUAGUUGAUGGUAAUUUCUUUUGUUGAUUACUUUAAAAGAGCAUGAUCCUUAACUAGCAGUUUACUAGGCAAUAAUAAUUUAAAUAUGAUAAAUUGGCAAUAUUUGCCAAGAUGGACCUUGUUUUUUAAUAGUAAAACUAUUAUUACUAGCUUUUUUUUUUUUUACUAGGGCUAUAGACUCAUCAUAAAAUUAUUAUUCUACCUUUAUAACAAAAAUAAUUGCCUUGGUAACGGGGUAUUGUGAUAUUAUUUUUUUAUUUCUUGCAUAAUAAAAUAACUAUUAUUCCCUUACAGACAUAAAAUAAUGAACUAGAGGUUUGGGGCUUUUUUUACUUUCUUAUUUUUAAAGUAUGGUAAAAUGAUCAUGUUGUUCUUGAAUUCAAAUUGUUUUUAACUCAGGUAAAAGAGGCUUUUGGUCUUUUCUUUAUUUAUUUUAUAUUAUCUACUUUGAUUGAUAGCAAUUUAGUAUUUUAAUAUAUAUAAAAUAUUAUUUAAUUUUAAAAAAUGGGUUGCACUUGCAAAGCACCUGGAAGUAUGUGGGUAUACCCGUGUUAUUUGGGUGGCACGCACGCCAUUAUUUAGUGGCCAAAUUCCAGCAUCCAUUACGGUGUUUUAAUCCUCAAGAUGGCUCCGCCGUUCCUGGCAGGCUCAUGCUACCAAAAUAUCUUGGGUUUUGUGACGAUAAUUUUUUUUUUUCUUUAAUUUUAAUAAUUUUUUUAUAUAUUUUUAAAAUAACCUUUUCAUUUAUUUUUCUUUUAAAUUUUAUGCAUGUUUUUUUUAUUGCUACUUAUUUUAUUUAGAUAAUCAUCUCGAUUAAUUUGAUAAUUUAUUUUUUUAUUAUUAUUUUUAUUAAAAUAUUUUUUUUAUCCCUCGACAUUUUACUUUUUUAUUCUAUCUUUUUACAUGGUUAUCUUGAUCUUAUGUGUCAAGUCAUAAGUUUCGUAUUUUAACCUAACUUGACCUGAGUUAAUUUUUUUAGUUUAUCUGUUAUUAUUUUUUAUUUUUUUAUUAUAUUAUUAAAUUAAUUGAGAUUAUUAAAUUUAAUCAAGUAAAUAACCUAAUUUCUCCUACUUGAAAAAUAUAUUCGUUGUCUAAGUAUUUUAUUUUUUUGUUAAAAAAAAUAUGCGGACCACAGUAUAGCAAGUACUGUUAGUUUGUUGACGGAAGGAGGAAAUGGAAAGUAAUAUACCCUAAAAAGUUUGGUCCGGCACGUGUUAUAGUGCAGGCCAUCAAUCUAACAAGUAGAGGUGAUUAUUUUCACUUUAAUUCAGUUCUUAUAAAAAAAAAAAACCAAACUAGUUUUUUUUAUUUAAUAAUUGAAGUCAACCCACAAGGUGGUGGAGUUCAGUGCCUGUAGCUGUUGCCUUUUCUACUAAACCAAACGCAGCAAAGAUUAAAGAAUCAUUGAUGCAGACAAAGACAACAGAUCUCACCUUAAGAAAGCAAGUGAAACAAGGUAAUGCCUACACCUGCCUACUUUCUUUUCUUGUUCAGGGGAUGCUCUCUUUGCCUUGUAUGUUAACUUUUUUCUUCAAGGUAUUGCUGCGGGUUUAGAAUGUCAAAUAUUUGCUUUCAUUGUUAUAGUCUUGCAUGAUCUUUUCAUCUUGAUAGAAUAUAAGAAUGAACUCGCUACCAUUAGCUGUUGUUUCAAGUGCUAAGUGAUUUGCUUUUCAUUUUAUAAUCUUGGGGUUGAGGUGGGGGGAAGCCUUGGCAAGAAGGAAUUGAAUUGAGUACUGUGCGAGUUUAUUCUGUUAGUGUAAGCUCAACAUGGCGACGAACACAAGGAAUUCAAAUCCAAUGAUUAAUUCAUGGAUGAAUUAUAGAUAUGGUUAGUGUGCAAAUAAUGAAAAUCGCUUACAACUUAUUGGUUCAUUCAUGGUUUUGUCAGGCUCAUAAACUGCAAUUUAUUGGUUAUUUUAAAGGUUUGUGAUUAACUCUUGAUGUAAUCAAACUAUUAAUGAAUGUCAUGCUGAUUUAUUUAGCUUUACUUGAAUGGGAUUUUCCGUCUCCUUCAUUUUUUCUGACCAUCUUAUGCUUUCUUUUACAGGCUUUGUUGACACCUUCUGUUCUACAUUGAUCUUUAGUGCUUCCUCUUUCAUUGAAUUGUGAGAUUUUAGUUUUGUCCGAUGGCUGCUAUGAUAGACUGGAAAGCCUGCUCUUCAAUCCGUCCGCACGCUUAUGAUGUGUUCUUGAGUUUCAGAGGUGCAGAUACGCGCAAGAACUUUACUGGUCACCUCUAUAUGGCUUUGCAAGGGGCUGGAAUUCGUACAUUUAGAGAUGAAGAUGAAAUCGAGGGAGGAGAACAUAUUGGUUUUAAAAUAACAAAAGCAAUACAAGAGUCGAAAAUGUCACUAGUGGUGUUUUCAAGAGACUAUGCUUCUUCAAAAUGGUGUCUGGAAGAACUCUUGAUGAUUAUGAAACGUAGAGAAACUAUUGGCCACAUUGUUCUGCCAGUUUUUUAUGAAGUUGAUCCAGAUGAUGUCUCAAUGCAGACUGGUUUUUUUGCUGAGGCAUUUGCUAGCCAUGAAAAAAACUUCAUGGACAAUAGAGACAUGGAGGAAUGGAGGGAGGCUCUUAGAAAAGUUGCAGAUCUGAAAGGACCUGUUCUACGUGAUAGGUGAUUUUUCAAAACUUUUCUAGAAGAACUGUAACAGAAAGAAGAUUUAGUCAAGAAAAUUUCUAACUGUUUAAGGAACUCUGCAUCGCAAAUGCAUGAAAGGAAAAGGAUAUUGUAAAAUACCUACAGGCAAUUAAAGAACAAACAUAACUAUGUGUGCAAUUAUAUAAGGUUAUAGAAUGAUUUAUAAUUUAAUAUAAGCAAGUCUUAAAUUGUGUAAGUUCUGGUGUUUAUGCAUCAUAGUCUUGAAAUGAAUUUGACUGCUAAAGAGUUGAGUGGAUAAAGUCUGGAGGAUAUAUAAUAUACACAGUUUUGACGAAACCCCAGAAUACAUGCUGGUUUAUCUUCCCAAGUUGUUGGUAGUUCAGCUUGGUCAUCUCUUGUCUUCCACCUUCAGAAUUAAUGGUUGACAUGUUUAUGUCAUGCUAUGUAUUUUGUUCUUAUAUGAGCUAUGAGAGAACCAACAAACUAAUUUGUUUGUCUAAAUGCAGUGCUCUUCAACUUCUUAGCUACUAAUUCAAGGUAUUGUCGAUUGGGUUUGGUACUCUGGUUUUUCAUUUUGAAUUUAUUUUGUAGGUACGAGGCACAAUUUAUUCAAGAUAUUGUCAAAGAAGUUGGAAAGAAAUUGAACCGCAUGAUAUUGCAUGUUCCCCCAUAUUUAGUUGGAAUUGAGUCUCGUGUAAAAGAAAUUAGGUCAUGGUUACAUGAUGGGUCAGAUAAGGUUGGCAUAGCAAUACUCCAUGGGUUUGGUGGAGUUGGGAAGACAACCAUUGCUAAGACUGUUUUUAACCAGAACUUUCACGAAUUUGAUAGUUGGAGCUUUCUUAGAGAUGUCAGAGAAACUUCAAAUCAGCCAAAUGGCUUGGUUAAAUUACAAAGACGGCUUCUUUCAGAUAUCCUGAAGGGAGAACCACAGAAGAUAAACAAUGUAGAUGAAGGAAAUAUCAAGAUCCAAAAUGCUUUAGCGUAUAAAAGAGUUCUUGUUGUUCUUGAUGACGUGGAUCACUUGGACCAAUUAGAUAAAGUUAUUGGAGACCGGAAUCAGCUUUACCAGGGAAGUAAAAUCAUUGUAACUGCUAGACAUGGAUCCUUGCUAAAGUCUCAUGAAGCCUGUGAAAAGUUUGGAGUUGAUGCUCUUUGUUAUGAUGAAUCACUUCAGCUUUUCAGCUGGCAUGCCUUUGGACAAGAACUUCCUAAUGAAGGUUAUGAAGAGUUCUCUCAGAAAAUAGUGCAUCAUUGUGCUGGGAUUCCGCUAGUUCUUGAAGUUCUGGGUUCUUCUCUCUCUGGACAAAGUACAGAUUUUUGGAAAAGAGCAUCACAAGAACCUGAAGCCAUUGAUGGUGAUGGAAAAAUACAGAAGAUUCUUAAGAUAAGUUAUGACUCUCUACGGGAUGAACGUGACAAAAACUUAUUCCUUGACAUAGCUUGUUUCUUCAUUGGAAAUGACAAAGAUUACGUGAGAAGAAUCCUCGAGUGCUGUGAUUUCUAUAGAACACUUGGUAUUCAGAAACUCAUUGAUAGGUGUCUUAUAACAAUUGAUAAAGAUAAUAAAUUGAUGAUGCAUCAAUUGCUUAGAGACACGGGGAGAGAAAUUGUCCGUCAAGAAUCACCCGAUGACCUUGGGAAACGUACAAGACUAUGGCAUCAUGAUGAUGCACUUGACAUACUGGAAAAAAAUAUGGUAAGAAAAUUACUUUUCAUGUUUCCACGUAACAACAUUUGUGUAUGCAUUUUGCUUUUGAGAAAACAAUUUUUUUUAAAGCAGGGAACACAAAAAGUAAAGAGUCUCGUCCUUGAUCAGCAGCUGCUAAAUACAGAAAAUGAGGUGCACUUGGAAGCAGAAGCAUUUACUAAAAUGCGGAAUCUAAAAUUGCUACACCUCAAUAAUGUAACAGCUAUUAAAGAAAUGCAAGAAGGAAAGGAGAUAUUGACAGUGCUGGCAUGGAUUCUCUUUGAAUUGCUUACCGAAUGAUCUUUUCCUGAAGGAUCUGGUUGUUCUUGACCUGUGUAAUAGCAGUCUAAAACAAGUUUGGAACGGAAUCCGGGUAGGCAACUAGAUCCUUUUAGUCCUAGGCCUAGACAAUAAUUGAGGUCUUUAGAGAGAAUCAAGGGAUAUACAGCUAUGACAGAAAUUGAAUAAGCUUGAUCUCAGCCAUUCCCUUUGUCUUGUUACAACCCCUGACUUCUCAGGACUCCAAAGUCUUGAAAUAUUGUUACUUGAAGGGUGCAUAAGUUUGGUUGAGGUUCACUAUUCAAUUGGAAACCUUAAGAGGCUUGUUUUUAUAAAUCUCAAGGAUUGCAAAAAUCUUCGGAAGCUCCCAAGUGAAAUGAGUGAGUUGAAAUCACUUCAGGAACUUAAUUUGUCCGGUUGCUUCAAUCUUGAAGAGAUACCUGAGCAGGUGGGGAAGUUGAGUUCUGAAAUGGCGCUUCAUGCAGAUGGAAUGUCAAUAAAAACAUUGCUAGCUUUAGUUCGAAGCUUGUGGGCCUGGGAAUCAUCUAGAAAAAGCUUGUUAUCUGCCCCUUUUACUCUGUCGUUUUUACCAGACUCUCUGAUAAAGCUAACUGUCUCUGACUGCAAUCUGGAAGAUCUUGAUAUACUUGAUCUUAGCAGGCUGAGUUCUUUAGAAUAUUUAGAUCUUAGUGGAAACCCCAUUUGUAACCUGCCAGAUAGCAUGAACUGUCUCACUGCGCUCAAGUCCCUUCUGUUACAUCGGUGCCCAAGGCUCCAAUCACUUCCAGAGCUACCAGAAAGUUUAAUGAGAUUAAUAGCAAGCAAUUAUGGAUCUUCGGAAAGAAUUACUAAUCUCCAAAACUUGUUGGGACCAUUGGAAGUGGAUACUUUUAAUCAUCAUAAACUGAUUGAGGGUCAAGGUGUUUUCAAGUUGGAACUAGUAAGAAAUUUUGUUGUAGAGAUGAUCAAGAUGGUGCACUUGUUCAAUUUGGCAUCUGUAGGAAAUAUUGAAGUGACUAGGUCCAAUGUUGUGACAUCAACUCAGAGAAAGCUUUCAGUCCAGGUUCUUGUUAAUGUUUCAGCCUUUUCAUUUUCUGUUAUGUCUUUAUUAUGCAUCAUCAAAUUCUACAGGUGUAAGUGCAUGUGAUUUUGUAUUUAUACACAAUUCUGUUGUGUAUGCGCAUUGUUUUUUAUGUAGGUCUGUACUUUUUCAUGGUGCCUCUGUCCUUGUUCGUUUUUCAAAUUACAAUUCCUAUGCUGCAGGUAUUUCAUGACUCUGGCACAAGUAGCAUCUUUCUUCCAGGGAGCGAUGUUCCUGAUUGGUUUUAUGUUCGUACUGAGAGUUGUCAAACAACAUUUUAUUUGCCUCCAAGUUUUGGUUGCGAAAUCUGUGGCUUAAAUAUAUGUGUUGCAUAUGCAUGCAUUAACCCUGAAGUUGUUUUCAAUAAACCUUAUUAUGCCAAAAUUAGAAUCGAGACUAAGGAACUACUUUGGGAAUAUACGCCAGAAUUCUUUGGAUUUCCAGAAGCCAAUGAGGAUAUGUUGUGGUUAUGCCAUUGGAAGUUUAAGGAUUGGUUUAAAGAUGGAGAUGCAGUGCAGUUUUCAGUGGCUAUGGCUCCUUAUUUUCAGUCCUCUGUAUGAACAGCAAGAUGAUGAUGAUGAUGAUGAUGAUGAUGAUGAUGAUGAUGAUGUUGUUGAAUCAAACUCUGGAGAAAUAGUCCAGGGCACCUCUCGUCGGCGCAGAACUCUCACUGAUAGAGAUUUAAUAGCAUACAAGCGGGACGCAACAUAUGAUCUUCACCAUUAUGACACACUUAUAAAUAGUCUUAAGAAUCAAUCAGAACUCUGAAAGUGAAAAUAGAAACAGCUGACCUCCGAAACCGGGGCUAUGCAGAAAAGAAUUGAAGCAUUAGCACAUGAAUGUACCCGUUGCAGAUGAUGCAGAGUUGUGAUGGAAUUUUUCAUGCUGUGAUGUACCAAAAAUGAUUUAUAGACAACGGAAAACGUGACUGGAGAUUUGUUGGAAGCAAAGAAUGUAUGCAUUUUCUUCCUAUUCAAGCACUAGACAACUUUUCUUUUUAUGUUGGCAUCUCAAAUCCAUCUCUUUUAUGACUACUUGACCACUUUCGAAUCUGAUAUAGCUUCACAAGGAACUUCUUGCUUAAACUUGUUCCUAUCACAUUUUUUGCCUAAUGAUGUUGGGAUGAUGGUCUUUUUUUAAUUUCAAUGGUGUUUAAAACUCCCUAAUUUCCUUGGAAUGCCUUCUAUGUCUUCAACAUGUAGCCAAAAGUAGGAAAACAACACGUCCAUCCUUUAGAGCAGAAACAAUAUCUGAGACUGUUUCUUGUGCAGUCUUUCUGGAGUUUUAAAUUGCAUUGCCAUUGUAAGCCUUUCUCCUGUGAAACUUGCACAAGAUCUGAUCUUAUUAAAAAUGGCUUCAUGAUUUCCAGUUUUUUUUUUUUUUUUUUUUUGACAUGGCCAGGGCAAAAUCAGUGAGACUAUGAUACAAUACAAAAUUUACAGCAAAAGUGAUUUUAAAAAAAAGACAUCAAAAUAAUAUUUUUAUUUUAUUUUAUUUUUUAAAAUUUAUUUGAGAUAUAAGUAUAUUACAACUAUUCAAAACACUGAAACAAAAUACUUUAAAAAAAAAAAAAACUAGAUUCUAAAUUAAACCCAUAUCACAAAAUUCAAAAGCAAAUCUUGUACUAGUAAAGAGAAUUUCAGUAAUGAGGUGCAUUCUAGACAGCUCAAAAUCAGCACUAGUAAUUCCUUGACAAGCAAAUCUUAUACUACAAACUCAUACAGUAUAAAGGGCAACAUUUGCAGCAGCAUCUGAGGGGGAGAGAGCCAAGAACAUGAGAGCGGCCAUAAUUCCAACUGGAAAGAACAGAAGUAUCAAUGGUGGAGGAGGAAGUGGGGGUAACAUCAAUGGCAACACAGCCAUUGAUGCUGCUAAAACUGUUAGUAUCAAAACACUCACGAUGCUGAAACACUGCACCAUUGUCUUGUAGUAGUAGUAGUCCUCACUUUUCUUGAUUUUCUUGAAUCUCUAUAUAUCAUUUCUUGCCUCAGCUAACUGCAGCAAGACUGUGCCAGUGCAGAGAAACGGAUUUCAGGAAAUGGAUGAUACAACAACGAAAACAAGAAUUUGUGCAGCUUUUCUAUGGUUUCUUGGAAUCUAAGAUGGGUCCAGAAAACGAAAGAAUAUAUGGUUGGUAUGGCGAAGAACAAGAAAGGGAAGUACAAUAACCAAAUGACCUUUUCGAAAUGAAGAAGUGUAUGUAUAGAGGCACCAAGACUUUGUACAAGAUUGAGGCAUUGAUAUUGAUUUUUUGGGUCAAGAAAUCUGGUUUAGGGUGCUGGUCCAAAUCAGACAGAAUCAGAGCAGCAGAUCCCAAUAUAUUCAAAUUGAUACGUUGGGAACCACCAGGAACAUUAGUUUAAGAUAAUCACUGUUUUUUAGCAUUAUUUUAAGGGUUUGAAACAAUAUAAUUAAAAUAGAUGAUGAUCAAGUUGCUUUGUCACUUUUGUCUAAGUUUUGUUUUUCUAAUGUUUCUUUUACAGUUGGACCAAUGUGCUGGAAUAAAAAGGAUUCGCCCCUAGGUUAUUAAAUGAUGUCAUUUUGACGUGAUAUUCUCAGCCUUGAUGGUCUGAAUUUUAAAUAUUAUUAUUUUUAAAUGAUGUUAUUUUAAUAUUUUUUAAAAAAAUAUGUUUAGUUAAUCCAUUCGAUCCAUGAUUUUGAUUUUAUAUUAAAUUAAUUUUCAAAUUGAAUUUAAUAACUAUGAUUGUGGUGCAAAGUUCUUUUGAAAAAUAUUUAUCAUUUAAAAACAUAUCAGAAUUAAUUUUUUUCUGAAUUUUAACAUCAACACAUUAAAAUUAUUGAAAAAUAUAAAAAAAUAUCAAUUUAAUAUAUUUUUUAAAGGCAUAUAUACUCUUAAAAAGCAUAUAUGGUACCUUAUAAUCCAUGCUUAUGUGAAAAGUUGGAUACAUAUUAUAAUCUAUGCUUUUGUAUAGUACAGGUUUAGAUGUGUGUUCAGUGAUCUGAACUUGGAAAGUCUUGAACGCCAUGCAAUAUUCUGUAUUAUUCUAUGGUACCUUUUCGAAGUUGUUUCUUCAUCUAACGGGAUUAUUUCAGUAAUAAAAAACAGCUUCAUGUCGAAAAUACUUUUCUUUCAUUAUUGAUAUUGGGAAAAACUAGAUUUCACAACCAAUGACGUUGAGUCAAUGACCCAUCAAGAACAAGAAGAUACGGCAGCUCGAUUGCAGAGAGAAAAGAAUAAGUAAAGAGGGAUUCGAAAAGAUAUUGCCCAGAAUCCAAGAAUGCUUGGAACCCCAGAUCAUGGAAGCAUGGUCCUGCUUCUAGUGGGAACCUAUCAGUUUACAUAUAUACUUCUCUUUCUCUCGGAAUCAACGGCAGGCAAACACGCAGAGAGUGUCUCAGUUCAUUGCAUGCUUCAUGAAGCGUCAACAGCCUUUCAAUGCUGGCACGUCUGACACCCAAAAAAUAAUGAUAAUAAUAAUAAUAAUUCUCCCACGAGAAUUCUUACAUGAAUUUUCCUAAUUUUUUGUUGACAAAGGCAAAUUCUUACAACAUGUUUGAUGUUCGAGAUUCUUGUAGCUUUUUAGAUAUUUUUUAAAAAUAUAUACAAUUAAAAAAAAUACUAAAUUAAUAUUUUUUUAACGUGCAAGAUCCUGUUUAUUUUUGAGUUUGUCGUAUUUAAAAAAAAUUAAUUUUUUUGCAAUAAUAAAUACUAUAUAUAUAUAUAUAUAUAUAUAUAUAUAUAUAUAUAUAUAUAUAUAUAUAAUAAGAAUUCAAACAACCAAACACACGGGAAAUAAAAACUAAAAUCCAGAAUAGCGACUCCUUAUUAAAAAAAAACAAAAGCAUAAUGAUGUUGAAGAUAUGAAUCACAUGAUGAAUGAUAAUGACAUAAACUAUGAAAUUUCUCCUCCUCUGUACAGAUUGGAAGAAUAUGUGCUGCAUGCUUGCAAGUGGGUGCAUUUGCACUGACUGCUGCUGCUGGUGGUUGCUUUUUAAGAUUGGAUUUUAAUGGAGGACUAUAUAAUAUAGUUUAGCUAUAUCUUUCUCAUAUAAUUAAAGAGAUCAUGUCAUGUGUGCAAUGUAUCUGCCCUCAUUGCCUGUACAACGGCCGACGUCUCUCUUUCCAAAAGUCACACCCACCAUGGGCAAUUCCCACCAGUCUGUUCUUCCGUGUCUCUCACUUUUCUUUGUUUGAUGAAGCCAACUGGGGUUCCGAUCCAAAAGUAUGUGACUUUGUGUGAUCAAAUAUUAAAAAACAAAGUUCUUUUGUCUCUACCAUUUCUCCCUGGUUUUGCUUCUCGGGGCUUGGCUUUGACUCGUAGAACAACAACCUUAUUUGACCAUUGUAAUUGUGUAUGCAUCUUGUUCUAGAUUGGGAAAUUUGUGCAUGCAUUCUUGUUUGUCACAGAAAUUUGUUUACCUCGAUAGGACUCAAUGCUUUACGAGUUAACUCAAGUAUAUUAAAACGUUGAAAAGAAACCCUUUAAUUAAUCACCCAAGCUAAAAGUUCAAGACUCAAGGGUUAGAAAUGUAACGAGACAAAACAUUUUCGAACUUGGGACCGAGUAGUAGUCUUGUGUAGAUAGUCCAAUAUUCAGCUCUGUUGAAAGUUCAACGCUCUUUGUUUCUCACUUCUUUUCUCAAAUUUGGGCAGACACAAUUCUGGGCCACAGUUGAAGAUGGGAGUGCAUGAUGUGAGUUAGCUGAAAUUGAGCCUGGACCAGUAGGAUUUUCUGUAAUGGGAUUGCUUCGAAAUGAGCAUGGUGUGCUCAGCAUGAGUUGGGGUUUAUUAACUUGAAAGAAACAUGAUGAAGUUGAAAUUCUAUUUAGAUGCCAAGUUAACUAGUUUUAUUACCUGUACAUUGGUUAUUGAAAUGUUGGAUAUUACACAACUUGUCGAAUUCAUCCUUUAAAAAGUACGAAUUUCCCUUCCACUACUAUACUCGGCAGAGAGAGAGAGAGAGAGAUGAGAACAUAACAUUAAUCCAACACAUGGGAGCAGUUCCCCGGGAGAAACUGUCAUCCAUGGAAAUAAAGCAUGCUUGCAAAUCAAGUACAAGAGAAAACAUCAUUUGGUGCAUGUUUGUGAACUUAAUCCUCGUACAUGCAUGGCAUUAUAAUUUACAAGACACAAAUUCCUGAACUAACAUGGAAAGAUCGAGAGUUACUUCAUUGUUGCUACAUCUUGCUUUCUGAACAUAUGUUGUGAUAGCUGUGGGACUAAACUAGAUGAAUCAACACAUAACAACAUUUGCUUAUCAGCUGCUCUUGAAAAUGCGAAAGCUCAUUCUGAAGCUUCAGUUCAGAGAGAUGAAUGCCCACUUGAAAACGAGCUCCUACCUCAGAAUCCCAUUUACAAGGUAUGAUUCAUACCUUCAAAAUUGAGGGACGUUAAACUCUUAUCAGCCGCAGUGGUAAAGGCCUUGUUUCUUGAAAUCUGAACAUGGCCUGUUAAGCUUUUGUUUACGCUCAUGUUUUGACAGCGUGGACAGACUUUUUGCAGAUUUAACUACAUUCAAGUGUUCUGAAACCUGCAGCAACAAAAAUGAAUAUUGCAAAAGAGAGAAAACAAGAAAUAACACAGAUUUAACAUUGUUCGGCAAUGUCCACAUGAGCGGAGUUAUAUUUCACUAUAUGUCAAAUUAGGUUAACAUAAUAUGUAUUUUAUAGUAAACCCUAGUGGUACAAGAGGUAUUGGUAAUUUCCAAUAAUCUCCCUAUGAGCCACAUACUAUAACACAAAGUUUACUGUGAUCAAGGAAUGGAGCUCUGCUAAGGCUUGUGAUGUAUUUGCUAUCCAGUCACAUCUUUCACUUACAGGUGGUCAGCUUUGUCUCUCCAGAAUUGCCAUUCAAGCUUAGCCAUACAUGAUGUUUCAUCUUCAACGUAGUCAGACAACUGAGAAAGAAUUUGGAUUUGCAACAUGGAUUGGCCUCAAAACUCAGGGAAACUCUGUUGAUAAAAAAAAAAAAAAAAGUAAUGAACUUGAGUAAUAAAUAAGCAUCACCCACUCUGCUAUCUGCAUUGAUACAGAGAGAAAUAUAUGCAUGCAAGAAGGAUUACGUGGCCAUUACCAGCAAUCUUUUUACUUCUAUAUUUCAGUAUGGUAUUGAACAUUUUUUAAAGCCUACCAUUUGGAGAUGAAACCUGAAACAAGCUAUUCAAUAGAGUACAUAAGCAAUUUCAAGUUUUCUCCAAUCCAAAUAGUAUGACAAGCAAGCAUAAAAGGCAUCGACCUCUCUUACAGAAAUACUCUUCAACAGUACUGCAAUCAAUGUGAACAAGACUUGCCUCUGAAGAGUUCCAUUUAAGAUUCAGAUUAAAAUCAUUAGUCUUUUAUAUAUAUUUUAUAUUUUCCAAUGGUAACAAUCCUAGUCCUAUAUUAAUUCUCUUUUUUUUUAGAUAUAAAAAUAACUAAUUCUUUUAUUCUUAUUUUUUUGGUUAGUGUCUAUGAAAAAAAAAAGAUUGUUAAUUCUUAAUAGGAUACAUCUCUGAAUGUUUAAGCGUAUAGGGACUUGAAUGGAAAAGGAUGUUGAUUUAUAUAGCAUACUAUCCCAAGAAAUUCCCCUUUUUUAAAAAAAUAGUCUAUGAGACCAACUAGCCAUUAGGACUUCUAAUCCAUGACAUACUUGCAAAUCAAACCUGAGCGAAACAUCAUUUGUAUGUUCCACGGUUCCACACACAAUCCAACAGACAACUAUGAGAGCAACUGGCGUUUACGACUUCUAAUCCAUGACAUGAUUGCAAAUCAAACCAGAGUGAAACAUCAUUUGUUCCACGGUUUUACACACACAGCAAAAGACAACUAUGAGAGCAACUAGCCAUUAGGACUUCUAAUUCAUGACAUACAUUCAAAUCAAACCCAAGUGAAACAUCAUUUGUAUGUUCCAUGGUUUCACACACAUACAUAAUGGAAGUACGAAAAUUUGAAGUGCAUAUAUAACUUUUUAAAAAAAAUUAAUGCCAUGAGCUAACCUGGAAGACUGGAAUAUAGCUCCAAAAUAUGUCGGGCUAACCAAUGAAUGGUGAAUCAUCAGGCAACACUCCAAGCAGAAAUGACCAUCAACUAUAUUUGAUAACACAAAAUCCUGUGCCUGAGCUUCAGUCUUUCAAGUGUAAUUUCUGAACCGGAUUUGAAAUCAGUUCCAAUAUCAAUACUAUGCUCACCAUAAGCCUCCAAUUAGUGCAUGACCACUCCACAUACCAAGCAGAAGCACCAUCUAGAUAUUCCUUAUAUGAAAAUGCAUUAGUCUGAAUCCUUUCCCUUCGAAAUUGAGCAACACUAUACUCUCAUAAGCAGCACCAAUUAAGAUAUUUAUGUAAGGAAUCUAUUUCAUUUAGUAAAUCAAUCCUAAUAACAUGAAAGUGAUUUAUUAUGAAUCUACAUCUGAAUCCCACCAGGUACUAAAGAAGCAUGCCAUGGAUAUUCAAAGUCAAAAAGCACCACCACACAUCUGCCUGUGCAAGCUCGCACUUGUGCAUCUAGGUGUGUUUGUGACCAAUGGAUUUAAAAGUAGCUUUAUAUCUGUGAAAAAUAUGAUGCUUCAAAACAGAAUUAGCAUGCAACAGCACUAGGAAUCUUGAUAUUGAAUUUGGAUUAUAAUACCUCAGCAUGUUGCAUAGAUAUGUAUGUUAGGAACAUGCUGAAUCUUGUGCCAGUCUUCCCCCUUCUCUCGCUGACACCUACUUUCCAGCAAAGGACACUCCCGGAUAUAUAGAGAUGAGAGAGAGGGGGGCAAUGGUUCUUCUGGCAUGGACUGCAGCAUGGGGCAGCUCUCAAUCUCCAAUUCUCUAAGAGCAGUGAGGUGUUGAAAUCCCUUGUGUCCUAGAGACUCCAGAUUCUGAAGUGCCCAUAUUUUAAAAGAGGUAAGAGUGGCAGGCAGUCCUUCUGGCAAUGACUGGAGCUUAGGGCAACCAUCAAUCAUCAAUUCUCUAAGAGAGGUAAGGUGUUGAAGUUCCCUGUAGUCCAGCGAUUUCAGAUUUUGGAGUUCUGAGAUUUUAAGAGAACAAAGACUGGGUGGAAGCCGCAAACUUUCAGGGAAGGAUUCCACUUCUUUGCACAUACCAAUACUUAAGCGUGAAAGAGAGUGGAGUUUUUGCAAAUUCCAUUCUGAGCAGGCAUUAAUGAGUUUCUUGCAUGCAUAGACCUCAAGUGAUUCUAAUUUGCAGGGCAAUCCCCCUUUUGGAAAUGACUCAAGUUCUGGACACCUUCUUAAAGAAAUUUCCACGAGGGGUGGGAGAAGGGAGUCCAUAUAUUCAGGCAGUGACUUCAUCUUAGAGCAGUUCCGCAACCGAAGCACUGUCAUAUUUGGAGCAGCUAAUCCUCCUUCGGGAAAAGAUACCAAAUGGGGGCAGUCCUUGAUAUCCAAGGAAUAGAGAGAUGUGACAUCCCCACGAGCUACUUCAUGUGAAGAAAGGGAUUGGAGAUUUGGACAUCCAUGGAUCCGAACAUGCUUUAACUGAGGACACUGGUCCAGUGGGAAGCUCUCAAGUGAAUCACAGUUCCUUACUAGAAUUUUUUCUGUAGCGGACAAGCAUCCCUUUAAUAGGGAGUCAAGGGACUUCAGUCGGUCAAGUUUGAGGCUGUGCUGCCCAGAAGACAAUUUCUCUAGCAGCACUUCUCGUGAAUCAUCUUCCACCUCUACUAUAAGGAAGCUCGGAAUCCUUGGAAGUAAAGACACAAGCUGUGGACAUUUCCUGAUCUCAAGUGUUGUUAAACAGGGAAGUUGACAGUUGGGCAGGACUUUUGUUAGGUGUGGACAACAAUUUAUGUAAAGCUUUUGGAGGCGAGGGAAAGCUCCACCUUCAUCAUCUUCUGAAUAGAAAAACCACUCGUGCCAUUUUGACAUCCCUUCAAAUGUCAAAAUUUCAAGGGAUCCAAAUGGCUUCUUCAUGGAUGUGCAACUUCCAUAGAACUCGGGACCAACAACCAUGAUUUCACCAAAUUCUUUGAUCAGGAGAUCUUUCAGAGACACUAGCUGUCCAAGUGGAGGUAAGGAGGAGCAGUAUUUACAGCCAAUGAGCUUCAAGGAAACUAUAUUUGAGAACGAGGAAUCUCCUAUCCAAUCUGGAAAUCUAGUACCCAUAUAACCAACAAUUGAAAGGCAUUCAAUGUUCAUAUGAGGCUGUAAUUGCUCCAGUACGAGUCUUUCAUGCAGUGAAUCAUUAGUAUCACCUUUCCAAGUUAACUCCAACUCCUUAAGCAGUUGUUUACCCUUCAAAUUGGCUUUUAUUGCAUUCUGAGCAUCCAUGACAUUUUGAAGAUUCCAAAUGCGGAGCGUUCCUCUUAGGUGCUGGAGCUUCCCCAACUCAUUAAUGCUUGACCCACUUUGUUUUCCCAAAAAGAAAUCAGUUAACUUAAGGAGUUUUGUUAGCUUACUUAAUUGUGAUGGCAUCGCUUGUAACUUUGUUUUUGUAAUAUCAAGAUGGCAUAAGUUGAUCAAUUUCAUCAUGCUGGUAGGCAACUCAAUGAGGUCUUUGCAUUCAUGCAAAAUUAAUGUUUGCAAAUUAUAUAAAGUACUCACAGAGUCAGGCAACCUUACUAUUGAUGUUGCAGAUAGAUUCAAGUAUCGCAAAUGCUUCAGAUUACCAAUUGAAUUAGGCAAACCAACUACAUCAUGAUCCAGAGACAGAGACAGUGCCCGUAAGCACCUGAAUGUCAGAAAUAAAUUGUUCAUUGCCCCAUUUCCAACAUGUCUCCCCUGCUGCCAGUGUGACCGAUUGAAAAGCAAAAGUGUACGCAAAAAGUGGGCUUCACAAGCACCUUUCAGUAUCAUAGUGCCAUCACCAUGUAUUCUUGCAAACGAUAAAUGACGGGCCUUUUUACUAAUCUUACUUGAAUUGUCAUCCUCUAACCUGCAGCAAAAUUCUCCAGAAACAAAUUUUGCUAAGUCAUUUAUUAGGUCAUGCAUAACAAAUGACGAUGUAUAGCCACUUGAUUGUUGAAAAAAUGACCUUGAUACAAGAUCAUGAAAAUACUCUUCGCCCAAAUCUUCCAUCUCCAUGUUUCCUUUAGGUUGGUUUAUAAAACCCUCUGCCAUCCAUAGAAAUAGUAAUUCCUCCUUCUGAAAUUCAUAACCUUUAGGAAAUAUUGCAGAGUAAGCAAAACAUUGUUUUAGAUGCGAUGGGAGAUAACGAUAACUCAAUCUCAAAGCUAGAAGAAUGUUGUCAAUUGGUAAAUCCCACAUAUCACUCCUCAAUAUCUUCAUCCACUCCUUAGCAUCUCUUUUGGAGCGAAGGAGACCCCCAAGUGUUUUUGCAGCUAGCGGCAGGCCUUUACAUUUUCUCACUAUUUCUCUUCCAAUUACUUGCAAAUCUGGAUGUAGGGAUGAAUUUCCAUCAUCAAAUGCAUGUUUUGCAAACAAGAACCAGCAAUCAUCGUUGGUUAAUUCCUUUAGACGGUAAGUUGCAACAGUACGCAUGACUGAUGCUACGCUUUCAUUGCGUGUCGUGACAAUAAUCUUGCUUCCCUGUCCUGCCGACUUUAGAGGUCUCAUUAGAAUAUCCCAAUCAGCAUAGCUAUUAUUCCAAACAUCAUCUAAAACAAGCAGAAAUUUUUGCCCCAUUAAUCUCUCCCUUAGCUUUAGUUGAAGCUGAUUUGGAGUCCUGGCAUCAUCAAUCACCGAACCGAACUCCUCAAGGACAUCAUUUGUUAUCUUGAAAACAUCAAAAUUUUCUGAAACACAGACCCAUGCUUUGAGAUCAAAUGACUCCUGCACUCCGCGGUCAUUGUAGACAAGCUGAGCAAGAGUAGUCUUACCGAUUCCACCCAUACCAACAAUGGGAAUCACAUCUAAGUUUUUCCCAUUUGAAACAUCAGAUAGCAACAACUUCAGUAUAGCUUCCUUAUCAUGAUCCCUACCGCAAACAUCAAUAUCAUCCACCAAAGAAGUUGUUGGUGUUUUCUGUAAUGAUGCUUUUUCUCUCAUACCCUCCCUCAAACCGAGGGCAUCCUUUUGUUGUACUAAAUAUUCAAGUCUAUCAAGGAUCUCUCCCAACUUUUCUUCCAUCUCUUCCUUCUCCCUUUUACUAGAAGACAAAGUUCUAAGCGCCUGAUUAGCGGUGAUUUGUGAUCCAGCUUCCACCUCCAACCGCAGAGCUUCAUAAGCAAUCUCAUCCAACAAGUCAUCUGCUUCAUACACGGCAUCUUUAAGCUCAUCAAGCCACUCUUUCACAGCUGGCUUGGUAACCUGCUUCUCCUCUGCAUCAUCAAGCACUCCAUUGACAGAUAUCAUCAUAAUCUUCAACUUCUUAAGCAGCCUUUCAUUGAGUUUUCGCUCCUUGAAGAAGUCUAAAACCUCACGAGACGCCAUUCUAUCAAACAAAACUUGAAGGAAAGCAGAGAGAAUUGACCCUCCUACCAAAGCUGCAGCCAUAGCUUCUCCUUCUUCGAAAAGGGUCUGAUUACAAAACGAAAACUGAUCAACAUAUAGAAAAUUAACUUGAAAUCUCGACUUGAUAGUUGACUUUACUUUGUUUAUAAAGCAAGACAUCAAGAAUUGGCAAUUACAAAACUUGUUAUCAAUGACCGUUGACUUUACUUUGUUAGCAAUCGUGGCGGCAAUAAAAAUCACAGAAGAAAUUAAGCUAAAACAGGAUUCAAAAUAUAAGCAAAUAAAACCGAAAAAUGAAGAACAAAAAAAUUAAUGGGAAUCAAACAUAUAAGAGCAGAGAAAAGGAACAGCAAGCAUCAAUCUGCUACUGUUAAAAAGAACACCUCAAAAAAAAAAGGUAACAAUGAAGUGAGAGCAUAAGAACCCAUCAUUACCUUUGCAAAACCUGUAAGAUGAGAGCUUCUUAAAUCUUGGUUACAGUUGCUGCAUAAAAUGGAGGAUUACUUUUUAUCGUCAAGUGUGGGGCUUUUGGGGUCUUGGCUUGGUGUCUGCGUUCUAGCGCUGGCUGGUGGCUGGUGGCUCGAGGUAGUUGCGCACGCAUUUGGCUCUAGUAGCUCAUCUGCUACUUAUUUUUAUAAUUAAUAACAUUUUUUUAUAUAACAAUUCUCCGGAUUAAUUUACACGUAACUCGAUUAAUUUCUUAAAAUUUUAAAAUUAACAACCUUAAAAUUUAUAGUGUUUGAAUUAAUGAUCUUUGAAAAGUAAAUUUAAAAUCUGAUCAGUUAAACUAUACCUCUCAAAAUUUAAUAACAUUUUAUAUUAUGGAUUAAAAAUGCAAAAUAUCUCAACAAUCCACUACCAUGACCUAUUUAGAAUUUAAAUUAUUAUUUUUUUAUUUUAAAUUAUUUUUUUAAUCUUUUCAGACAACAUGUCUUUCAUCAGCAACCAAACUUCACCACAAAGAGAAUAACACCACAGACAUAAACCAAUUCAGUUACCCAUUAAGGUUGUUCGCUCAUUCCUCGACAAGUUUACAACUUGAAAAACCCUCAACAUUUCCAUGACCACCCACCAUCACCAAUCCAUUACCAAUCUAUUAAAGAUACUGAAGCGAUUCUGAAGAUCUUCACUAUUAUGCCAUUACCAAGUAUAACUUAUUUGUUAUCUAGUUUAGAUAUGAUUGUGUAUUUAUCAUUAGCAUAUAAUCUUAGCAUAAACAUGGGAGAAAUAUACGUAGGAUUGUCUUUCCUUGCUGCAAGUUUUUCCCACUCUAUAAAUACAUAUGUACAGCAUAAGAAAGGGAUGAAUGUAUAACUCUGUUUUACUACUGCACUGUCUCACGUCUCUUCAUUACUCUGCUUCAAAUUUCUACAUGGUAUCAGAGCAUAGUGUUUGAAUUCUCAUACUAUAGGGAGAGACAAUGGUGUUGUCAUGGAAGACCACUUGAAGGAUGCAUCGAUAUUGGAUCAAAGGUCUCAGCACUAGCAAAUUGUUCUGAUGAUACCAACACAUCUCAAAUAUUGAGUUUUGUGUUGUUGAAUGAAUUCAAUUAUCUUCCUUGGUCAAGGGCUGUCACUAUUGCUCUUGGUGGAAGAUCUAAGUUGGGGUUCAUAAAUGGUUCUAUCGUUCCUCUAGAAGUUAAUGAUCCAGAAUAUGCAACAUGGCUUUCCAAGAACCGGUUGGUCAUGUUUUGGAUCCUCAACUCCAUGGAAAGGAAUCUUGCUGAGAUUUUUAGUUUCUCAGAAUCAUCACUGGACCUGUGGGAUGCAAUUCGUGACAUGUAUGGAAAUCAAAAUAAUGCUGCCAGGAUAUUCCAAAUUCAUCGCGAGGUUGCCAGCCUUCACCAGGAAGGAAAGCCCUUUGUUCAGCUGUUGGGAAGCCUUAAAAACCUGUGGAAUGAACUAGAAAUAUAUCGCCCACACACUACUGAUGCUGCUAUAUUACAAAAAAGAACUGAGGAGGAUAGGAUUUUUCAGCUGCUGGCAAGUCUCAGCCCAGAUUUUGAAGACCUGCGAAGCCAUAUUCUGAUGAAUCCAGAACUACCAUCCCUGAAAUUGGUUUGCGCCACCAUCCAACGUGAGGAAAUACAUAGGAAAGUAAUGACGCGUGAUGUUGGAGUUUUUGAAACUCGUGCUUAUCAGACCAAAUUGACGCCGCAGGAUAUGAAUUCUGGUUCUUUUGAUCAUGGUCAGCAUAGACCAUUAUCAUAUUAAAAAAACUACAAAGGGAAACGAACUGAUUUCAAGUGUCAUUACUACCACAAUCUUGGUCAUAAUGCAGAUCGUUGUUGGCUCCUUCAUCCUGAAAUUAAGCCUAAGUUUGAAAAGGACCUAAGAAGACCACCAAGAUGCGCAAAUAAUCAUAAGUCAUACCUUGAAAAUAAUCAUGUGAAUUCCACCAAAAGCUUUUCUGCCAAUUCUGCAUCUUUGACAUCUGAUUUUGCUAAUUAUUUGCACGACAAGCAUGGCCAAGGAAAAUCACAUGAUGAAUCUACCAAUCAAGACCAGAAGCAACCAACUGCUCUUCUCAGUCACUUUGCUGAUUUUUUUAGCAGAAGCAGACUCGAAAAAUAGCCAAGGUAAUCUGAUUGCUUUCAUGACUGCAUUAGAACUUGUAAAUUUGCAUGAUCUUUGGAUAAUAGAUUAUGGUGCCACCAAUCACAUGUCAAACAAAUUAGAUAGACCUUAAAUCAUUUGUCAAACCCAUAUUUGUAUAUGUUGCUGGUGGGAAGGGUGCUUAUGUUAAAGGGAAGGGAAAAAUUAAUCUACUCUCUGAUAAGAUAGUGUCUGAUGUUCUAUUUGUACCAUCCUUUCCAUUUCAAUUGCUUUCAGUCAGUAAGAUUACAACCACUCUAAACUAUGAAGUAAUUCUUACUUCUUCCAAAGUUGUGUUUCAGGAUCUUGUCACCAAGGAGAUGAUUGGUGAAGGAUUUUUCCUGCAUGGUCUGUAUUAUAUAUCCUAAAAAUCACAAGUCUUCAGGGGUUUUCAAGCAACAACUAAUCCACCCAUGAGCACCUCUUAUGGCAUCGUCGUCUAGCUCACCCUUCAGAGUCUAUUCUUAGUAAAAUAAAGUCGGUUCAAGUACAUGAAUCGCUCAAUUGUGAGAUUUGUCAUUUUUUAAAAUCUACAAGACUUCUGUUUACUCCUUCAAUGUCAAAAAGUACUCAUGCAUUUGAACUUGUUCAUUCAGAUGUAUGGGGACCCUUCCAUACUUUCAUUGAUGGUUUUAAAUAUUUUGUUAUAUUUAUCGAUGACUUCUCUAAGGUUACUUGGGUGUAUCUGCUAAAAACUAAGCAUGACGUAUUUGUUUGUUUUAAUGAUUUUCAUUUGUUAGCAAUCAAUCAAUUUUCAGCUCCCAUUGAAAUCCUUCGAUCUGAUAAUGACACCGAAUAUAUGUCCAAAGACAUGUCAAAAUAUUUACAUUUUAAUGAAAUUCUGCAUCAAACUAGCUGUGUUGGUACACCUCAACAAAACAGGAUAUCUGAACGUAAAAAUCAUGAUCUGCUUGAAAAAACUCGUGCCAUUAUGCUUCAAAUGAAUGUUCCCAAAGCUUUCUGGUCCUACGGAGCUCUUACAGCUGCUUAUCUCAUAAAUCGUUUACCCAGCCGAGUGCUGGAUUUUAAAUCUCCUCUUGAAGUUUUGCAGGAUAAAGUUUCAGAUAUAUCUCAUCUUAAAGUAUUUGGCUGCACUUGUUUUGUGCACUUACUAGCUACGUAUCGGGACAAGCUGGAUGCUAGAGCGAUCAAGUGCGUCUUUUUAGGUUAUUCCACAACUCAAAAGGGAUACAAGUGUUGUGACACUGUGUUGCAGAAACUAUAUGUUUCCAUGAAUGUGAGAUUUCUUGAAGAUACUGAAUAUUUUUCUGCAGGAAAUCAGGGGGGAUGUUGUCAGAUCUUUUUCCCUUACCUAGCAUUGAGAAUGUCAGUCUGCCUCCAUCCAUCAUUCCAAGUUCUGACCGACAGAUUCAGGUUCAAAUAACUCAUUGAAAUGAUACUACUAAUCGGGAUACUAAAAUUCAAAAUGCAUCAGAUUUCAGUGAUGUUGUUGUUCUUGACUCGGAUUCAAGCAAUAAAAAUACAAGCAUAUGAGAAUCAUCUAUUGACAUGCUGCCAGCUACUAGAAGAGUUUCCCUUCGAACUCGUCAAGCAUCAUCUCGAAUGCAAGAUUAUAUCACCUAUAAUGUGAAGUAUCCUAUUUCCAGGUUCAUGUCCUAUCAUCGACUUUUUCCAUCAUAUAGUGUUUUUCUUACUUCCAUAUCAGCUAUUCAGGAACCAAAGACAUUUCAUGAAGUGCAAUCACAGGCAGUAUGGCAGCAGGCCAUGAAUGAAGAAUUGAAGGCACUUACAGAAAAUCACAUGUGGAGUGUGCUACCCUUGCCUGCUGAAAAACAAGUUGUAGGCUUCAUUGGAUAUUUAAGACAAAAUUUAAGUUAGAUGGUUCAGUUUAUCGGCAUAAAGCUUGUCUCGUGGCUCAUGGUUUCACUCAGAAAUUUGGUGUUGACUACAAGGAAACAUUUGCUCCCGUGGCCAAGAUGACCACUGUCAGAAUCCUUCUAUCCGUUACUGUCAACCAGGGAUGGUUCCUAUGUCAAAUGGAUGUAAGAAAUGCCUUCUUACAUGAAGAGUUUGAAGAAUAAGUGUUCAUGAAAUUUCCUCCUGAACAUCCAUAGAAUGGAAGCCCUACACUUGUCUGCAAACUUCAUAAGUCUAUUUAUGGCCUGAAGCAGAGUUCUUAGGCCUGGCAUGCUAAAUUAAGUUUUGCACUUGAAGAUAUUGGUUUUACAAGAAGUUCUACAGAUUCUUCUUUAUUUAUUCAGCUUGGGUGCACUCAUAAACUAGUUGUGCUAAUAUAUGUGGAUGAUCUGAUUAUAGCAGGAAGUAAUAAUGACUCAAUCACUCAACUUAAAAGGGAGCUUCAACAACAAUUUUCAAUUAAGGACCUUGGCUCCUUAAAGUACUUCCUAGGCAUUAAAAUGGCCGCCUCCAGUAAAGGUUUUUUUCGCAAUCAACGCAAGUAUGUCAUUGAUUUGUUGAAGGAUGCUGACAUGUUGCACACAAAGCCGGUUGCAAACCCUUUAGACAGCAAGUUAACAUUGGACCCUUCAAGUGAACCUCUUGCUUCUUGCAAUCAUUAUCAGAAGAUUGUUGGUAAACUAAUUUACUUAACAAUCACUCGACCAGAUAUUACAUUUACGGUCAGCCUUAUCAGUCAAUAUAUGCAUGCUCCAAUAGUUUAGCAUUUUGGUAUAGUAAAGCGUAUCUUGCGGUAUCUAAAAGGGACAAAUGGUUGUGGCAUUGUUAUGACUCGCAAUGGUCAUACUAACGUCAUGGGCUACACUGAUUCUGACUGGGGAAAUUCUCUCGAUCGUCGAUCUACCACUGGAUAUUGUAUGCUUGUUAAAGGAAAUUUGGUAUCUUGGAAAAGUAAGAAACAAUCGGUAGUAGCUCGUUUAAGUGCUGAAGCAGAGUAUCGUGCUAUGGCUUCUGCUACUUGUGAACUGAUAUGGCUCAAACACCUUCUUGCAGAUUAAGGUUUUCCUAGUAUCACUCCUAUGAUGUUGUUUUGCGAUAAUCAAGUUGCUAUGCAUAUUGCGUCCAACCCGGUAUUUCAUGAACGCACCAAACAAUAUUGAAGUAAAUUGUCAUUACAUUCGUUUGCAAGUUCAAGCUAAACUUAUCCAUCCUCAGUAUGUACGUUUUCAUGAUCAACUAGCUGAUGUGCUCACCAAAGCCUUACCUUCUACUCAAUUUCACCAGUUAUUAAGCAAGCUUGGAUCCACCAAUCCACUGGAUCCAGCUUGAGGGGGAGUAUUGAAGAUACUGAAGCGAUUCUGAAGAUCUUUACUAUUAUGCCAUUACCAAGUAUAACUUAUUUGUUACCUAGUUUAGAUAUGAUUGUGUAUUUAUUAUUAGCAUAUAAUCUUAGCAUAAUCAUGGGAGAAAUAUACGCAGGAUUGCCUUUCCUUGCUGCAAGUUUUUCCCACUCUAUAUAUACAUAUAUACAACAUAAGAAAAGGAUGAAUGUAUAACUCUGUUUUACCACUGCACUGUCUCAUGUCUCUUCAUUACUCUGCUUCAAAUUUCUACACCAUCAUUUAUAGUUCGAGCUUCCAAGAGAUAUUGCUCAACUAAUUGUUCAAGAACUGUGUGUUCAUUUUCUUAUCACUUUGCAUGUAAUUUUCUUGGGGGUUGUGGUUAUUUCCAUUCUUGUGUUUUUUUUCAGAUCAUUUCUUCGGAUUUUCAUCACCUUUGACAUAAUGUUUAAACUUCAUCGAUGUAUGAAUAUAAGAGCAUUCGAUGCAUCCUUAAAUAUUAGGCAAAGAAUAAGAGUGACGAGUGUGAGAUACCGAGGACGGAAACACUGUUGGCAGAGACAAUUCAGAGCUUUUUGUAGAGUAAUUUUGAGCCUACGUUGUUGGCAAGGGCGAACGCAAUGCAAAGGCUUGGGUGGGCUCUAGCCCAGGUCAAGAUUUUAUCAAUAUUUUUUUACUAGUUUUAUGUAAAACAAAUUUGUAAUUCUUGAUUGAGUUAUUAUAAAUUUUUGAAAAUUUACAUGGAGCCUUCUAAUAUGAUGUUUUAGCUUGUUUUAAAAUUCAAAAUUUUUGGAUAAAUUCAGAAAUUUGAUAAAAAAAAAAUCAUAAUUUGGUCAGUUUUACGUUAUUGGGUGUAAUUUUCAAUCCGACCAUCAGAUUGAACUGAAAUUUUAUGAGGGAUCUUAAAAUAUAUUGAAUAAAAUCUGGUUAAAAUUUUAGGAUGAACAAAGUUUGGUAAUGCUAACAAAAAAAAAAGAACCGUCAAAUAAAUGCAAAACGACUCAUUAAAGGUAAAAUGGUUAUUUGCCAUUAAAAAAUAAAAUAAAUUAAUUCUUCAUUCCUUUUAUAUGUUGCUGACUGGGCAAAAGCAGAAUAGAAAAAGAAAGAAAAGAAAAGGCGAGAGAGAAAUAGAGAAAAGUAAGGGAAAAACAUUAAAAAAAAUUCAAGAAAAAAAAAAGUGACAGAAUAACCUUGUAAACUUACAAAGUCCAACUUAUAAAACACUAACCUAAGGAAGAAUCAAGUGAAGAAAGGAGGAAUUGAGAGAGGGAAAAAAAUUAAUUACUUUGUUUUUCAAUUGACAUGAGAUUGCUAUUUUAUCCCGGUAGAGGGGUUGUUACAAUAUCAAUUCAAAUUCGAUUAUAGAUGAAUUAUAUUCCACAAAACAUCGAAAGAUGUAGCUUCAAUAGUGAGUUUAUUUUUACUUUCACUUCAAUUUUAUGUACUUUUAAAUUUAUUUUUUAAUAUUUUAGAUAGUGUAUUUGAAUUAAAACUUUACUGUUAACUUUAAAAAUUCAUAUAUAUAAAUUAAUAAUUUAUCUUUAAAAAAUUAUAUAUUUAUUUAAUAGUUCAGGGUAGGAAAAAUUACUAGCUCCACCCUUGGUUGUUGGGUGCAUGUAAAAGUUGGCUUGCUCUCUAGAAUAAAACGACUAGGAUAUUCAAGAGUUGCUUGUGCUUCUCCACCAUUACAUAGAGAAAACAUGGCUAUCAAUGCUUAGAGUUCAAAGAUAAACCCUAAUUUCUGGCUAUAUUUGUUGUUUUUAAUCUUGCAGAGAUAACAAAGAGCAUUUGAUACGAAUAAUUAAUGAAUUAUCCAUAAAAGAUUUGAGUGGGUUAACCAUAACGCUGCCAACCCCGGCCUAUUUGAGCCCUAGCACAGAUGCCUCUUCUGGGCAGGGACAGAUGAUCAUGACUACUGCUACUUGUAAACAAAAACCUACCCUAUGUCUCUGUCUCCGACAGUGAGCCGUCAAGUGACUUGACAAACUCUCUUCCUUCCUUCUUGUCCAAUUCAUGAUCUUCAUUCAGUUUCUCUCGUAUUGAAGAAAAGAAACUUCAAAAUGAAAAAGGAUGUGGAGGUUUGUUUUUGAAUUUUAAAAAUAUUUUUAAAAUAAAUUUAAAAUGUUUUUUAUUUUUUAUUUUAAAUUAAUAUUUUUUGAUGUUUUUAAAUUAUUUUAAUAUACUAAUAUAAAAAAUAAUUUUAAAAAAAUAAAAAAUAUUAUUUGAUACAUUUCUGAGUAAAAAACAUUUUGAAAAACAAUCACAACCACACUUUCAAACAUAUUAAUAUAUUUAUUUAUUUAUUAUGUAUUUAGAUUAUUUUGAUGUGUUAAUAUUAAAAAUUUAUUUUAAAAAAUAAAAAAAAUAUUAUUUUAAUAUAUUUUUAAAUAAAAAAUACUUUAAAAAAUAAUAACUAUUUAAAUUCCAAAUAUUAUAUUAUGCUGUUCUUUCCUCUCUUUUCGCGACUGCUCUCUUUUUUUUUUACUUGCGCAAUUGGGCAUGUUUAGGUCCGGUUGGGCCCUUUCUAUUCUUCCUAGCCAUCUGGGCCGUUUGGCCUAACCAGCUGUCUGGUGCUCUUUCUUUUUCUUCCCUGCUGGUUGGGUCAUAUGGCCCAACCAGCUGUCGGGGUGGACCAUUGGGCCUAAUAAGCCCUCCUGUUGGGCUUUGUGCUGUCAGAUUUGAUUAUGUGAUUCAGUAAGGAGAGAUGAUGGCUUGACUCCCUUCCACAGUUCAGUUGGAUUUCUUCCUCAACCUGUAGCAAAAAUCCUUGUAUUUGGAAAAGGAAAACCCUAAACCCUCUUCCUUCUGAUUCAUAUUCAGAUGAGGCUCUCUCUGUGUCUCAAAAUGAAGCUCUCUCCAAGUCUCCUGAUUUCUCUCUUGCCAAAACGCUUUAUAAAGACAGCACCUUCUCCUCCCACAACUCCACUACCCACCAGAAGUAAUACCACCUCAUCUUCUCCAUCAUCGUUUACACUUCAAUUUCUUGUUAACUCAUGUGGGCUUCCUUUAGAAACUGCUCUUACUGCAUCCAAGAAGUUCCAUCUCAACGAGAAGAACAUCCACAAGACUCAAUCUUUGCUCCGUUUCUUGAAAUCUCACCACUUUGUGGACACGCAUAUCGCCGAUCUGAUAAAAAAGAUGCCCGCUUUCCUUGGUUGUAAAGUAGAAAACAAUCUAAAGCCCAAGUUCGAGUUCCUCGCCGCAAAUGGCGUUGCUGGUAACCUCCUUCCCCAACUUAUCCUAUCAAAUCCUGAUAUUUUGUGGACGUCCUUGGAUUCUACUAUCAAACCAUCUUUUAAGUUUUUGAAGUCUUUUCUUGGUACCAAUGUGAAAAUUACAGCGGCUCUUAAGCGUUGUUCAUGGUUGUUGAGAGUUAAUCGGAACAGAACUAUGCAAACAAAUAUUGAUUUGUUGAUUAAAGAAGGAUUGCCUCUUGACCGGCUUGCAAAACUCAUUAUCUCGAGUCCAAGAUCUCUGCUAUCUAAGCAUGAUAAGAUAGUUUAUGCAGUGAAUUCUGUUAAGAAUCUGGGCCUUGAAACAAACGAUACUAUGUUCAUAUAUGCUCUUGGGGUGAAGAUGAAAAUGACUGACACGACUUGGAAGAAGAAAAUUGAGGUGAUGAAGAGUUUGGGUUGGAGUGAAGAGGAGAUUUUCGGCACUUUCAAGCGAUGCCCUCAAAUAUUGCAAUACUCGGAGAAGAAAAUCAGGAUUACCGUGGAUUUUUUUAUCAAUUCCGUUGAUUUGGGACCAGAAAUUCUACUGGUCUAUCCUUCUUUGUUUUGCCUCUCAGUUGAUAAGAGGGUUCGUCCAUGGUAUAAUGUUAUUAAUGUUUUGAAGUCAAAGAACUUGAUUAAAAGAGAAAAGAAGUUUCCUUCUUUGCUACUGAUGAGUGAGAAGAAAUUCUUGGAGAAUUAUGUUGAUAAGUAUGCGGAUGAUGUUCCUGGUUUAUGGGAGGUGUAUACGGGCACUGCCAACACAAAGAAGAAAGGCACUUGAUGACAGAGAUGUAAGUUCACUUGUGCAAUACAAAGUGCUAUGUAGUUGACUAAAUAGCUCAUCUGCUUUUGAUUUACAGCUAAUUUUUGUUUGUCCAAUGUAUAUUGUUCAUUUCUUAUCAUUUUGCAUAUUUGCUUUCUUAUCAUAGCCUUGUCUUUUCCCAGUUCAUUUCUGUGACCUUUUUUCAUCUUUUACUCAGUUUGAGCUUCCUACAUUAACGUGCCAACCUAAGAGCCUUCAAUGCCUUGUUAGAGUGUUGUGCAAAAAAAUUAUGCAUAUUAAAGCUCAUGUUAAAAUGAGCUUGCAUUACAAAGAUAUGCAUUCAUUGGCAUUCCAACUUUCCAAUUGAACACAAAACUUAACAACAUAGUAUUUUCCAGCAGUUUAAGGCUGUUGCUACAUGUUAACGAACAGUUAAAUAUUUGUAGGCUGGUUGAUGAUGGUAGCAAGAUGGGAAAAUUGAACUUUAUGUUGCGCGAAAAAGGUUGGAAACUGGAGUGCAGUGUGAACCAUUGAUUAAACAAGGAAUUGUGUAGGGAUGUACUUUUGUGCGAGCUAUGAUUCUGGUUUGCCAAACAGUUAAGGAAUGCUCAGGGAAAUGUCGAGGAUACUUAACCCUAUUUGGGAAGGGUUAGGGUACAGAUAGGUAGAUUUGGACGGUCAAUGAUUUGGGGAAACUUCAGUGCAACACUACUUACUGGCUGUUUGAUGAUCAGGUAAAAAUGAUAAGAGCAUUUCUCUGAAGGUGGUGAUGAAAAUGAAGAGAGCGGUUUCUUUGAAGCAGUAUCAAUGGUCAUUUAUGGCUUUGGUUCCAUCAAAGGAGAAGAUCAGAUAUUAAGAAUUGCCAUUGCCAGUUGGCUCCAUGCUCUGGGAUACAAAUAUUUGCAGAUGCAUUUGCGAAACUCGAAAGGAUGGUCUCAAAGCAACAGUGCUUCUACAAGGGAGAGAUUGAUUUUAGACUUACAGUGAAUAAAAGCCUCGGCUUCAAUUUCUGUGAGGUGCUCAAAUCAUUAUAUUUAUGCUUUAGUGAAGGUUCCUUCAGUCCAUGUUGGGUUACAAGCUUUGGAGGCUAGGAAAUAUUCAUGUCUUUUUGCGCUCGUCCUGUGCUCUGGGGUUAAGUUGUUCCACUUUUCGAGUGCCUUCAUGUAAAUGUCUACCAUUUCUUUCAGUUGGGUUACAAUUUCUAUGUUUUUUUUUUUUAUCUAAAUGUAUUUACAAGGCUCCUCUAAUUAAUCAGAAUCUCCUAUGCUAUUCAAUAUUCAAUCAAUCAAAUCAUCUCUUGCAUCAAUCUUUCUUUCUAAGUUAGAGAAAACUCAAUACUCAAAUUCUAGUCACCCACUGAACAAGAGAAUAAAUCAUGUGCAUAAGAAAUAUUAAGAGUUUUCAAAUAACUAGGAAGAUAAAGUUGAUGCGCAUUGUGGUUGAAAUCUCUUGUUUGAAACAUCAAGUUAAUGUUUUAUUAGAACAUGUUAGGAAUCCUUCGAAUAAAAUUCAAUUAAGAGGAAAUCUCAUGUUUGAAUUUUUUUUUUUUAAUAAGAUCUUUAAAAAAAUAAGAUGAAGGUGACAAGAGUAAUAUAGAAAACAAAAUGAAUUGAAUUUUAUCUUUUCUAAACAUGUAAAUUCAAUUUUUUUAUCAAUUGGAUUUGAAUCAAACACUAUAAUUGAAUUCAAUUAUAGUAGAGAAUUGGUUUCAAACAACUUGUUAGUGUUUUUUUAUGGUUUUGAUGUGUUAAUAUUAAAAAUAUAAAAAUAUAUUAUUUUAAAGUAUUUUCAAGUAAAAAAUAUUUUUGAAAAGUACAUUACACCACAAUACCAAACACCCACUAAAACCCCAUUUUAGAUUUAGAUUGUGGUUGUGGUUGUGGUGCAACCCCAACCCUAAAUGAGAUUUAAGAGAGUGUUUGAGAAUAUGAUAACGGUUGUUUUUUAAAAUAUUUUUUUAUCUAAAAAUAUAUUAAAAUUAUUUUUGUUAUUUUUAAAAAAUUAUUUUUCAUAUCAAUACAUCAAAAUAAUUUAAAAAUAUAAAAAAAUAUUAAAUUUAAACUAAAAAAAUUUAAAAUUUUACACGGUACAACCAAACAGUGCGUAAAUAAACAAAUCUAAUAAAACACUUUGAUCGGAAAGGUACCAUGCAGUCAUGCACAAAUGUUUUUUUUUUUUUUUUUAAUUAAAGAGGGAUUGUCUCUUGAUCGGCUUGCAAAACUCAGUGUCUUGUUUCCAAGGCGUCUGCUACGUAAGCAUGAUGACAUGGUUUAUGCAGUGAAAUCUGUUAAAAAUCUCCUAUAUAUUAAUAGUAAAAAUAAUUAUAUUUAAAUACAAAUAAAUAAAAAUAUUUAUUUAUUGAAGCUGAAAUUUUUGUUAUUAGCAAAGGAUAAAUUAUUUAUUCUUAAAAUUUUAUUAUUUUUCACCUGUAGAAUCCAGAUGCUUGCAAUAUUUUUUUUUGAUAUUCCAACAAUAAUAUCUUAGUUUAGAUGUAUUUUUAAAUAAUUUUUUUUAACAAAAAAAAUAUGUAACUUAAAUAUUUCUUAAUAAAAUGAAUUUAAACUCUAAAUUUGAAUAAAAAAUCAAAACAAUAAAAAAAAGAAAACACUAAAAUAUAGGAGUAAUAAUGCAUGAAAAUCUUAAAAAUAUAAUUAUAAAUUCUUCCUUCAAUCCAUAAAAAAAAUAUUUGAAUAAAUUCCAAACUGAGAAAAAGGGAAAAUCAUUUAGUGUAAUUAAUCUAAAAAAUAAUAACUAUUAUGUAAAAAAUUGGAUAAACUUGUCCUAAUUUUUGUAGCAGGACAAAAACUUCUCCUUUAAAAACAACUUUGAAUAGGAGAAAAAUAAAUUUUUAUUUAUUUAAAAUUACAUCAAAUAAAUUUUUAAAAAAUAUAUAUUAUCCAGUUUACAUAUACUUUUAAUUUCCAGUAUAUUCAACCAUGAAGCUCACCCUAGCAUACGCUUAAAGUGCCCAGCAAUUUGUAUUCUAGAUAUUCUGGAUUUAAAAUAAAAAAGUUAUUCAAAAAUGAAUAAAAAAUGAUAUUUUUUUGGAUAAAAUUAUAUAAAAAAAUUUAAACUACGUUAUUUAAAGAAAAAAAUGAAUAUUUUUUUUAUUGAAAUUGAACUCGAUUAAGUUUAUAAAAUCAUGAAUUAUCUAAAUUUCAUCCGUUUAAUAUCCAAACCGAUUUAAUAAAACUCUAUUCCAUAAGAGGAUGACUUCAAAACCCAAUCAGAUAGGGCCCACGUUCGAUGGACCCAUAACACACGUGACUUUUGACCGCCCCUACCGUCCGAUCCGAUCCGCUUCCUGCGCUUCACUUUAACCUUUAAGGCCCUCCCCUCCUCUCUCCCCCUCUCUAAAAUCCCAAAAAACAUAACCGAGAAAAAUUCUCUCCUUCUCCUCACGAAAAGAAACCCCAAAAGAAUUAAAAAAAUAUAUAUAUAUAUCCAUUGGAUCAUCUCCAUGUCUCAUUGCAUUAGCCAUCACCACCGUCAAGGACAAAACAAGAAAUGCCGGUGUCAUCAUCCCGUGCAUGCAUGAACAUUACCAGAUUUGUAGCAGCAAAGCCAAUGGAGGGCCUGAGUUCAAUUUUCUUGAUGUUGUUGAUAAUAAAGAAACAAUCUUGAUUCAUAUAGAAAAAAAGAGGAGUGUUUUUUUUAAGGUUUUUUUAUAUAUAAAGUAUGUCUGAAUUGGUAGCACGUACUGGUCGACUUCAACAACGGUACGAGGGCGGUUGUCGACUUGUUGCCGGGUAAAGAACAAACCCUUUUCAUGUUUUUAUCUGAAAAUGAUUUGUAUGCGUGAAAGAUGUGUUUUUGAUUAAUGUGAAAAUGUGUUUUGUUUGAUGUGUUGAAUUAUUGUUGUAUGUGUCUUUUUUGUUAGUGAUAUGAGAUUUUCAAAUUUGGAGGGUUGUGGCCAUGUGUGAUUGAUUGGUAUGUUUUUGACUUUAUGUUGAUUAAUGGGAUGCUGUUAAAAUUUACAAUUGAUGGGUGUGGCAUCGGUUUUAUCCACACACAAAAAAAAUAAUUUAUUUUCCUGUUUAGAUGUGGUUUUUGUUAAUUUAGUGGGGAUUGGUGGCUAUGAAGGUAUAAUGUGCAAUGUACAUUAUUAGUUAUUUGGUUAUUUGAUUAGAGUAAUUUGUUGAAUGAUGAAAGGUAAGCAACUUUGACCAGUAGGUGAUGGAAAGAUAUGUGUUCAUUUUGAUGGAUUAUGGUCAAUGUUGAUGACAGAUAAAUUGAGGAUUGAGAUAAUUUUGAGGCUUGUUUGCUGGAACCUUUUCUAUCAUUUGCCACCCUUGCUUCUUGGAACCCAGUUUACACGGAAGAUGAUUUUGGACUUGGUUGUAGAAUAAAAAUUUAAAUGCUUUGGACUUUGGAUGCACGUCCUUGAACGUGGAGGCUUGCCUCUUCUUAACUCAGUUUAUGUUCAGAGUCCAAAAACAGGUAUUCUGGCAUCAUUUUGCCCAUUGUUUCUGGAGGGAAUAGGAAGGUCACACCAUCAGUCAUGUGCUGAAUGAAUAGCCGAGAAAGUUUGUAAGCAUCUUGGUGGGUGGAAAGAUGCUUUCUUCUCUUUAGGGAACUAAUACCUGCACUCCUGCCCAGGUUCUGAAAUGAUUGAGCAGGAGAUGUCAAAUUUCCUCUUGGUCUUGGUGAAAAGUAAAGAGUGAUUGUUUGGUUAGUUGCGAGGUCUAUUGUAGGUCUAACUUGGUAAAUUCCCCUUAGGACCAGAUUUGUUUGGCAUUAGACAGUUUGGAUUCUGUAGAAAGUAUAAUCUUUUUUGAAUAAAUGGGAUCUAAUAGAGUUAUUGUUACUCAUGUGAGCACUAGGAAGAUCAUUUGACAGGUUUUUCCUUAGUUGUGUCGUCAACAUAGUCUAAGGUUUUUCUCAGGAAUCCCAUCUUAGAAGUCUUAUGAUCAAGAUUUGUUAGAAUGAGGUUGGGUUCCCACUAAAAAUACAAACAAGAAGAAAAAUAUGGCUUAGGAAGUAAGAAAUAACUAGUUGAAAACCCAGCAAGUUUCUGCUGCCUUUGAAUGGUGCUAAAAGUCAUUGUCGUAUUUAAUGUUGAGUUGCUAAGUGCUAACUCAUGGUUUUAUUGACAGGUGUAUUCCAUAUAGAUUUAGAGAUUAUUGUGAAGAUGAUAAUGCCAAUUCGGCGAAGGUUGUUGAGCUUCUUAUGAUCAAUUCACCCAGUGGACCAGGUCUCUUGUUUCCAAAGGUAUAAAGUCGUGACAUGCUCUUCUGGCAUUUUACUAUGCACACUUUGCUUUGUACAUCUACCUUUUCUUUUGGCCCGUUACCUUCUGAUUCUGCUAUAGAAUGUGAUUUAAGUUUUUAUUUUUUAUUUAGAUAUUUCAAUUUACAGUAGUUUUCCCCUUCAAAAUUUUGAACAUGCUUGAGAGCAUUAUCUGAUUAUCAUACCUAACUUUUUGCUUCUGCAGCUCAAGUCUGUGACUCUUAGUUAUUUCAAUAUAAUGAAACUUCCUUAGGAUGAUUUGAAGUCUGAACUCUUGCUUCCUUGUAUGAAGAGGCAUUUUAUUUUUGAAACCAGUAAUCUUGAUCAUAUGGCCUUAGAGUUGUGCCGAUGUUGGAUUUUAGAUGGGAAAAUAACAAGGGGAAUGCAAAUGAAGCUGCAUGUGAUAAUAGGAAGAUGGCUAGUAUUGAGUUUAUAGCUUAGGAGUUUCAGAAGUGAUUUUGGAGCUAAUGAUUCUGUAUGAAUAUUUGCAAUUACUCUGGCAUAUUUGUGCCAUGAGCAUGUUUGUUGAGGUCUGUGUGCGUGAGCUUGCAUGCUUGUAUUUCUAGUGAAAUGCAAAAUUCGUUCGAUUCCUUUUCACUUUAUUUUGGUUUUGACUAUAUGAUUAAGGAAUCCCAGACCUUACAAAUCCAUUUAUGGUUUCAAUCUCAAUCCUCCUGUCUUUAAAGAGCCAACAAGGGAUAGAUACCUUUUGUUUCAAAUCAUGUCUCUUGAAGUUUCUGUUUGUGAAUGGGGCAUAUAUAAAUUCCUACUUCCUGUAUUUUAGUUACUUCCAGGAAGAGAAAACAAAAGAAGUUAAAUUUCUUUUCAUUUUUUUUUCCGUAGGGGGGAUGGGAGAAUGAUGAGACUGCUGAAGAGGCUGCUGUGAGGGAAGCCAUUGAAGAAGCAGGAGUUCGAGGCGAUCUAAUGGUGAAGUUUUACUUGCAUUAUUUGAGAUUGUUUUACCAUUUCUUUUGCACUUUGAAGGUGUUGAGAUACAUUGUUUGUUUAUCUUUCAACUUUACCAUUAGAACUGCUGUCUACUAACUGUCCUCAUCUCCUACUUGGAAUACUUAUGAAGAGGUGUUCUAUUUCAUUAUAUUGAUGUGAUUCACACACCCUUGUCAUGAUAAUCAUUGCUUCUUGUUCCAUCUAAUAUCUCUGGUGGCUGUUCCUACUAGCAUUCAUUCCUCUAGCGUAAAAAAAAAAUUAUUUGCUUCAGUGGCAUCUCAAGUGUAGUGUUAGGCUAAAAGGACUGCUUCUGAGCUGAUGUCCUGCAUAUAAAUUGCAGAGAAGAGUCCUUUUAGGGAAUACCGUUGCAUAUAUUUAUAUUUGUCUAAAAUCCACUUUAACUUUUGGUCGGAUAUCCUCUGGUGUCAACUUGUUAGCUUUGUAUGUUCUAGGUGUUUGUCUUUCUGUCCUUUGCUCCCAGUGAUCCACUGGGGCUGAGACAGGCUCUCCAAAUAUUCUCUUGCAGCUGGUUUACACAUUUUUUCAUGUAGACAAUACAAGGAAACCAGCUCUAAUUGUAUCUCGGGGUUUCAGGAUUUCAUAGGGUAUUAUGAAUUUAAGAGUAAAACUCACCAAGACGAUUGUUGCCCAGAAGGUUUGUGUAAAGCUGCAAUGUACGCUUUAUUUGUCAAGGAGGAGCUUGAGCUAUGGCCAGAGCGGAGCACAAGAACAAGAAGUUGGCUGACCAUGUCUGAAGCAGUUGAGAGUUGCAGGCAUAAAUGGAUGGAAGAGGCUUUGAAGGACUUCUCUACCUGGCUUGCAAAGAUGUAAACUGCAGGAAAAUAUCCCACCAAUCAGGAUUAUUUUCUGUGUAUAAAGAAGAGGUUUUAGUGUCGAGUCAAGGCAAUUUUCUUUCAACUCAUCAGCCAUCACCCAAGUAACAAUACUGGCAAUUUUCAAGAUUGCAUGGCUUCCUGUUCUUCUAUGUUUUCGAAAUUUCUUCAUUUUACUGACCUCUGAUGUAUUUUGAUUCAGAGGAUUGUCCAAAAUGUUAUAUAUUAUAGUUGUUUCAGAUGCUCGUUGAUGAUGUAUUAUUACCAUUAUAUUUUCCCAAAUUAUACUGGGGAAACAACCAAAACAAAUUAUAAUAAAAAUUCACUCCAAAAGCAGCUUAGUUUUCUUUCAAGCCCUCUUUGGUUCAAUACCAAGCAAGUGCUUAGAAAAUAAGAAGAGCAGAAGAUGCAAGAGCACUAGAAUGGCGUGAAAGAAGCAACAGCUCAGCCAGAAUUAAAUGGAGAAUGGCUUGAAAGAAGCAACAGCUCAGCCAGAUUUAUAUGGGUUUAAUUUGUACAAAAAAACAAAUAGAUACCGACAUGUAUACCUCAAAAAAGGCUCAUCAGCUACCAAUGUCAUCUAUUAUGAGAUACAAAUGGCCUACAGCUACUAUUUUUCUUGCCUGCUCUGUCAUCUGUUAUAAUUAAUAGCAAGGCAUGCCAAUUUUUCUCCAUGCUCCUCGUAUCCGUCUCUGGACGUCGUCUUUUUAUCAGCAAACAAUUCCCUUUUACAGACGAAGGGUCAAACAAAAGUUCUAAUCAUAUCUGUAUCAAAUACUGCUGCUGAAACAAAGUUGAUUCUUCUAUGGUGCUGCAAGCCCAUAACUCAGUAGCUCGAGAAGCAAAUUGAAAUAAAAACAGGACCGAGGAGAGGGUGCCAUGAAGCACUUAUAUUCAAUAUUAGCUCUCAUCAAGAACAAUGUCAGCAGGAUCUCCGAUCCAUGGCCUCCCUUCUCUCCAAUGAAACUUAAUCCUCAACUUUCCAUUUGCAUCUACCCCAACUACCUGGCCCUUGCUUGCAUGAGUCUCCAUUCCCCACCCCCACCGAGGUGUUACCAGACCUUCUCUAAUUUUCACCUUGUCGCCUACUUUGAAUGGUCUAAUUCGUUCCAUUUCCAAAGCCUUGCAAAGCCACAGCUUCUCCAGGAAACAGAAUGAAACCCAUAGGUCCCCAUUUUCCAUCCGAUGCACCACUCCAGUGCUUGAAUGAUUCACUUCUCCCCACUGGUGUGUUGGUGUUGAAAUGGAUGCCCUAACCUUCACCCAAUCUCCAAUGUGAAGUUCUUCAUCCUCUACCAGCUCCACUUCUGAUGGAUCAAGCAUCCAAGUCUUGGAGCCUACUGGAGUAUAUAUUCUCAGCUUCCCAUCAGCAUCAAUUGCCGCUAUGGUUCCAACACUUCCAUGACUGUGGCCUGACCACCCAAACCUUGGCUGCUUCACAGAAAGUUUAACCCUAACUUUCUGCCCAACCAUGAGUCUUUCAACUCUUUCAAGAUGGGAAGUAGGCCCCGCCCAUCUUUCUUGCUCCCCACAAAAACCAACAUAUAUGCUUCCAUCCCACUCAUCUCCAUCAUAUCCUAUACCCUGUACAACACCCACACUGCCUGGUCCAACAGAUUUCCAGUUACUAACAUCUCCCCUCAGUUUCACCCACUCACCCACUUCAAAUAUAUGUUCAACCUCGAGAUCUGCGGGAUCUCCUCUCCACAACCCUGGCAAAUCAAAGAAUGCAAUCCUCACUUCUCCAUCAGCAUGAACAGAGGUGAUUAUGCCUCGCGAAUCAGGCUGAGCCCCUCUCCAGCCCCAUCUCGGCUCCGACAGUCCAGUUCGAAACCGAACAUGCUGCCCAACUUUGAAACAAGGUACCUUUUCAAUAUCUGUGUGAUGAGCAAUCCAUCUUCCUUUACGGAAACAACAAGCCAGUUCUAGAUAACCUGUCUCUUGUAUGCUGUGUACAACAGCUAAACUUUCCUUUCCAAUACUAUUCCAAUCAUAACUAGGUCUAGUCCCCAAACUAGGUUUGGAACGUACCCAAUCACCAACUUCAAAUCCCGAAAGCCUUUCUGCAUCUCCAGGAGAAACUUUCCACAAGCUAUGUCUGCCAGUAACCCUCACCUGCAUAGAAUAUAGCAAAUCAAAAGACAUUUCAUUCUUCUGCUGAAGACUGACUAUUGGUAAUGACAGCAAUCAACAAUUUGAUUAUAUAUGGAGAGAGUUGCCCUCAAUUAGGAAUGCAUAGCAUUUACUUCUGCCAGCUUCCAAUCAUCACGUUAACCAACAAAUGAUCUCACCAUUAUCAAGACAACAACUAGAAGAAAAUGUUACUAAAUUAUAUGAUGAAUGCUGCACCAUCGUUUCAUUAAUGCAGCACCCUAUCAUUUGCAACACCUUGCUACUUGUAAUGAUUGCAGAUGAAAGCAGCACAAGAGGAGCAACUUGCACAUGCACAAGAAAACAAAAUAAAAGGCAUAUUAAAGAUCAGAAGGGAGCAUGCAUACAUUCAAAGCUCCAUCCAUGUCAAUUCUCACAAUCUUUCCAACAGUUGCAGGACUUUCAUUUGACCAUCCAAGACGUGGUUGAGUCACAGAUGACAAGACAUGUAUCUCUUGUCCCAUUUCAAAAGGAGGCACCUUUUCAACAUCUGUCACAGAGCAACAAAAAGGCUUGCUUCUGAAACAGAAUGCCACACCCAUGUCACCAUCCUCUUCCAGGCUGUGAAUUACCCCAAUACUGUUCCGUGUGAUGUCUUCCCAUCCAUACUUUGGAGAAGAUACUGAAGCCUUCACUCUAACCCAAUCCCCAACCUGCUCAUAGAGGAGAUUCAUAUACACAAAAAAUAACUUCCUACAAAGGAUGUAUUGAAAUUUAUUCAUGAUGACAAAUAUCAUGCCAUGACAUGUAUAACCAUUGGUCAUGGCAGAUGGAUUACCACAUGCUACAAAUUAUGCCAGUAUCACAAUACCUUAAAAUCUUCAACCUUUUCCAUGUCUGAUGGAUCAGCCUGCCAUGGUAUAGGUCGAUUUGGUAUUUCAAUUAUAAGCAAGCCAUCAUUCUCUAUCUCACUAAUUCUUCCAACACUGUGAUGUGUUUCGCCGCCCCAAGCAUAUCUAGGUUCUGCAACAGAUCGCUUCACACACACCCGGUCACCAAUCUGCAAAAUUAAAUGGUGAAUAGGUGUGAUAUCCUUGGAUAAAAAUAGUGAUAACUGAGAUAAUUUCUUUUUCUAGAUACGAGAAAAUUGUCUUGAAAGCAAUUUUAGCAUUAUUCAUGAAAAAGAGGUCAAAUUUUGUUAUACCUUGAAAGGAGCAACAGGCUCAACCUCCUCUGGUUCACAAUGCCAUGGAUUUGGAAGAUAGCUCAACUCUAACAAAAGACUAUUAUCUGGUCUAAUACAAUACACAAUACCAAUGCUCCCAGGUGUGACAGAUCCUAGACCGUGCUUGGCAGUUGUAAGUGUGGGCCGGAUGCGAACCCAGUCACCCACCUUAAAUUCUUCGACUCUUUCCAUCUCGGCAGGGUCAGCUUUCCAUCCUCUAGAUGCUCCCGGAAAUCCAACACGAAGUAUGCCAUCAUCGUCAACACAUAAAACAGUUCCGAUGCUGUCACGUGAUUGACCACGCCAGCCGAACCUAAUAGCAUUACAGUAUUAGUUAUCAAUAUUAAAAAAUGAACACAUAUCAGUGCUCACAGAUCAUAAUUUGCUUCAGAAAUUUUCUGAGAAUUCCCAGAAAGAAUGACGAGGUCAGAUUUUUUACCAUGAAUACAACAAGGACACGUCUUCAUUUCAAGAUGUAAGAAAGACAAAAAAAGUGAAAUUGUAGGAGAUUACAGAGAAGAGAGAAAGUGAACUGAACUUCCAAGUCAAUCAGUCUCGACUCUGAGUGCAUGAAUUUGUGUGUGUACGAGAGAGGGACAAAAAACUUUCAUUUUCAGUUUCACCCAAAAACUCCUAUUACCCUUCCAUUUUAUGACGCACAAAUAAACAAAGUGCAAAAAUAAAAUCUCCAAGAUCGACCUAAUUAUAGUAAUAUUAUAACAGUUAACAAGCAUUCACAAUGAAGAUUUCUGACAGUUACCACUGUAGCAUGUGAGCAUUUUAUCCAUGUACUGUAACAUUUGCCAAAACUUGCAAUGUGAACAACUUAGCAGGCAUACCGUGGUUCUUUGACAUCUUGCUUAAGCUGGACAUGCUGUCCCCUAUCCAAAGGAAUCACCUUCAAAACUUCAUUGGCUAACACACGAGCCUCUCCAGAGCAAAAUGACACAAUAAGGUUGUCCUUGUCCACAACAGUUUGCACAAAGCCUACACUUUUGUGUUUUGCACCUUGCCACCCAUGCGUAGGAGUAGUGACACUUCUUUUGAACUUCACCCAAUCCCCCACUUCAAAUCUAAAUGCCAUUAAGAGCAAAGAAAAAUAUAUUUUAGUCAUAAAUCAUGCCACAUCAACUUUCCAAAAAUUCAUCAAAGCACAAUGACUAAAGUUUUGUCCUCACAUUGUAGGAGAUAGAUGAACUCCCCUAUUCACAAGUGCCUCCAUCAAAUCUUCAGAAAUCCAUUCCCGAGGAAGGGCCUCCAAAAAGUCACGGAGUGUCUUACCACUGUCAUAAACAUGUAAAAAAAAGCGUAGGGUUCAACACAUCUUGGAUCACCUUUGCAACUUUACAGUCAAUAUAUGACACAUAAAAUGCAGCAUCUCAAGGACAACAAAAACAAAUUCCAUUGUUGAAAACAUUGAAAGAAUAGAGGUAUGUUAGAAUCCUUGAGGAUGUCAAUGCUGGUACGUGCCUGUGGUUUCUAACUUCAACAGCAGCAUUAGAAUUCCUGAGCAUAAGGAUGAGCCAUUCAAGAUUCUCACGUAUCAUUUUUGCUGUUUCAGCUGCUAUGUGGAAAGCAUUGUCCCCUUCAUCAUCCUGAUAAUGGGAAAAUGCAUCUUAUGGAUUUGCAUUUAGCAGAAAACUCCUCAUAACAAGGAGCAAAGAGAAUAGAAACAACUUGAAUAAAUCAACUAAAAUGUAGAAAUAAUAAGACCAGCCAAACCAUAUUUAAUUAUCACAGCAAAGGAAGAUGGCCCCAGAAGAAAGAGCAAUGCAGAAAGCGCAAACAUAACUUGAAUAAAUGGACUAAAAUUUAGAAAUAAUAAGACCAACCAAACCGUUAUUAAUUAUCACAGCAAAGGAAGAUGGCCCCAGAAGAAAGAGCUAUGCAGAAAGAGCAAAAGUAAAUGUCAUCUGUCGUACAGGUAUAGGAAUAGUCAGCCAGAAGAAUAAAUGGAAGUCACUUUUACAACAAAAGGUUGAUUUUCCAAACAUCUUUAUGUUUCAAAAACAUGAUAGCUUCCAAACCAAAGAUGGAUAGAUGAAAUAACUUAAGCAACCUGAUAACAUGUAACCUUGACCUAGAAUAAUUUCAAUCAAAGGAAGAUGGCCCCAGAAGAAAGAGCUAUGCAGAAAGAGCAAAAGUAAAUGUCAUCUGUCGUACAGGUAUAGGAAUAGUCAGCCAGAAGAAUAAAUGGAAGUCACUUUUACAACAAAAGGUUGAUUUUCCAAACAUCUUUAUGUUUCAAAAACAUGAUAGCUUCCAAACCAAAGAUGGAUAGAUGAAAUAACUUAAGCAACCUGAUAACAUGUAACCUUGACCUAGAAUAAUUUCAAUCAUCUUGAAGACCUAUAUACGAACUCAUCCAAAAUUGAAAUUAAUAGUAGAUGGUAAAGUUGGCAUGCUGCUAGCGAUCAAUACUUCAAGAAUAACCAGGUUUGUGAUAUCAGUUUCUUUUUCAAAUUACUCUUCUAUUCCUUAAUGAGCAACCAGAGAGCAUGAAACCUUGGCCGAGAAUAAUUUCCAAUCAACAUUGACAAAGAUAUAACAGUUUCUUUCUCACAUUAAGUCUCCUACCAUAACAAUUCAUGACCAUGAAACUUAAAAUCAAUUUGCAUUUACGAGAAAGCAUCACAAUAUCUUGAAAGAAGCACCUUUUACUAUUUAUUUGGGAAACUAAUUCUCUCCUUUUCAGCAAUACUAUUCUUUUUUUUUUUCGCUGUCACAAUUAUUUUUAGUCCUCUAAUGGUUAACCCUCACUCAGUCAGACACAUUAUUCUUUUCAAUUUGUUAUAGGUCAAUCCCCCAUUAGAAAUAAGCCCCAGGUUUCAUACAUGUUGCUUUCAUGAAAGCAGUCCUAAAACAAUAAUUUUUCUGAGCCCAAAAACAUUGUAUAUGUCAAGGAAAACUACAUGCCACGAAUGAAAACCAAUUCCAAGUUCUCCAUACAUUCAGGAAUUCCACAAUUUUUCAUCUUAGAAUAUUUCACACAGAAACUACCACGUUUAAUGGUUGAGCAUCUGGUAACAUCCAGACCAAAACGAUUUUUAGAAACUAGCAGGCGUGAAAAAAAUCAAGCAGUCAGCAUAGUAUAAUAGUUAACUUCAGAUGAAGAGAAUACAAUCAAUGCAAAAAUACACAUGGUACCAAUGAAAAUUCUAAAGUGUAAGUGAAAACCUGCAUAUUACAAUUUGCCCCUGCAGAUAAGAGCAACCCAACACAUGACUUUGCCCCUCUUGCCAAGGCUACAUGGAGAGGUAUUGUAUUCUGCACGUUCCGAAUGUUUACAUCCACUCCAGCAUCAAGAAUAAUCUAUUAAGAAAUUUAAAGGUGUAGUUAUAAAAACUGGAAAACAGAAAAAUAAACAAAACAUUCUAGCCAAAGCAUCUAGAAUAAGAAAGCUACAAUAGAGAAAUAAGUCAUUAAGCAAUCAUAUCCACCAGGAUGAAAGCUAUAUAUCUUACUUUGACCAAUUCAACAUCAUUAGCCAUAGCAGCAGUAUGUAAGGCUGUUCGCCCAUGUUGAGCAUCUUGGGCAGUUGGAUCUGCUCCAGCAAAAAGUAAUAUUCGCACAAGUUCUCUCCCUUCUACAAUGAAUCAUCAGAAAUUAAUUAAAUGCAUGAAUCACAUCAAGCAUAGAUGAUACAGAACCAAGCGAUUUUACUCUCUCUUUUUUUUAAAGACAAAAACACACUAGAGAAAUUAACAAUGCCAAAGUGCAAACACAAAGGGGGCAAGAUGUAAAGACAAAAGAUAAACACUGGAUAUAGAAGCAAAAUCCUUUUAGACACAUGAAAAAACUAAAGUGCUUUUCGACAUAAAUUAACUCAGGCCAAGAUCAAACUUAACACCAAACAUCAAAUCAUUGAGAUUUGGUUCGUUAAUAUGUGGAACAAACUCCAGAUUGGUCAUCUGUUCAAUCAACAAAGAAACCAUGGACUAUUCAAAAUAAUGCUAACUAAAACUGAAUAGGCACCAGCUCUCAAAACAAAGAAACAAUCUUUUUUCCAAAGAAAAACAAAAUAUCAACUAAAAAGAAGAAUAACAAAUUGAACUAGACAGAACUUAUCACCAGCUGGUAAUUAUACUAUAAUCAAACAAUCUAAGCUUCUAAGCUUCCAAAAUUACCAGUUUCAUGAUCUUUCUUCGCAGCAGCCGCCAUGCAUAAUGCAGUUCCAACAGGACUUGGUAUAUCAAUGGCAUCAGCAAUUUCUUCUGGGGAUGCAACUUCUACCCACCUUCUCACAACAGCCACAUUCCAUGUUGCUACACACAAGUGCAAUGGCCUGUGGCAUUGAGAGAAUUAUGAUGUGCAUCAUAGAAGGCAAGAAAUACAAUUGAAAGAAACACAGGCAUAAACAUUUUGAACACAUUACAAUCAUAUAAAAUAGCCAUCUUAUAGAAAGAACAGAUUUCUCAGACCACAAGCAAGAGACCUAAAGUAUUUUAUUAAUAUCUCCUACACUUCACAAUCAAAAUGGAGAGUCGCACAUAUAACAGUUAUUUUAUACCCCAUUAAAAGUGCAGAACAUUAAUGAGCACAUAGGCAGAACUGAUGAGUGUGCAGAUGGAUAGAAAUAUGAUAACUUAAAAAAAAAAAAACCAAGUUAUCAUAGUAGCAGCUGUAGGAUAACUAGCUCUUUCUGGUACUUUUAAAUAAGUUUCCUUUGUUGUAUCCAAGCGAGUCUAAAAUUAUUUUUGUUUUUUAUAUUUCAUAUAGGAUGGUCCGCUAAUGCUCAUUGUCAUAACAUCAUUCUUUUUCUUUAUUAAAAGAACUUCCUCCCUUUUUCAAUAAAAUGGAAAAAAGAUGAGAUGGAUAAACUGUUUUUAUAUCCCAUUAUACCCCAUCUGCUUUAUGGGUCACAAGCCACCAAAGAAUCAGAAAUAGCAGAAAAAGAAGCAUACAAACCUUUUCUUGUCUUACACUGGUUGUAAACUCGGACAAGGUUCUUACUAAAAAGGAGAGACAAGGUGAUCACCCUUCCUUGUUUAUCAUUCAUAUUGAGGGGGGUGGGGGGGGAUUACUGCAAUAAUUAAAGAAAAAAGCUAGCAUGCACUUACGUCAAAUUUUUUGAAUUUGGGACAGCCAUGGACCCACAACCCCCAUUUUCCAGUAUAACAAGAGCACAAUCUGUAUAUUUCUUGGAAACAGCUCUGUGCAAUACAGAUUCACCUUCAUCAUCAAUUGCAUUUGGAUCAGCUCCAGCCAAUAGCAGCUCCUAUCAUUGUAUAGGUUCUUUUCAAUAUGAAACCGAUAAAAAAAAAAAAAUAUAUAUAUAUAUAUAUAUAAACAUGAUGAACUGAAGACCUACACGCAUGCAAUCAGGUUGGCCAUGGUAUGCACAAACAUGAGCAACAGAUGGACCAAAACCUUCCCUCAACCUAGAUCUUACAUUAGCCCCUCUUUCAAUGAGAGCACGAACACAUUCUGGGGAUCCUGCAGCUAAAGCAAAAACAAGCGGAGGAUCCCCAUCUUUGUCCAAUACAUCAACAUCUGCCUCUCUGUACUCCAAUAUAGCCCUAACAAGCUCUGAACUACCACGUCUGCAAGCUAAGUGAAGAGCAGUUUGGCCAUCAGCAUUCUGCGCUUCUAAUAGCAUAGAUAUUGGGAAAUUGUCAUUUCGUGAUGCAACCUUUGCAAGUAAUUCCCUGCAUUCAAUAAAGAGGCAAAAAAAAUGUGAAAUGAGAUACAAAAACAUGCGAACAUAUAUAGAGAGUAACAAGAAGGUGUUGUAUUAAACUGACCUAACACCACUAACAUCCCCUUCUGACACAAAUCGAUGUAGAUGGCCAGGGUUAUCCUGAAAUACCUCCAAAUCAGAAGCAAGGGGAGGUUCCUUCACAUAUGACCUAGGAUAUUUUGCAAAGCUGCUGCAAUCACACAAAAACUUUUGUAAGCAAUUCUCUUGUUUUGUAAGCAAUUCUCUUGCACGGAAAGCUAGUCUCCUACACACACAGAGAUGUGCUUGAACACAUGAUUAAUCCAAAAACAAAGAACCACAGCAUUCGGUGAAAUCUUUGUUUGGCUAUAACAGCAGCAACUAAGCUGGCAUUUAGCAGUGUGUCUAUACAAAAACAAUGGGAGGAUAAGAUCUCAACACCAACUUUGAUGUUCUUACUUAUCAGGACUUGCAGGAGGGCUGCGUGGCAACUCCUGCAAAUGACGGAGGAAUAUUGCUAACAUUGCACUAAAAGCUGGCCUUUUCGAUGCUUUGAAUUGUAGGCAUUCUCCAAUCAUCUUCCACAAUUCUCUAGGCAUUCCAACACCUACUACACUUGCAUACUGUGGAGGCAACUUUCGACCCUUCACAACAGCUCGAUAAAUUUCAUCUGCACUUAAAACAGCCCACCUGCACAAAUAAUCAACUUGUAUUACAAAGAAAUUAAGCACCAACAAAAAAAAUUCAAAGAAAUGAAAGAUUAAACAAGAAACAAAAAAUAAAUAAAAAACACAUACGGGAUAGAACCAGUGCACAUCUCCACCAAAGCACAACCAAAACUCCAGGCGUCUGACUCCACGGAUAUACCUAUUGCAUCAUCCCAGAACAGAUUCAAUGAUUUCUUUACCGGCUCCCAUGCCUCUGGAGCUGUAUAGUUCGGACUAAGCAUUGUACAGUCCAUGCAUGAAUGGAUUUUUGCAGAAUCACACUCCGAUCGAGCUUUCCUACAGGCAGGUUUCUUUAGAAUUGCAGCAAGUCCAUAAUCAGAAACGACCGCACGACCACUUGAAUCCAAAAGAAGAUUCGACGGUUUUAUGUUCAUGCAAACAACACCUGCUGCGUGAAGUUCAGCCACUCCUCGAGCUAUAUCAGCACCAUAUCUACAGUAGGCAUAUGCUUACUAUGUCAGGAAAAGAAUCACAGCCAGCUAACAAUACUACAAAGAGCUUUUCCAUGAGCUUAUUGGUUAGCAUAUACUAAUUAAAAUAUCUGAAACUCAAUGGAUCUUCAACCAAUCCAUGCAUUGAUUUAAAAGUAAGAUUCAAUGCAGAAAGGGAAACCAUUAGAUGUUUGGCAUACUGAUAUGAGAUCUUUCAAAAAAUUAGAUUCUAGAAUUUCACUAAAUUUGUGUGAGAUGUUUGGCAUCCUGUUCCUGGAGCAGUUGAAUGAUAGGGAAAAAACUUUCACUCAUUUCACAAGCACCAAAAAUGUGAAAAGGCACACCCACUGCAUUGAAUAUCUUUUCCCUCUCCCACAACCAACUAUGUGAAUCGACAACUGUUCCACCUUACUCAGAAUAGCCUAAUCUUCUCCAGCUAUCAAAAAAGUGUAUUUCACGUACCCUAGGCCACCAGCAAAUGCAACAAAAGAAGAUACCAUUCAAUUUCUGGAAAUAAUAAACAUAAAAAUUUGUCCUUUUUUUAUCAGUUUAUAAACCAGCUAUACAAGUCUGCUCACAUAGAGAAUGCAUUCCACCAUGUAGCCUCACAUGCUAACAAGAACUGUCUCCCAGUCUUUCUAAAUUUUGCAUCAACGGUGCUCAUAGCUUAAACAUGGUAGUUAAUAUUUAUCCAUGUACAUGCAUAUGGAUUUGAAAUAUGACUUCAUGAACAUGAAAUUGGUUGCGUCAAAUACUUCUCGGUACUAUAAAACUCAUGUCUGUCUCUAUGCAUGCAGCAAAAUGACUUUUCAGCAAUACACGAGGAACUCUUUUUUUUUCAACAGACACAGGUACUGAAACAACCUUUUUACCCAAAAACUUAAACAGCUAUCUUAAUCUAGCACUGAACUAGCAAAGAAAGAAAGUGAAAAUUUUGUUAGUAGCAGUUAGUGUGAGUGUGUUUCCACAUGCAUGCGCACACCAAGACUAUCAGAGCUGAUUUACAUGAUGGAGGAUAAGAUAUCCUCCUAAAGAAGAGACAUAAAUCUAAGACUAUCAGAACAUUUAAUUCUUCUGUCCCUUUUAAUGUCAGAUAUGAACAAUCCCUCGAAACUCCCAUGUAAUGAGGCACAGUGAUGCAGCACAAAACAAAAACAAAAGACAGAUGAUUUAUGACGAUUAUUAUUUGGAUACAGAACAAUCCUCGAAUUCUUCUCAGCUCAAAAGCACCAAAACUACAAAAAAGGCAUACUUCUACAACAUAUCACUAUCCUUUCCUCUCCCUAAUCCACCCAGAUUAACCAACAAAUCCUCUUCUGUCAAACCCAUAAGAACCCAAUGCUCGCCACAUAUCCUAGGCCACCGACAAUGCGAAAUGAUAAGAUAGUGUGCAGCUCCAGACAAAAAUAAAUAUAAUUUCUGUUCCUGAAUUCUCAGCUAACAAACUAGCAUGACAGUAAUCGUAGAUUCAACAUUGUAAUUGAUAUUUGACUGUAUACAAGUACAAACAUUUCUAUUUUCCCAUGUGAAUCCAUGAUCAGGAAUUAGGUUUUAUCGAUCUCUAAUCAACACAGUAAAUCGACAGCUUGUCUAUGUGCAUGCAACUUGAUUACUUUCACAGGGAAAAAAUAACUUAUCAAAUCAAACGCCUAAACACACAGCUUGAUCCUUAAAACGCAAAUUACUGAACCAGAAUUAACGCAUAGGACAACAAGAACAAAUUAAAUAAAAUCUUAACCAAAAGCAUAAAACAAAAUUCGAAAAGGCAAAAAAGACCUUAGAAUUUGCUCGAGAGUAAGCCUUCCUUCAUUCCUUUGCAUCUCCGAUUCAACAGAACCAUAACACCUAUCCGUAACAAUCCCUAAACACCCAUCCAUUUUUACAACACCAUGAAAAGUACACACAUUCCUACACCACAUCGCCGCCUUUCUCAAACUCUCCAACUGCCCUAACACCCAGUCCACCUCCAUCUCCUCCCCUAUCUCCACCUUCUUCACCGCCACCCGGUGCCUACACACCUUCUUCCCAUGGACCCCGCCGCCACCAAUCACCGCCGUCCACGUCUCCAUCCCAGAUUUACUCCUCCCUUCACCAAUUUUCUUCACCAACUUCACCUCUGGGUGGGCCCCGACAUCAAUCACCGGCCCACAGGCACCAGAACUCGACGCGUGGGACCCGCGGCUACACCUCUCCUCCUCGAAAUCCUCUUCGUCACCAUCACCCUCGUCGUCAGUGUAAUCGCAAUCGAAGUUCGCCGCCGCCGAAGACGACGAGGAGGAAUGGAGCAGAGCUAAAACGGCGAAGUUCUUCUUCAGUGCGGUGACUGAGUUGCCUACGACCGACACGUGUCGGCAUCUAGGGCAGACAAGUGUUGUAUCGGUAGAAGCAGAGAACAUUCGAGAGAGACAGUCUUUGCAGAAUCCAUGACCGCAUUGGAGAAGUAGAGGAACUCUCUCUUCCUCGUCAUACCGCGUUUGGCAAACUGAGCAGCAAGGGACUUUCAUUUUUUCUAAUUCUGUGGUUGAAUCAAGUGAGAGAUUGGGGUUUUAUAAGUGAUUUUUAAAGAGAUCUUGAGAGAGCCAAACAAGGUAGAUCCAUGGGGAUUGGUGAAAGGAAAUGGAGGAUUAAGGAAAUACAGAGAUGAUAAAAAUUGUGAUUAUUAAGAGAUUAAAUGCAAAAUGUUAGAGAGAGAGAGUAGAGAGAGAGGGGGGGGAUUUUUUGGUGAAUUGGAUUUGUUUUUCUUGCCUUUGCUUUAGGUUUGGUUGGCUGCUUUACUGCUGCUGCUUUGCUUGCUUGCACUUGUGAGAGUAGUUUUUAUAAUGGAUUUGUAUGCAUUAUUUUUUUGUAUGGGGAUAAAAAGGAUGGUUUUGAGUGGAGAACAUGGAUAGGUGCUUAGAUUUAUAUGUUCAAAAAUAAAAUUGAGGGAUGCGUCUAGUGAUAAGGUGAGUAUUUACUGUUUCAAUUAAUAAGUUAGAGAAUGUUUCUUUAUGUAUUUAAAAAGUAUUUUUUUGAAAUAUUUUUUUAUUUUAAAUUAUUUUUUCAAUUUAGAUUUUUUUGUGUAUUGUUAUAAAAAAAUUAAAAAUAUAUAUUGUUUUAAUGCAUUUUCACACAAAAAAUAUUUUAAAAAAUACUUGUUACUACAAUCUUAAACCUCGUGUCGACAUCUAAAAUUAAAAUUAUUGUCAGUCCAUUUAUUACAAAUAAAACUAAAACUCAUCAGUGUUUUAUUAUGGAUCAUGCACGGUCCAAUCCAUAGUAAAAAGACUAGUAAGCUUUUUAAUAACCAAAAAAUAAACACACAUCUAAGGAUAAAGUCGUAUUCUCACAUAUAUGAUCGUACAGUGUAAUUACUCACAUGCUCUUUAAAUAAAAAAAAUAGCUAAUGUAUAAGUGGUGUUUUUGAAUUUUUAUAUUUUUUGUACGAUGUAAUUACCAUGUAACCUUUGUGAUUAACUUUUUUUUCUUAAGGUCAAUGGACAUUUUAGGUUUUUUAACCUCGGUUUUCUUGGAAUUAUUUCAUGGGAUCAAGGGUAUUUUAGUUUUUCUAUCAUUAAAAAAAAUAUGGUUGGCGUGUGCGGUACCUCCUGGUUGCUGUUGAUAGCUUUUUGCGGAAUUAUUUGAAGUAUCGCACUAUCCUCUAUACGGUGGAGCAGCACAUGUUGGCUUGCAUGACACAAAGGAGCUCUGGCAAAAAAAUUUCUCCUUCCUCCUUUUCUCUUUAUCCUCCAUCUCAUAAGAUAUGCUGGCCUUGCAAAAUGGCCCUCAAUCAUUUAAUUGUAUCGGAUUUGAUUUAUUUGUUUUAAAAUUCAUCUCUUGGCAUUUGAUUUUUUAUAUUUUUUUAUCAAAUUUGAUCAUCGUUCUUCUAAUUCCUAUUUAUUUUUCUUUUAAUCUUUUUUUGAUUGAAUUAUAUUUUUUGAUUUAUUCCCUAAGCAUUUGAUUUUAAUUCUUUUUUUAUUUAAUUUGAUCUUCAUUCUUAUGAUUUCAAUUCCUUUUAUUUUGAGUUCUCUUUUUGGUAAUUUUUUUUUUUGCUAUUUCAUCCCUUGUUGUUUAAUUUCAUUGAAUUUUCAUAUCAUAUUUUAUACUUAUUUUUUUAUUAUGCUUUUAAAACCCGACAUAGGAGUGAACCCCAUCAUGUCUCGGGUCACGGGUUGGGUCGAAUAACUGGGGUUACCCAAAUCAAUUGGAUUUUUUAUCGUGCAUGAAGUAGAAAUUACAUUAUUUUGAUUUAACAAAAUAUCAAAAAAAAUCAAUGGGCAUUGACAUGAUUUUUCACAAACUAAUCACUUGAUUGUUUAUUUAGCUAAAAAGUAAAAAUGAUAUUAUUUUGAUAAAAAAAUAAUAAUAGAGAAAAAAUUCAAUCAUGAUCCUCUCUUUUUAUUGGUCUUCCUUUGUUUUAAAUUCCUUUUUAGAUUUUUUUUCCAGUUUCAUCCAUUUCUAGUUGAUUUUGUUUUGUUUUUGUAUUAAAUAUGGUACUCGUUCUUUUGAUUGUUGCUUUUUUUAUAUCAUUUUCUUAAUUUGUUUUAUCUUUCAAUUUCUUCCAUCAACAUUUAUUUCAUUUAUUUUUUUAUUUAAUUUUGGUUCUCAUUCUUUUGAUUGCUCUGUUUUAUCCUUUUUCUUUUUUAUUUUAUUUUUCGAUCAAGUCCCUCGUUAUUUUAUUUCAUUAGUUUUUAUACCAGAUUUAGUUCCUAUUGUUUUGAUUACCAUUUUUUUCUUUCUAAUUUUUUUAUGGUUAAGAAAUGUUUUCAAUAUUUUUCGUGUCUUCUGUAGAUCAUAUUAAUCUCAUGACCAGAGUUGCUGGUUUCAAAUAUUAGUUCGAUUUAACUUUGAUUUUUUUUAGUUCUUUUAAUUUUAUCAUUUGACAUUAGGUUACUGGGACUUGAGCUUUCUAUUUUUUACCUUUUCUUCUUUUGGGUUAUCCUGGAUAACAAAUUAGUUAAGUUAACCCGGAUUCACUCAAGUUAUCACCGUUUGGAUAUCGUUUUUAUAUUAGAAACAAAUUGACCCAUCUCAAAGCACAGCACGAACAAAAAAAUCUAGUAUGAACCAAUUUGAUUAUGACUCUGCGACGUGAGAUGAAAUAUUUGUUUUCUCAUUGUAAAAAACGAUGCGAGCGCUAUUAACAUUUUUUUUAUACUCGAAAGAAACUUUAACUACAAACUGAAAAGUUUAUACAUGUUUGUGAUAAAAUAAAUAAAACAUUCUAUAUAUAUAUAUAUAUAUAUUAGUAAAUAAUAAUAAAUACAUUGAUUCUACUCAAACAUUGUGUUGAUGAUAUGAGAUAAAAAAAUGUUAUUUCUUAGAAGAAAAUAAGAUAAAUAUUUGUUACAGUUUGAGAUUGAAUGCUUAAAGUUUUACUUUAUUUAAAUUAAUAAAAUUAAAAUUUUAUUUUGUCAAUUCGAGAACGUCAAAAUUUAUUAUUAACUUUGUGAGAUCUUCAUAUAAAGCUAAUAUAAGCAAAACAUAAAACUUCAUCCCAAGUCAACUUAGAGUCUGUUAGUUAUUGCAAUAGUAGUUGCUUUUUAAAAUACAUUUCACUUGAAAAUACAUUAAAAUGAUGUUUUUUUAUUUUUAAAAUUUUAUUUUUGAUAUCAACACAUUAAAAUGAUUCAAAAAUACUAAAAAAAUUAUUUUCAAGCAAAAAAAAUCAAAUUUUAAGCAAAUAGUGUUUUGGCCACAAUGUCAAACGCCGUCUCAAAGUGAAAGGAUUAAGUUAUAAAUAAAAAAAGAUCAAGUGAUAAAAAAAUUAAAGGAAAAAAAACAAUGUGGCUAGCUAUUGCAAUCCACGGUGGAUUUUGUCUUUGUUUUUCGAUAUUGUAUUUUUAAUAUUUUUUCCACUUCUUGCCUUUUUUGCAUCUUCAUGAUUUCAAAUUUUAUUUUAUGAUUUAUUGAGGGAUGAUUUUGUGAAACUAAACUAUAAUUAUUAAAUAAAAAGCAAAAAAAAAUCAAUAAAAAAAUGGUGCCGGUGAAAAAAAGUGUUGGAUUUAGUUCACUGUUGAUACAGAAGAAGGUUUCCACUCCACCUUUUUUUUAAUAUGUUUAUUAAUGAUUUGUAUUACCUAGAUCGAAAAGAAAAACCUAAGUUAACUGUAACAUAGAGAAAUAAUAAAAUACAAUUUAACUAGUAAGCGGAUAACCCUGUUUGUUUUUGUAUUUUAAAAGCGCUUUUAAAAAAAUAUGAAAUUUUUUUAUUAUUUUCUUUACUUCAAAUUAAUAUUUUUUUGGUGUUUUAGAUCAUUUUGAUGCAUUGAUUUCAAAAAUGAUUUUUUACAAAAAAUAUUAUUUUGAUACAUUUUUAAGUGAAAAACACUUUGAAAAAUAACCACAAACACACAAUAGACACGCUUGGUUCCUUGAGUUUGAUUUUCUUAUCAAAUUCACUUUUUCUCUAUGAAACUCAAUUGAUAUAUUAGAGUUUUAUUUUGUGGGAAAAUGAUGAGAUCUGAGACACAUGAAGAGAAUAGUAAAACAUAUUGAAAACGAUAAAUGAGUAUACUAAAUUAAAAUUUUUAAAUUUUUAAAUAUAUACAAAUAUUUACUCUUAAGAACAUAAUUAAAGGAAAAUAUUGCUUCCCCCAAACUCUAAAAAAAAAAAAUCGGUUUCCUCCCAAAAAAAUCAGUUUUAUAAUAGAGGGAUAAAUAAUAAUAAUAAUAAUAAAAACCUAAACUAGAGGGAUCACAUGUGUAUUUUACCUGACGGACAACUUAGUCCUUACAGUAUAAUAUUUUUUAAAAUCAAUCUUCAUGUUGAAGUCAAAUGACAAAUAAAGUGGGCUAAGAAAAAUUUGACAUCCCAUUAACAUUGGUCAUAUAUUCCCCGUCGAAAAAAGGGUUUGGUGGACGAACAUUUACCUUUAAUAAGAUUAUUAUUUCAGGAGUGUUGUUGUUAUUAAAAUUAUUUUUUUAAUAAUUAUUUUUAAUAUUAGAACAUCAAAUCAAUUUAAAAAUAUUAAAAAUAUUAAUUUAAAAUAAAAAAAAUCAAUUUUUUUAAAAUAUUUUUUACCAGACAAAACAAAUAGAGUAGUGUAAGUCACCUUCUGAUUCAAAACCUUGUAUUGAUGCACGUGUUGCAUGCAGUACUAGUCUAGACAACAAGGAUAGACAGGUGAAACAAGCUGUCUUGGAUUUCCUUCCUGAGAAAGUUGUCAUCUUGGCUUCUUGCAAUGGCGUAACUACAGAGCUAUUUAGGAAAAGACGAUGACGUGAGAACAGGGUCCUGUCAUGGCGUGGAGCAUCGAGUUCUGCCAGGGAGAUGGAUUUAUAUGCUUGCUGUCUCUUGAAUUCUGCCAUGGAGGGAUUUCAUUGAGGCCGUGGUGGAUAGUUUUGGAUCAGCUCUCUAUCCCUUUGGUGCUUCAGUGAGCAAGAAACCAUGUUUCAAGUUGGAGGGAAUCCAACGCUCUGAAGCUGCUUCAAACGCAUUUCCUUUGUUAUUUGCUCGUCAGGACAUGAAAAUGGACAACUUCCAAGGAAGAUUGCCACUGCCAUUAAAGAAUUUCAACAGCUCACAAGGAUAGGGAGGCAUUAAUUGUCGGUGAUAGAUUUUUCUAGUUGACCUGGAACCACCACGUUAUCAAACCGAGGUAGCUUGGGUAUUUCAAGCAAGUCGAACUUUCACAUCUUCAAUCCUUCAUUUCCUUGUGUCCUUGACACCGAGUUCUUGAAGCUGCGAUUCGGAGGAAACUCCUACGAAGAUCAGAAUGCUGCAGCAGAAAAAUAAAACUUUCUCAUGGAUAAUUCACUCCAGAUUUGUCAUCCAGAAUCGUUGUUUAUAUCAUCAUCAUACCACAAACAAAUUUCUUACCUCGACGAUUAUUAUAAAGGUAUAGUUCAAUCAGGUUAUAGGUUUGUUUUCUAGAAGUUACAAGUUCGAGUUUCACAAAUCUUAAGUUCACUAGAGGCUUAUAUAAUCGUUAAUUUUAGAAUUGUUAAAUUAAUCGAGGUGCAUACAAGCUGGUCUAAACACUCAUAUUAAUAAUAAUAAAAAAAAAAAUUUCUUAGCUCGCCAAUGAUGCACGAAUGAAAGGGAUAAUGUUGUUGCACGGCUUCCCGAAUCAGAUGUCGGCAGCUUAACAUUAAAGGCAUGCACUUCGAGCAAUACUUUGCCUCGAAUGUAGAUCAACCGACAUGGCUAUUCGUCCCGGUAUAGUUUAAUUAUUGGUGACAUAAAAACUCUAUGACAAGUUGACAACAAUACUGGCAUGCUCGAUUACUCGUAUGCCAUGUGAGGGGAUUCAUAGUUAGUCUUGCGGAGUUAUAGUUAUAAUUAACGGGUGAUUGAAAAACGAGAAUAUGAUAAUACUUGUUUUUAAAAAUAUUUUUUAUUUAAAAAUAUAUUAAAAUAAUUUUAUUUUAUUUUUAGAAAAGAUACUUUAUAAAAAAAAAUAUUUGAAAACAUAAAAAAAUAUUAAUUUGUAGGAAAAAAACAAUAAAAUAUUUUUAAUUUUUUUAAAAAAAUGUUAAAUGUUUUUUAUUCAAAAAUAUAUCAAAAUAAUAUAUUUUUUAUUUUAAAAAAAUUAUUUUUAAUAAUAAUACAUUAAAAUAAUUUAAAAACACUAAAAAAUUAAUUUGACAAAAAAAUUUCAAUUUUUUUAUAAAUGCUAAAAUAAAGAGGUUCUUAGACUAAAGUAGCUAUUCAUCGUACCCCAACCGUAAACAUUAAAAACAUUCCUUUUUCUCUAUUUUCAGGUUACUAGACUUUGAAUUUUUGGAAACAUCACAUAGCUAUAAAUAAUAAUUAUAAAAUUCUGAUAAUUCCAUGACUCGCGUAUUAAUUUAAAAAGAUAUUAUUUUAAAAUUUUAAAAAAUAAAUUAAAACAAUAUUAAUUUUUUAUUUUAAAAAAAUUCAAAUCAUGCCCCACUUAGAUUUUGACUAGAUAAUAAGCUAACUCGUGUCUUGUGGGGUCACUAGAUUCAGUUAAACAUAGUUUAAUAAGACUGCUACCAAUUGUUAUUGGCUAUCCAUUGAAAAAACAAAUGUAAAGCAAGCUUUGUAGUGACAUUUUUGUAACAUUUUUUUUCUUGGAAAGUAAGCCGGUCAAUGUUAGAUUUGGAUGAGCCGUUGCAUUUUCGCAUUCUGUCUACCAAACUCGAUAUAUCAAUAACUGGGCCUUACCCAGGUUAGGCCUUGACAGCACAGUUGCUGGGCUCUUGUUGAAACCCAUGCAGUCCAUAUGAAUUUUAUGUUCAGGAGUUAUAAAAUCUGAACUCACUGCCAUCGUUUAUCCUAGUUCGAGGAAAAAGCUUGCCUCGAUCUCAUUUGGUUUAUGCAAUUGCCAAGUAGCUUUCACUAACAUCGACGCGGGCAGCGUAUUUGAAGGUGUGUAAGUCUGGAGAUUGUCGAUGAUGGCCUCCAGAAAUUUCAAGAUUUUCGAGGCCCUCACAAUAAAGUACAGGAAAUUUCUCAAUGAAAGGGCAGCAAAAGAUGAGGUUCUGGCUAACAUUUUCAUCAACUUCAACUGGCCUUGAGGACAGAUUAUGGUAUCACAAGACAUGUGCAGCUUGACAAGGUGAUCCGAUAUCCUUCACCUCUAGAGGGUUAAGGUUUUGGCAGAGAAGAAGGCUUGCGAUGAAUCAUCAAUAUGAAAAUAACGACGCGAAAAUUUAAACUUGAUACCAAGCUCUUCGACACCAGACUGUACAGCAAAUGCAAUCAAAGAAUCGAUACAGGAAGCAAACCCAUUAAGGUGGAAACUCGGAGAUAGGCUAAGCCUUAGCCUAAACAAAGAAUGAUAGACAAAAUUGAGGAAUUUAUUUCUCGUCUUUUUCCUCAGAAAAGUGUAAUUAUACAAUGAUAGGAAACCCUAAAAAAGAACCAGCAAAAUCCCAUGUCACGGGGAAUGAAGUCGAGAUUUGAUGCCAUGACUUGUACGAGAUACCAGCUAGGACCACAUCUAUUGAUGUUGUUCGCUUUGAUACCCCAGAUGGGCAUUGUUUUGCUUUGAACACAAUAUAUCGCUGUAUAAAUCAUUGUUGUAUGCUAAUAACUUCAGACAAGCUCAGAAAUUCAUUUCAAAACUAUUUUAGAAAUAUAUUUAUUCUAUACUUUUGUUUUUGUUUUGGAACAGUAACAAAUCGCAACAAAAUUUACAUAAUAAGCUUUUGUGUUCCCACAUUUGGAACAUUCACAUGAACAAAGAACCACUGGAAAUGGGAAAAACAGCACCGUCGAGGAAUACCUUAACGAACCUGAAUCUGAAUCUAAAGGAACGACGGUUUUGUCUUUCAAAACUAGAAUCCUGGUGUUCUUCGGCAUGUUUAGGUUAAACUGCAUUUGUGUCCUUAUGAGUUCUUCAUUGUUCUAUUUCUACCUUCAUAGUUUACAAUAUCUCAGUGUAAUCCCCAUAAUUCUUAAGCAAUUUAGGAUAAUCCCUCGUUACAAGAGACAUGAAUCAUAAUAGGGAAAUCUUCCAUCCAAUUCUUCUUACCACAGGAAUUAAUUAACUAGCUUUCGGGAGCAACUAUAUUUCCAUCUAUUUCUAUAUACAUGACAGAAAAAGUCAUGAAACUUACAGGCAAGCCUAAGUUCUCAAGCAAUCUUCAACAAUUAGGCCUGCAGGAGAAUCACCUCAAGUAGUUCAUCUCCGGGAUGAUUAAAAUGGGGUUCUGAAAAUAACAACACAAGUGUUUGAUAAUGUACUGCAUAGUAAUUUUGCAAAAUAAUUUUUUAUAAAAAAAUAUAUCAAAAUAUAUUUUUUAAAUUUUAAUACUAAAACAUUAAAAUUAUCAAAAAAAAUAUUUUAACAAAAAUGGUUAAUGAAGGUAGUGAGUUCAACUUUUACAACAUGGGCUCACAUAAACUAAAUUCGGUUGGGUUUAAUUAGAAGCCCAAACAGAUACCAUUUUGUAACGUUAUUUGCGUUGUCAUAAGAUAUAAUAACUUGGAAUUCACUUGGUUUAAGAUUCCAGCCUACAUUAAUCCACGAGUUAAUUCAAAUUAUAUUUUUUAAAAAAAACUUUAAAAUCACAUCAAUUUAGAGGAUAUUUUUUUAAAAUAAAAUAACAUUAUUAUAAAAAAAAUAUGAUUUUAAAAUAAAACUAACUCGAGUCAGAUUUUAAAUUAGUAGAAAACGCUAAGUUAACUUGUUUUAAAUAAACACUUGAUCCUAAUUGUCUUUGAAAUUAUUUAUUGACAUCAAAUAAAAAAAACUGCAACAAAAUUAACGAUCAACUUAAAAAAAAGAAGCAUUAAUUUCUCGGCUUUGAUUUUAAUAAUUUUCUUGAAAUGGUUCUGUGAUAGAUAAAUAAUUAAGAAUUCGUCUACAUUAAUCCUGAUUAUUGAGCAUGUUUUCUCCUAAAAACAAUUGUGAAAAGUUAAACAAAUUGGUGGCUAAAGAUGCUUUAAAAAAAAUUAUAAAUGUGGUUUAUCUAAUAAUAAAUCAUACUCUUUUGAUCAAUGCCAUGUUCAAUUUACUCGACUAUGUUUGUGUGUAGUAUUGUGGUGAAUAAUAUUUUUUAAAAGUAUUUCUUGAAACUACUUCAAAAUAUUUUUAUUUUUAUUUUUAAAAUUAGCAUAUUAAAUUAUCAAAAAAUACUUAAAAAUAUCAAUUCAAUGUUUUUUUAAAACAAAUACACUUUUUAAAAACACCUAAAAAUAAAAAUUACCGUAUUUCUAAACGAAUUCUAAGUGAUGUUUGUUAUAAUAUACGCAGUGUUGUAUAUCAAUAACUCUAACUUAUUUUUUAGCUUUUUUUCUCCAAUAAUUCAACUCAAAUUAAUUAGAUUAUGUUUGAUUAAUGUUUUAAGAUAAAAAUAACGGGACACAUUUUAUUGAAAGUAUAAAGAUAAAAAUAUAUAAAAAAGUUGUUUUUAAACUAAUUUUAGAGUAAAUUUUUAUCAUUUAAAAAUUAAAAAAAAUACAAGAAAUAUAUCUCUCAUAUCCUCCUUGUUAUCUCCAUCUUUUCUACGUGUCAUAGUAAUGAAAUGCAACCAAAAUUAUUUAAUAUAUUUUAGCUAGGACAACCCAGUUAUACUUAACACAUCAAGCCGACAACAGGGAAUAAGACUACGUUAAGGUUAACUGCAGUUCCUAUUCAUAAAAUGACGACCACUCAAAUUUAACUCUUAAUUAAACCCUCCUGGACAAAAAAAAAAAGUCAUGCCACGAGCAGAAGUUGAGAUAGAUGGUGGUAGGGACAACAUUUGAUUAACUGAACAUUUACCCUUUUUUAAUGUGAAUACUAUAUUGUUUAAUCUAAUGUAUGCUAGAUAGGUCCAAAUUAACAUAUGACGAAUUACUCAGCCUCCUCCACAAGAUGUUAAGAUUCUAAAUUUCUAAGAUCUUUACAUGGGUCCCCAGAGUCAGUGAUCUCUAGACAAGUCUUGAGUCGUGAAUUCCAAAAUCAUAGUUUUUCCUUAGUCACAUGAGGCUGCGCACGUGCGUUAUAUCGAUCCAUUUCUCUUCUAGUUACAAUGAACAUAAACAUCCCGAGCUCAGAGCUCACAAAAAACCUAUGAGAUUACGGGUCAUCCAAGCACCUUUAAAGAAUCUUCUAUUGACCUUUAGGGUUUUGUUUCUUCCGAUUUCCAACCUCCAUUGCACACCACCAACCAACCCUAGUACUUAAUUAAUUUGUUCUCCUGCCUUGUCUCUCUGAUCUAAUCUUAUCACCUUCGAGGAAAUUACCUCCAUAACAUGCAUAUGAGAUAAUUGCGGGCCAUCUAACAAGGCAAGAUUUCUUUGCAUUUAAUUAAUUACACACCUUGCUUUCCCUCGGUGCUCUUCCUCUUGCGCCAUCAAUCUAUAUCAUUUUCUUCCCCUUCCUUUUCCUUGUUUUCCAAGACAAAUCACCUUCCAGGAAACCACCCUUUCGUGCCCAAAUCUUCUACUUCCGUACCUUAUAUAAACCUUGCCAGGAUGUUUGAUUUCACAAAACAAUCUUAGCUAACACACACACAAACCCUUUUCUAGGCUAUGGAUGUACUUGGAGUUAACAUGAAGAGUGGCAAGAGAUCACACACGAAGAGAAGUAAAAAAGCCAUCAAGGUCGUGUAUAUAUCUAGCCCUAUGAAAGUCAAGACUAGUGCCUCGGAGUUCAGAGCUCUUGUGCAAGAACUCACCGGCAAAGACUCCGAUGCUGCACGAUUUAUGGACAUUAAUGGUGCUGAUGAGAUUUCUCACCAAAGGGCUGAAUAUGGUCAUCGUGUAUCGGCAGUUCCUUCGACAAAUUCGUCUCAAUCACCAUCAACAACAAGCUCGGAGUCUUUUCUCGAGUCAUUUGACGGAGAACUUUUCCCAUCUAUGGAAGAGAGUACUUUCAUGGGCAUGCUUCAAUCGAGCCUUUUUCAUGAAUCUUUUCAGUUAGAUGUGCUUAAUUAAUUAGUUCAUGGCUGGUUGAGCUUAACUGAUUAACCUUUUUGUAUGAGUUCUUUCUUUGAGUGCUAGCUCUUGUAUCAUCAUAUACUUUAUCUUAUGUAAAUUCUCCAUUAAUUAUAAUUUGAGACUAGCUAGUUCCAUAUAUAUUCAUUACAGUUUAUGAAUUCAGACAUGAUGCAAACUACCUAUAUAAGUAGAGUACUACUCAAAGUUCAUUUAUGGGCUGCAAGAAAAGAAAAAAAAAGAGAAAAAAUUAUAUAUCCCAGAUCAAUGAUAUACUUGGAUUGGAGAUGAAAUGUUAACAUUGCGUAAGCGUUUUUAACUGUUAUGAUGGCUAUGAAGGUCAUGGCUAGUGGAUGAUAUAUUGUUCAAUUAUUUAAUUUUGUUUAACCUAGCUUGCUAGCUGAAGAUUUUAGAGAUUAGUAUGUGUUUUGUUUUGUGUUAGUUUCUGUAAUUGGGAUUGUUUUUUUAAUUAUUAUUAAACUAGACGUGCCAGUUAUCGGAAAACCAACUGAAUUAAGGAAUCCGGGAUGGCUUUUCUAGGGCUCCACCCAAUUGAUCUUUUAAAUUUAUUUUUAUUUUUUAAUAAAUAGUGAGGUAUUCAUGGAUGCGUUGCCUCCAUGGUUUAGGGCCGGCCACGAUAGGUUACAUUACGUUCAAGUACAAAAGGAUUUAUUUUAUUUUUUUAGCUGGUGUCCCACACCUUAUAGACAGUGAGAAAUGAUAAUUUUAUAAACAAUCCCAUGUGAAACCAAAAUUUGUUCAUAUUUUAAGUCUCGUCCUUUGCAAUUUGUUGGUUAAUUGAUCUAUUUAAAAAAAAAAAUACAGUUGUAUUUUAAUAAAGUAUUCUUGUAGCCUCAUACUUAAGUUUUUAGUUCAAAUAAUUAUUUGAUCAGAGCUUUAAUAAUAAAAUAAUUACAAGUUCGAGUCUUAUCAUCUUUGAUAUAAAUUAAGUAAAAAUUAAUAUAUAUCCGUUUAAGUUUCAAGUUUAAAUUUUUUUUAAUUGAAUCACUUUAAAAGAUCUUCAUGCAAAAACAAUUCACUAAAAAAAAUAUAAGCAUCCUCCAUAAUAUAAUAUAAUAUUUAUAAUUCAAGAUAUACGUACAAUAUACUAAGAAAAAAAAAAUCAAGACUUACAAUAUCACUCGUGUGAGAAUAAAUGUAUAAUCCAAUAUGUUGUGAAUGUUGGCAUACUUUGUGAAGUCACUUUUAUAAUGUAAGAAAUUAAAAAUUGAUACAUGGAAACAUGAUACUUAUCAUUAAAUAAAAAAAAUUAUCAUAAAUUCAAAAUCAACUCUCCUCAUAAACACAUAAUCAAGGAGCGAAAGCAAGAAAAAAAAAAGAUGAUAACUUAUUUAUUUAAAAAAAGGAUAAUGGUUUUUGACUAGAGUGGCUUGGAUUGGAAGAAAUUGGAAGAAAGCGUUGUCUUGGUCCUGGUUUCCCACACGUUGCCUCUAGAAAAUAGACAUGACAGAGGUUUCUGUCCAUAGGAACUACCUUAAAUUUAUUUUAUCUAAAUAUUAUUUUUUAUUUUAUUGUUAUGCUGAUCGAUCGGUGCAUAAUCCUGAUAAGGUCUCAGGUAAUAUAUUGACGUGGGUCCAUAAACAAUGCCCUUGCAUCGUGAGCUCACAUCUUGGAACUAUACCUUAUAUUAAAAAUACAUAAAUUUAUAAUAUAAAACAUUGGUAUCGCUAUUUUCUUGUCUGCGUGGGAGAAAUAUGUUCUCAGUGUUGCUCACAAUUUUACCUCGAUCUGAACAUGGUUUCUUGAAAAGAAGUUUGAAAACACACACCGAAAGGUGAUGUCGAUAUUUGUUCCUACGUACUUUCAGAGAUGAUUGAAAGUCGUAGCAAACAACUUGAAGAUGUGUGUACCCUUCGCGCCAUUAAGUUUUACCAAGGAAGAUUCAAAGCACAGAAUUCAAUGAUAGAUGGAGAGAUACAAGGGAUAGGAACAUGUUUAUUUUUAUUUUUAUUCAUGGUUAAUUUUUAACUAAUAUUUUAUAUAUACUUCUGGAAAAAGGAAAUGUAAGAUAAAAAUAGAGAUGUAACUUUUAGAGAUAAGUAUCAAAAAUAUUAUUGUAAUGUCUUCUAAAAAUUUAAGUUUCUUUUGUUGAAUUGGUUUUUAAUACGGUAUCUAAAUUUUAAUGACCAAACGGUCAUGGGUUCGGACCUGAUAAUUCUUUUUCUAGUUUUAUUUCAUAAGAAAUAAACAAAAGAUAAUAUAUAUUCAUACAAGUUUAAGUUUAAAGGGCCUUCAUUUGAGAAUAUAUGAUAAAACAUUUAAUCAAAACGCAGGUAAUGAAAAGCAAGGAAUUCCUGCUUUUCACGCAUUAUGCAUGCUAAUUGCACUGUUCACACUGAACAGUGCAAUUAGCAUGAACAGUAUACAUUAAUACACUGUUCAUGUGAACAGUGCAAGAGAAUUGCACUCUUCACUUAAAAAACAAUGAAUAGUGCAAUUCACUUGUACUGUUCACGUGAACAGUUUUUUUCCAGUGUGUUAAUUUUAUUAACAGUUUUUUUUUUAAAAAAAACUAGUUUAAAGUGAAUUAAAUUCACUCGCACUGUGAUGUGAACAAUAUUUUUUUCCUGAAAAACUAGUAUAGAGUGAAUUAAAUUCACUCGCACUGUGAUGUGAACAAUAUUUUUUUUCCCGAAAAACUAAUAUAUAGUGAAUUAAAUUCACUCGCAUUGUGAUGUUAUCAAUAUGAUGAAUUUUGUAUGUAAUGAAAUUAUAAAUAGUUUAAUGGAAUAAUAAAAAAUAUUUUAUAUAAAGUAUUAUUUAUUUCAUGAUGUAAUAAGAGUAAUUAAUUCUACAAUAUUUAAAUUUAAAACCAUCAAUAUUAAUAUAUAUAUUUUUAAAUUAUUUUAUAACUUCAAUUUCAAAAGCAUUCUUAACCAAACACAUUAAACUACUUUUUCUUCAACCUCAAUUUUAACUACAGUUUUAACCAAACACCUAUUUUUUCAAACCAACCUCAACUAAAAGUACUUUUUAUAAAACAAUUUUUUUCAAACUACAACCACAACAACUACCGUAAUACCAAACACACUCAUGUACCCUUCACGCAAUUAAGUUUUACCAAGCAAGAUUCAAAGCACAGAAUUCAAUGAUAGAUGGAGAGAUACAAGGGAUGGAAACAUGUUUAUUUUUAUUUUUUUUCAUGGUUAAUUUUUAACUAAUUUUUUAUAUAUACUUCUAAAAAAAAGGAAAUAUAAGAUAAAAAUAGAGAUGUAACUUUUAGAGAUAAGUAUAGAAAAUAUUAUUGUAAUGUCUUCUAAUAAUUUAAGUUUCUUUCGUUGAAUUAGUUUUUUAUACGGUAUCUGAAUUUUGAUGACCAAAUGGUUAUGAGUUCAAAUCUGAUAAUUCUUGUUCUAGUUUUAUUUGAUAAAAAUUAAGCAAAAUAUAAUAUAUAUUCAUGCAAAUUUAAGUUCAAAGGGUUUUCAUUUGAGAAAAUAUGUUAAAAAACUAUAUAAAUUAUAUCUUAAGAACUUACCUAACCGGUUUUUUUCUCUUGCAAAUAUCUUUUUCAAAAUUUCAUAAUUUCAAUAUAUUUUUAUAUUCAAAUAUGGAAGAUUGAUUUUAAUUAACUUAAUUCUCAUCAUUGAACAUGAAAAAUAAAAAACUAAUAGUCAUAAAAAAAAAUAACAAAUGUAAACAAGAAAAAAAAAUAGAGGAGAGAAAACGUCAAUUAAACGAAUACGGCUAAAUUAUCAAACAAGAUUAUCAUCUAACGGAAGCUUGGUCGUAAAAAACUAAUUUAGAUAUUUUUAUUGUUAGAUUUGAGAGAAUUUAAAGUUGAAAAUUGAAAAGUUUAAAAUAUGCAUACCACGUGGCAUCUUGUGUGUUCCGGGUACAGAGAACGUGGCAUUACGAGAACCACGUGAUCAGACAAGGAUGCUGUAAGCUGUUGACCUUGUCACCGGUCUGACGUCAUAAUACCACGUAGCCGUCGUUAUCAUCGAGGUGGAUAAGACCACCUCUUUUCUAGAAGAUUUUGGAUGAUACCGUACAGAUACAGCUCGCCUUGACCUUCGAGAAAAUCUUGACCUUCAAUAUGGGUGGCCCAUUCACAUUCAAGUUUUUAAAUUAACUUCAACUCUUCCUUCAAGCCUCGGUAUUAAUUAAUAAUCUUUGAAAUCACUUUAAUGUUUAUAAUUUUUAAAGAAAUCCCGGAAAAGAAGAAGAAUAUUUGAAUCACUCCACAAGUGUUUUCUAGAACCUUGUAGAUGUAUGCUACAACCACCUUGUCGCUUGAAUAUAUAUAUAUAUAUAUAUAGAGAGAGAGAGAGAGAGAGAGAGAGAGAGAGAGAGAGAGAGAGACGAAAAUGUAGUUUUUAAAUUCAAUCUGAUUUGAUAAGUUAAUUUAUAAAAUUCAAGAUUUAAGACUUGAUUUAUGCUUAAAAUUUUCAAUAAGAUUGUCAAAAAUAUUAAUCUAAUAAAAAUUGAUUAAUUUAACUACUCUUUUAAUGUUUGAAUCUAAUUAAACUUGGUUGAAUUAACACAAAAAUAAGAGAAAAAUAUGGAUUAUUGUUAUUUUAAUAAAAAAUAAUUGAUUUCAUAAUUUAUAAGCUAAUCUAAUAACUUAAAUUCUUUUAUAUAUAAAUUUUGAAUAGGUUAACAAAUAUAAUCAUUAAAAACAAAAUAUAACUAUAUUAAAUGCAAUUGCAAAUAAUUUCAACCGGUAAGGUGUUAAAUAUAUGCGCGUUAAGUUUUAGAUCCCACAAAUAUAAGAUAAGAGAAGUGCAUUAUUAAAUCCAUCAAUCUCCCAGUUAAUAAAGAUUUAGAUGAAAAUAAAUAAGAUGUAAUAAGAUUUUAUUAAAAGUACAUUUCUUGUUUGUUAUUAUGGUUGUAAUUUUUUUAAAAAUGUCUUUUCAUUUGAAAAUAUAUUAAAAUAAUUUUUAUAUAUUUUAAAAAUUUAUUUUUAAUGUAAAUAUGUCAAAACUGUAUGAAAACAUAAAAAAAACUGAAAAGAUAUUCCACUCCGAAAGAAGGUUCAUAUUUAAUAUUAUUCUAGUUAAAGUAUCACAACUAGAAAAUAACGUUAUUCAUCCUACUAUUAAUUUUAAUUUUUUUAUUACCGACAAAGAACAUUGUAUGGGACACGUGUCAUUUUCAAUAUCUUAGUAAACCAGAUGUGAUCUCAUGGCAAUCUUAAAGUAUUCUAACUCAUAAUUAUUACAUUCGGACCAUUUUAUAUUGAUUUGACACUUGAUUGAUUCUUUGGUAAAUUCGGUAUGACUUUUUAACAUUUUUUCUCCUUUAAAAAUAUAUUAUUUUAAUUUUUUUUUAAAAAUUAAAAUAAUAUAAUUUUAAUCGAAACAAGUUAGUGUAACCCGGGCUAAAGUUGAGUUUAAAUUUUUUUUUGAAAAGCAAAAUAAAGGUCUAGCUUAAAUUCUAAAUCAUAAAGCCUGGCCCACCUAAAGAUGUAUGAGUUUUCGGUAACUAGGUGUUCCUAUGGGCCAGUUUUCGAUUAAUACUCAUGGCUGGGCCCGAUAGUUAAUCAUAGUCCAGGAACCUUUUUUAGGCCUUUUGUGAGAGCCUUAUAGUCCGUUUGGUUUUACUUUUAAAACUACUUUUAUUUUUAUUAUUUUUUAAAAUUAAUUUUUUUUAAUGUUAAAAAUAAUUUUUAAAAAAUAAGAAAAUAAUACUUUUAUAUAAUUUCAAACAAAAAAAAUUAUUUAAAAAAUAAUGACUGACACAAUAUACUAAACAAGUUCUUAAUUCUCAUGCCAUCUAUGAUCGAAUAGGAAAAGAGUAUGGAUUAUCUCGUUGGAAUUAUUAUCUUCGAAUCAACUAUUGUUAUUGACUCGUCGAGUCGCCAUGUUUAGGACCACAAGCUCGGUGCUCUCGCUGUAGCUCUCGAAAGAGAAGAGCAUGGAGCCAGUCCAACAGCUUACUAUUCUGCGAUGCAUGGUGGCCGUGUGGACGAGCCCGCCUGCUCUCUCCUGUCACAGCUCACCAUUUACCAGACAAUCACUCCACGAGCCCAGAUCUUUAGAAUGAUUUUGAGGAUCCUGGAAUUUGUUUCUGAAUGAUUAGGCUGAUACUAAAGCAGCCAUUGAAUGUUUGGUAGAAAGGCAUGGGGGAAUGAUGAGAAGGGGUUCAUUCCUCAACAGGGAAAAGUUCGGCGACUUGAUAAGACGUUGAUGGUAAGCGUAAGUGGAGGACUCUGCUUGCAAACAAGACACGUGUUCCAUGGAAGGAAGAGCUUAUCUUCAUGCCUAAAAAGGGAGAAUUUGUCCCUCCUGUAAUGAUCGGAUUUAGCCAUGAUUCGGCUCUUGAAUUGGGUUAUUGCUCUUACGACUUAAAAGUUGCUGGCUGCCCGUAGUCUUUUUAGGAACGGGCUAGGGUGGUUGUGGGCUGAGAUUUUCGAGUCUCUGCCGCGGUUUUGAAAUAUUUUUUAUCUGAGGAUUUUAAACCUGGUCUCUUUAUAGGUCUGAUAAUAAAUUAAAAAUCCCAACUCUAAUUGAUGUUGAUUAAUUCAAAAUAGUAUCGUUUUAAGAUUUUUUAAUAGUUAAAACAAUAAAAUUUUGAAAAACAAAAUUUUUAUACAGUUAAACUAGGUUUUGAUGGAGUCACUGUUUAAUCCACUGAACUCGACCCAUGCUUAGAUUUGGAUCACGAGCUAUCAAACUGAGGUAACAAGCCUAACCAGUUUUGAUAACACUUUCUAUAUUUAUUCUCAAUUUGAUUGAGUACUUGUUUCAUUGGUUUUUUUUUUUUUAAAAAAAGAAAUCAUUGUGAAUAUUACAAAAUGAAGGUACAUACUAGGAAUUUAAACUUAUAAAUAAAUUAAAUUUGUUCAUGAACAACAACAUCAUAUAAUAAAUUUUGUAAUUAAAACCAUAAAACAAAGUUUAAAAUGCAAAAGAGCAUGAGACCAGUGAACUCCUCAGUACUUGUAUUUAGUUUUAGUGAGAUGGAGUAAAAUUUGAUCAUUUUUGACUGGAAUAAAAUUGCUAUUCCUAAAUAUUUACCUUUUUAUUUAACCGAGCAAUAAUUCAAUUUUUUUUUUAUCGAAUUUAGCAAUCACUGAUUUCCAUCACUGCUUUUUUUUUUUCCAACAAAAUCUUAUUUGGCCAAGACAGAAAAGUACAAAUUAUUGCAAAAUUAUAUGAAAUUUACACGUGGCAGGAUUAGAGUGAUUAACUAGCACUGACCUUGUCUUAACAUGCAGAUGGGAUCCAAAGCUUCUGUCACUUGCCAGUAAGCAAGAUUGGCUGUAUUGUUACUGUGUCAGAAAAUACCGACACAGUAAACAGCAAAUAAGAUUAUUAAAUAAAAAACGCAAAAAAAGGGAGGAAAAAUCGGGAAAUUAUUACCCAAAAUAUAAUUAAAAGCUAAAACAGCACAUGAUGUAAAAGUUCAGCAAAAUAACAUAAUUUUAGAAUAUCACGGUUUAAAAAUAUAGUUUUUAAAUAAUAUUAUAGUUUAAAAAUACAAUACUUAAUUGUGUUUCAUAACCACAACAACUGAUAUCGUGAUUUAUAAUUACGAUAUUGAUAAAAUAUCUUAUUUUUAAAUCGUUACAUUAUAAAAGAGACCAUUUUAAAAAAUAAUUGGACAUUUAAUAAGAUUUUGGAUCAUUUUUAUGUUUUAAGUCUGAAAAAAUUUAUAAAAUUAUAGUUUUUGUUAAUUUGAAUUUUUAUUUACUUUAUAAUUUUAAAGAGUUAAAAUAUUUAUAAUUUUAUCAAAAUUUGGAUAGAGUUUCCUUUAUAAAAGAAUUAUACCUAAAAUUUUGUUUCGCUUAAAAGAACUUGUAAAAAAUUAUAAUAACCACAAUUAACAAAUUCUAACUAAGUAAACAUAUUCUUAUAUUUCAUAAUCAUAAGUAGCUUUAAAAAUGCAAAAUAAAAAUAAAAAUACAUGCAUACAAAAUGAAUAUAAAAUAAUUCCAUAAUAUAAUAUUUAAAUAAUUUCAAAAUAUAUAAAUAUAAAUUAUCUAUUUAACUAUAUCUAUGUUUUAUCAAAAAUUUAGACUUAUCAGUAGCAUCACUAAAUCCAUUUAAUUAAUGUUAGGUUUCAAAAAAGUGUCAUAUAAUUGUCACAUUUUAGAAAUGAAGAAACUAUACUAUUACAUCAAAUUUUUCCCAACAGUGUUGUUUCUCUGAAAUUUUUAGUUUAAUGUGAUAUAUUUGUUUUUUUUUAAACAAUUGAUGUCAAAGCACUAAAACAUUAUUAUAGUGAUUAAAUAAAUCAUUAGUCCUUGGAAAGUGGAAGGUUUCUCACAGAAGAAGACGUCUGGAGACUGGAACGAUCCAUUCAUCACUCUUUUCUUACCUCCAACAAUCGAAUACAUACAAUUUUGCAAAGUUGAAAGCUUUAAAUCAUCAACAACAACAGAAUCCCAGGUGGGUUUGGUUUGUUUUGAACUUUCUUGUGAUUUUGACUAGAAAACAAUCAAUUUAUGAAGUGAAGGUUUGCUGCCUGUUUGCAAAGUGGGUGGAAUUUUGACCUUCUUAAGCUUUUUUCAUACUUUGUUGUGAUGUUGACUAGAAAACAAUCAUUUAUGAAGUGAAAGUUUGCUGCUUUAUAGUAAAGGAAGUGAGUUUGUUUUGGUUUUUUUAGCUUGAAUUGGUUUUUUUUUGUUGUUGAUUUGGGCUAUCUGGGUAUUGCUAGUUUGGUGUGAAAUCUGUGCUUGAUGCGGUCAAGGUCUCCUUUAUAUUUGAAGGCGAUGAAUUUGGGAGUGUUUCAGCUUCAUUUCGGUGAAAGUUUGUAACUUCACAUCUUAGGGUAGAAUUUUGAUCUCUACAAGUUGCUCAUUAUCAAGGGUUUUAUGUCCCUUGUCCAUCAUUUUUUGGCUUCCGAGUAUUGUUGAAUUGGUAGAGCAUUUUAUUGAUAUUGGACUCUGGGUUUUGUAGUGUCAUUCUCCAUCUUUGCUGCAUUAUUGAGUUGUUGCAAAUUGUGUACUGCUUGCUGGAUGGAUGAAUUUGAUUUUAAGUAGCAUCUGUAUCUAGGGAUUUUACCAUCCUAUUGGGUUGAUCUUGAAGUCUGUUAUUGCUACAGAGUGGCCAAGCUUAAGUAGAUACUGAAUUCAAUUUUGCGUUGAAAGUUAUGCUGUUAGGGUUUUGAAGUGAUACUCUUUGAUUUCUCUUCUGGAUGUCAUGUGAGAUGAUGGAUAAGGUUGGAUGGUAAGAUUUGCAAGCGUGUGACCCAUAUGUGUCCAUUUGAUGAGUUAUCUGAUUUGAUUUCUUCGAGUUUGUUUUGCUUUUCCUCUCCCUUUUUCUUUUGCUUGGUCUUGUUGAAUCUGAUGCAUAGAAUUAUUGCUUCGUCUCAGACUUAGCUAGUUCAAUUUGUGCACCAACUUUGGCUGAUUUGGGUAAGAACAUCCAUGAGCACCUACUUUUUCUUUUUUUCUUGACUGUAUUGCUAGCCAGAUGCUGAUUGAUUCUAAAAUCUAUCAACACUAGCCAGAAAAUCAUCAAGAUUCUGCUAUCUGGUUAUUUCCUGGUACUUUGCAUACCUCAGAAUUUAAUUGGAAAUUUAGAAACAUCUUCUGUUAUUGUGGAUGAUGGACAAUGUGGAGUUUGCUUGGUUUAGUUGAAUAGAUUUUCAAGGUAGGUUUUGGGAAAACUUUUCUGUCCUAUGUAUAUGAACUAAUAUUGCUAGGUCGCAUUCUGUUAAAGGAAAUUGUGGCUUUUUAUAUAUUUGUUUAUUACUAUAUUUUUAGUUUUCUUUAUCUUUCCCCCCCUUUCUCUUCAAUUGUUUUUACUGAAGGAAGUUGGUGAUACUUCUGGCCUUUUGUUCUAGGCAGUGUUUUGGGGUGCUGAUUUGUUUGAAGGGGACUAAGGAGGUUAAGAUGGCGAUGAUGCAUGGGGAGUAGAACUGGUGCAGAAGAGAAGAUGAGAAGAAGGCCGUAGUGAUGCCGAGCUUUGAUCCUCAGUUACCAAUUUCAAACGCAAUGUACAGUUCCUCUUCUAUUACUUUUUAUAUACAUGUUUUCAAUUGAACAUUUCAUUCAUUAUUUCAUCCUUCAAGUUGGAUUUCUUUGUGCCUGUUCCGCUUACUUUUAUUUUUGUCUAUAUAUACACGCGCACACACAUGUAUAACCAAUAGUAGGUUCAAGAACUUGAACGCAUUUCUGGGUGUCUUGUACUCACAUCAUAAAUAAUUUCUAGUGGGUCAAUAUCAGAGUAUAAACAUCGUCUCAAAAGUUGGUAGGCCAGAGUAUAAUAAUAACCAGGAAUUUCUUUGUUUGAUUGAUAGCUUCAAAGGUUGGCAUUGAAUGAUUUUGAAUGUGUUGUCUAGAUAUUGAGAGUGCGAUGUAAUUUGUUUGUUCUCAUAAAAGCUUUUCUGCAUUAGUUACAUAUGAAUGAUUUCCAUGCUUCAUCACUCUGUCAAGGUUAUAUAGCUUUUAUACCAUUCAAGCUCUGAUGAUGGGAACUAUUUUAAGUUAAAUUGCUUUAUUUGCUAAAUAUUCUUGCAAGUGUUCAGAGGAACUUGAUUGUGAGAGAGAGGUUAAGUACCUAGACUUAUUAAUCAAACAAACUAUACGGUCAGCACUGAGGGAGGCUUCCUGCACAGGGGUGAGCUCUUGAGCAACUUGAUUAGAUGAAGAUGUUGCUUCUCUCCUAAUACUUAAUAAAAGGCAGGCUAAGAGAGGCUCGUACUUACCUACACCCCACUCUCUAUCUCAGAGGUUUUUUUGCAUUUUUCCUUAGGUCUUGGGUUGAAAGUUGGAAAUUCUCCCAAGCAGUUCAAUUGCUGACUGUGUUUUUCCAUCUCCCUUUCUUCUUUCUCCUCUGUUGUUCCAGUAAUUGUAGUAUACUCUCUAUUGUUUCUAAAAGUUUAAUCUGGAAGGUCAUUGUGAAAUUUUUGGUCAUGAUGUAUGUGGAAUUUUUGGUCAAGAUGUAUCUACUUUUACUGGUUUUGAAGAGGAAAACACAACAUAAUGUAUGACUUAUUUGGACUGAUGGUGUCGCUCGAUACUUUUUGGUUGUAAAAUUACAACACUCAACAAAUUCUUGGUACUUAUUUGGUGACAAUUAUGGCUUCAGUUGUGUAGAGGGAAGCACAAUCCAUCCUCACUGUGCUACUUAUUUUGGGGUGUUCUUAGAGGACGAUGCUAUUGACCUGAGUCCAGGUAAGUUUUGAGCAAUCCAACUUGCAAGGGACUAAUUUAAAAAUGGCACAGCUUGUUGUGCUCUUUCAUCUAGUAGAUUCUAUAAUUAAAUUUUAUCUGCUGAUAUCUUUUUGGUGAUCUAAAAUUUUCACAAAAACUUAAUUCUUUUUUUAAUUGUGCAGAAACAAAUUCAUAGGAAUAUUGUUAUUCCGCAGAAAAAUAUAAUCUAAUGUUUUUGGAUAAGGGCAAAUUACAUCCACCCCCGAGAUAGUAAAUGCAUGGACCAUCCUCUGUUCUUAAAUUGAAUUGACUAGAGCAGUUGACGUUGACUUAUUGCUAAAUGAACUGCUAACCUUAAACUUUUAGGGACGGUCGAGGUAAGUUAUUUGUGUAAAAUCUUUGCUGGGGUUGCAAUAUAUUUCAGAAUCAAGAGCCAUAUCAAUCUAAUUGCAACAAUUCACAGAAUAGUCUACGUAGUAAUGCUUUGAAAAUCAUCAUAUGAAAAAUCAUGUUCAAUAGUUUUUUUGUGGAAAGAGAGAGUGGGAGAAAAAAUUCAGAUAAUACUGAUCACAGUGCAUAGAAAAUAAUUAAGGAUCUCCUACAUUGUCUACCAUGAUUGUUGGCAUUUGAUAAAUAAACAAAGAUGCAAUCAAAACGAAGAAACUGAAGAAAGAAAACUAUGUGAUUGAUGGAAAUGGAUAACUGUGCAUAUAUUAUUAGGACAUAAAAAAUAGAUAUUUCAAGAAUGUACAACCAGCUAGAAUUAAAAGUGUUAACAAGAUGUAGCAUACUUGUGAAAAUUUUUUUUUUGGUUUCACAGAUCAAAUUUAACAUCAAUUUUCAUGAAGUAGUGAAAUUAGAUUGAAUGGUUUUUGUCUUCCUAUGAAAAGUCCUUUAUGUAAUAUGUGCCAUUGCAGGUGCUGUGUUCAAUUCAGCAAAAGAAAGAACGCAAGCAAUCCCUUCUGACCCCCUCACUAGUGGUGCUUUGGACAAGGUGAGUUUCUUAGAUGGAUGAUAAUUUGCCCAUGUGGUUACUUCAACUAAUUUUUUCCUCUUCCCUGACUUGGCAGAAACAGUCAUCUUCUGUCCAAGUGGAGUCUCAGAGGUUACCAUUAGAAAAAGUUCAAAGGUUAAACCGGGUUUCUAUACCAAGUGUUGGUACAGAAAACUGGGGGGAGACUCAGAAGUUACUGUUAGAAAACAUUCAACAGUCAAACCAGGUCUCUAUACCAAGUGUUAAUACUGAGAACUGGGGGGAGACAAAUAUGGCUGAUGCUAGUCCGAGGACUGAUAUCUCAACAGAUGCAGACACAGAUGAUAAAAAUCAAAGGGUGCUGUUUUUUUCUUGCCUUGUACUCUCGUGACAUGAUGUUAAGCACUUAAUUCUGUAAAAUUAGAAAUUUGCUUAGGAGGUACACUGUUUCAAUAGUUUUAUUAUAUUUUUGUUUCUAAUAAGUGCCUGUAAUCAAGAAUUCUAGUUUACCAUUCUUGCCUUUUGGAUUUCAACGUGCAUCUCUUCUUUUGCUUGAUGAAGUAAGCAAUGACAUCAUUCAUUCUGCUCAUUAGAAAAUGUAUUGAUUGGACCAAAUCAAUUCCAUUCUAACACCUAAAAAUUGUAUGUAUGCAGUUUGAUGGAAGUCUAUCUACAGCUCUUGUGGCGUCUGAUUCCAGUGACAGAUCAAAGGAUAAAAUGGACCAGAAGGUGAAAAUGUUAUAUAUUAAUUGCACUCACAAUAUGCUACUCCAUCUAGUUUUACUUGAUGAUCGUUUGAUUACACUUUGCAGACUCUUCGUAGGCUUGCUCAAAAUAGAGAAGCUGCAAGAAAAAGCCGUUUGAGGAAGAAAGUACGUUUCAUCCUUUACCUGUACUUGUUUUUGUUUCUUAACAAACUUUUUUCAGCAUGUUCUUUACCUGUUAAUUUUCAAAUGGCAAUUGAAUGUUGUCACACAAAUUGGUAUUGAUCUUAAUUGUUAUGCUCUCAGACAUUGUUACUGAUUUUUAUUUCUAAUAGCUAAAUUUGCAUAGUCUAAUGUGGUUAAAAACUAAUCCCGUUUAAGGGCAACAUGGGCCAAGAUGUGUGCACAUGGGGGAUGUGACUUUGCUUCACUUCAUUAUGGUUUACUUCAUAGGAAAAACAUUUUAGUAGUAGAAAGGGAAAUGCUUGCAAAGGAGAAGAAUACACUUUCCUGUUGAACACAAAAAAAAACAAUUGAGAACCCCCUUUGCAAUGCUAGAAAAACUAUCCAAUCCCUGAUCAGAAAGAAGGGUAAUUGCUUGUCCCAAAAGAUUAUAUACUGAUUGGUGCCCCAGAUGAACCAACUCAUGGUACACAUUGAAGGUACAUUUGCCUUCCAUUUAGGUAGCCAAGGAAAAUGAGAAGAGGUCAGAUCUGUGUGCAAGGAGGAAGGAACAAUUAUGAGAAAAAUUUCCAGAUGUCGCUGAUGUCCAGCUCUCUUAUCUCUACUUGGAAGAAAAUUUGUAGAAUUCCCAAAGGAAAACAUCGUUUCUCAAUAUGAUAGAAGUUUUCUAUGGAGGCAACUUAAAGACAGAAAAAACUACAGAGGCAAUUAAAACCAGUAGAAAAGUGAGAACCUAUAGCCCCAGAUCUUCCCAAAAAUGAUAGAGGAUUCAUCCUCAAACUUAAAAGAGUUAAAAGAGAAAAGUGAGGAUGUGUCAGAAAUUAACUUCCCAAACGAGUUCAAGAAUCUUCUCCUACCUUUUACCUUGGUGUAAUCUUGUUCUAAUAUUACAUCAGUAAUUUUUUUUUCUUAAAAUAAUUGAUAAGACCAAGAAAAGAAGGUGCCAGAACAAUUAGUUCUAACUUUUACAUGUUAUAAGCACUUACAUGCCUUUUCUAGCAAUAAUUUGUUACAGCAGAUCCGGUAGUGCAUCCUUUGUGUGAACUUUUUAUGAUUCUACCUGUGUGAAAUUUCUUUACACACAAUCUUCUGGUUUAUCUAUUACACACUAAAUGCAUGCAGCCUAGUAAAAUCUCUUGUAAUUAUUUGAGUUUCAUCCUUUCAUGUGUCUCCCUAGGCAUAUGUCCAGCAGCUGGAGAGUAGCCGGUUGAAGCUAACCCAACUGGAACAGGAGCUUCAACGGGCACGGCAGCAGGUUAGGUUUGGCUAAUUCUGUGCCACAUUGUGUAAUGCUUUUAGUUUCUUCAUUAAGCAUCCCCAUUAUGAGGUCUCUCAUCUCACUGAAUUUUCUCUCAUACAGGGAAUUUUCGUAUCAAGCUCAGGAGACCAAUCUCAUUCAAUGAGUGGAAAUGGUAAUGCCUAUUUUCUUCACUAAGCAAGAUUCAUUGUUUGAAAAGUGUGCAUUUUUGGGAAUAAACUAGAUGUUUCAUGCCUGGUAAUUGUUGGAUGAGCUCCACAUAUUCUUGUCUGUUGAAUUGAACCAAUGAACAUGAUGUUAGCUCUAGAUUUAUACAUUGGAAUGACUUUGAAAUUUCUGUGGUUCUUUCAUUUCCAGGGUUUAAGUUCACAAACAUUCGCAUGCUAACACAUUAGCUGGUUAACUGUAUCUUUUUGCAGGGGCCAUGGCAUUUGAUGUAGAAUAUGCACGAUGGCUGGAGGACCAAAAUCGACAAAUUAAUGAGCUGAGAUCAGCUGUCAAUUCUCACACGGGUGAUACAGAACUUCGUAUUAUCAUUGAUGGUAUAAUGGCUCAUUAUGAUGAAGUUUUCAGGCUGAAGAGCAAUGCAGCCAAGGCUGAUGUUUUCCAUUUGCUGUCUGGCAUGUGGAAGACGCCUGCAGAGAGGUGUUUUUUGUGGCUUGGUGGCUUCCGUUCAUCUGAACUCCUCAAGGUAAGGUUAAUGUGCUUUCAAUGAUCUCCAUAUGCAGGGAUUUGUUCUAGGAGAGGUGGCAUUACUCAAGUAUUAAACGAGUAUUGUAAUCUUGCAUGGAAAAAAGAAUUGCAAAAACUGUAUGUUUUUGGUUCUUCUCCAUUUAAUUUAUUAAUAAAGAAUUGAUGCUACUAAUGCUCUACCUAGCAGGGCGAGGGUGUCAAACUGCAAAUUUGUAGAAAUAACCAAUUAAUUAUGAAUUACUUGGGUGUGGGUUUUGGAUUGUUAGAGAAUCUCAUACUGUACUGUUAUAACCAUAUGCUGGUAGUUAAAAGGUCUUUGGUUCACUGGAUGCUACUUGACUGCAUAACAAAUAUUCUGUUAGAGAAAUAUAAUAUAAAAGCAUUCCUGGUGCAUCACUUAACAUAUUAAGCUUCGAGGUUGAGUGGUUCUUUGACUUAUUCCCUAUCAUUAGGGUUCUCAUAUAGGAUCCAUCCAGUACCCAUUUCACUUGUCAAUCUUUGAUCUGAAGCCCCGAGUGGUAUGAUUCACAGUUUCUUCUUGACAUCAAAUCUAUUCAGAAGUUCAAAGGUGAACUUCGAGUAAUUAUUAUUUAUAAGCUGGCAUAGGAAUCCCUUAGUCCUCUGCUCCGAAACUAAGGUUUUUACUUCUCAGACAUUUUAGAAUAUUAUCAUCAAGUUUUGGUAUCCCAUUGCCUAUCUUCCCAGCAAGUUGGUAAGGUUGGUUCUUUCAUUUGCACCCCUUGCGUUUCCCUAAAUUGAUUUUCUUGUAGCCUUUCUUGGGCUAGGCUGUUCUAAAUGUUUUUGUUUGUAUGGUAAUUUCUUUUUGGUGUAAAAGAGUUGUUUCUCCAGCAACACUACAUUAUUCGGACAUGCACAUGGACAUGUUUAUUUGUGUGAACAUACAGAUUUAUCUGUAUAGCAUGAAAUUAAUCUUAGAAGACAAGGUUGGGAUUGAGGGCCGCAGAGAGGGCAGCAUCACCUCACCCCGGAUGUGUGGUUGGAAGAAGAAAUUUUAUAGCCACCUGCUUCCUUUUGUGUGCUUGUAUGCCUGCAAAUACGGGCAAAAUUGUGAGUUUAUAUUUUGUUGGAAUACGAUUUGUAUGCACUGGUUUAUGCAUUUUAGAAGGGAAAGCUCAUGACCUUUUCCUGAUAGCCCCAAUAAAUGGUACAUACAACGUGUUUGUUAGUCUCCUUUCUCUUGUUAUUUUGAUGGAUUGAUUUGAUUUUCACAUUUCAUUUCUUAGAGUGCCCUUGGCUCGUGGUUGAACAAACUACUCCUAUAUCUAAUUUUUUGUUGGAGAACAUGAUAAAAUUUAAUGAUCAUGGUUGCAGCUUCUUGUGAAUCAAUUGGAGCCUUUAACAGACCAGCAGUUGGUGGGCAUUGGCAACUUGCAGCAGUCCUCCCAACAGGCAGAAGAUGCAUUAUCUCAAGGGAUGGAGGCAUUGCAGCAGUCCCUGGCUGAGACAUUGUCCAGCGGAUCUCUUGGCUCCUCAGGUUCCUCUGGAAACGUGGCAAAUUACAUGGGUCAGAUGGCCAUGGCCAUGGGAAAACUAGGCACCCUCGAGGGAUUUAUUCGCCAGGUAUGCUUCUAAUUGUUUUGUAUGUUGCCUAAAGCAUGGAGAUCCCAUAGAACCUUGAAAUUUGUAAUACUGAUCAAGAGUUCCUAAACCAGAUACAGUUUUGAGUUUUUCUUGCCUCCAUAUUCGUACUAUCAUCUCUCAAAAGGACUUUUCUUUUAAUGUAUAUUACAAAACCAGGCUGACAAUUUGAGGCAGCAAACAUUACAGCAAAUGCAACGAAUAUUAACCACCCGUCAGUCUGCUCGUGCUCUCCUCGCAAUACACGAUUACUUCUCCCGUUUACGAGCUCUUAGUUCCCUCUGGCUUGCGCGACCGAGAGAGUGAAUCUGCUUUGCAUCUGAACUCUAGUUCUGCACAAAAAUCACAAAGGCUCAUUCCACAUCCAGCAGUGCUUCUUGUUUCUAGUGCUCAAAAUAGCUUUUCUUUUCUGCAUUCCUCUUGUUGUAGUCUCAGAUGUAUCAUGGUGCUGUUCUUUCUUUCAUACUAAUCAUCUUAGAGCAUAGAAUUGGAGUCCUUCAAGUACAGUAUGCAUCGAUGUUAAUUAUUUGUAGCCUGAUGAUCGUCUUCCUGUUUUCAUUUUAUCCACAGUUGUAAUGGUAAGUUUAGAAUAUGCUGUCCUUGUACUUGGCAAUCUCGAAAUGAUUUUGAAAGUUGAGAAACUUUCAUUUUGAGUUGAUUUAUUCAUCUUGGUCAACCUAUUAUCUUUUGUUGAAGACUCAUAUUUUAAAAUGAAAAGGUUGAAAAUAAAAAUUAAAAAAGCAUAUGCUAAUGAAAAUGUUAAGACAACAUUUGUGAAGAGUAAAACCAAGCAUGGAAGGAUAAAAUCAAAGGUCUUUAUGCGUGUUUGUUUGCUAGGUUUGCCGUGUGGUUUUUAUGUGUGUUAGUUUUCGCGGCGCACCUCGCAAACAAACAGUUUUUAAAAUCAUCAUGGUUGUGUGAUAAAUUUUUAAUUUAUUGACUGUUUGGUAGUGCGUUUUAAAAAAAUAUUUGUCUUGAAAAAAUAUUAAUUUGAUAUUGUUUUAGUGUUUUUCAAUGAUUUUGAAGUGUUGAUGUUAAAAAUUAAAAAAAAUUAUUUUAAUGUAUUUUAAAGAGAAAAGAUUUUUAAAAAAUAUCUUAUACUACAAUACUAUCCUGGCUAAUAUGUCAUUCUCUGUGUAUAUAUAUAUAAAUUAGAAGUGAUAAAUGUAUAUAUAAAAAAAUUACAGUGUCUUUGUAAUAAGUAAAUGCUUUUUAUUUUUCUUCUUCUAAAACUAUCAGAAUUAUUUGUAAUGAGAUAUUAGCCCAUAAAUUAAUGUGCUAUUUUUCUAUUACAAAAAGAAAAAGAAAAAGAUGACAAUCAUCAUACAUAUUCUACUUUAAAUAAACUACAUUGUUAUUUAUUUUUUUUAUAAUAAAAAUAUUUAUUCUAUUUUUAUUAAAGUUUGUCUAAACUAGUUUAUCUAUAUUUAUAAAAAAACUCCCUAAACCUAUAAUAGUGAUUCAGAUCCUAAAUUUAAUAAUAAGAUCUAAUAAAGCAUUGGACCGAGAUAAUGGUGAAUGAUUAAUUAAACAUGGAGCUCGUUUCUUGAAUUAUGUUCAAAAUAGACUCGGAAGCCGCCACUCAUAUUUAAAGAGUUUUGGUGUGGUGUGGUCACAUUAUCCCAGCACAAGUCUGUUCAUGAUAUUAGAGUGAAACGUCAUGAUAUUAGGGUGAAACGUAUAACACUACCUAACAAAAUAAUAUUUACAAGAAAGUAUUUAUAUAUUUUUUCUUGAAAUAGCAAAGUCUCAACUUUAUAAGAAUAGAACCCUUAUAAAUAUUUUACAAUAAUCGGGUUAAUUCUUGGAACAACGCUUUUUAUUUACAAGAAGUUUUUGCAUUCGAUGCUUUCCUAGCAAAUGGCCUCUUUAUUAUCUUAGACUAUGCUAUAUAAUCAUGGGCCACUGAUAGAAUUAUCCGAAACUAAGCAACAACAUGCACACGAUACAGAAUGCUAUAUGCAUCUUCAACCACCAACAACAAUUACAUAUCCUUGAUUUAUGAAAACUAACAGGAAUUCAUAAAAUUGUAAUCUGGUUCCAAUAAAGAGGACCAUGAACAAAUGAUCGAGGAUUUUAUCCAACAAACCAAACGACACAGAAAUAUUAGUUCAUUUAUUUGGGAAAUUGGUGACCCGAAGCAAAACCAAAGAGAGGCACGUUCACAUAACAUAGAGUUUCAAAAGUAGUUGCCACUAUAGAAAUUCUUGAGAAAAUCAGAGGUGCUUGGAUCCUUGGGUGAUGAAUCGUGCAAGGUCCCUUCCUUCCCUAGUAUGUACUGGCCAAUGAUAUGAUGCCGCUGCUUAUGAUGUUCCACAAUGUUGCCCAGCUCUUCCAUCCCCUUGAAGAGCAGCAUAUCAAUCACCUACAGGUUAUGACUAUCAGCAAAAUAGCGAGAUUUUAAGCCACAAUAAUCUAUAAUAACUACUCAGAUAUAUAUAUAUCCGUCUCCUUGGUGACUCCCUUAAGGAGCUCUCACUCCUAAUCAAAAGAAGCCCUGAACAAAAAAAAAAAAAAACACAAACAAAGAAAGGAAUGAUCUAAUGCCCAGCAAAGACACUACCAAAUUUAUUUUCGAAGCCAAUCAUAAAUUUAUUGGAAUGAAGUAAAGAAGCAAAUAUAUCCACAAAUGGUUGGAAGAGACUGGAUAAGUAGGAAAAGAGAAUAUACAAUGACUGUUAUGAUCUAUUAUCAAAAGGUUAAACAAUCAAAAACUACUGAUAAAACCUAUUGAGCACACCCAAUCUACUUUGUACAGUAAAAUUGGUUUCGAGUUAGAACCACCUCCCAAAACAGAUGGAAACAAUAACAUCCUUUAUCAAUGCACUGGUAUCUGGUAUCAAGAAAUCGAUGCUAACUCUAAUGACAACAACUUGGUUGCCAAGGAAAUACAAAGUCAUCACUGAUGCUACUGCACUUACAGUUUGGAGAUGAAAUGAUAUUUCCUUCUUUUCCAGGGAAUCUGAUGUUUUCCUUCUUCUUUAUGGAAUCAUUCUUGUAGCUUCUAAUAUUUUAAGAGAAAAAUAAAGGACGAGUUUAUUUUCUUUGUUCCGGGUACAGUGAAAGAGAUUUUCGAGAAAUCCAUCAAUGCCAGCCUUUUGGUGUUCUAUGGCUCAGUAACUAGGAGGGUUAGUGUUUGAACUUGAAGUGGAAGGGGUUUCUGUACACCAGUAGUUGUUGGCAGCUUGAAUCUCUGAUUCCGACUACUGGAUUCUCUGGCAGCGAGAAUCAAAUAUCUUAAAUUCUAACGUUGAAUGGUAGGAAGGACAAGGAUUAAGCUUAUAAAGAUAAUGUUUACGAACAUACUACAAGAGAAGAGCACAGAGUUAUUAGUGUUGCAAAUGAGGGGGGAAAAAGUGCAUCAAAGAGAGAAAAACACAGCACACAAGCUUUCACAUACUCGUAGUAGCUCUAUUAUUAAAAAGAAAUGCAUAAAGAACCAUGAACAGAGAAACAAUCCACAUAUUUUGUCUAACUUAAAAGAACAAAUGGCAUCACAUAUUUACCGACUACUUCAACACUUCCUCUCAUUUUUUUUCUCACCCCCUCUCAAUUUUCAUAGGAUCUGUAAAUGAAUUGAAACCUUAAAGCAGACAACUUCCAUAAAGAAUAAAACUUGAUACUUCACCUAAAACACCAAGCACAAACACCGGACCAUUUACAUACAUAAACAACAAUAAUAAAAAAUCCUUACCAUGCCGAUUACUGACACUAUUAUCUGAAUCGAAAACUCUCACUGAAAUGAAUCAUACACAAACUUUCUCCACCAAACCCUAAAAGAUUAAUCCUACUUUUACCUAACAUUCUUCCCCAGAUAUCACAAACAUUGAUUGAAUGAUUGGGUCCCGCAAAUUCAACGGCUGGGAUUUUCCAGGGUGGUGUUUCUCAUUACUGAACCUAACAAACACUAGUUAAUUUGCAAUUACCACUACAACUUAAAAAAAAUUAUUAAAUUAAUAAUCCUUGAUUAAUAAAACAAGAUUUUAAAGUAAUUAAGAAAAAAAUUGAGAGGAGAGAGUGGUGACCUUAGCAUUGGUGAUGUGAGAGUUCUUGCGGAUCUGAGAGGAGAUAGCGGAGCGAAGCUGAGACUUAUUAACGACGUCGUCGAGAUUGUAAAUAUCCAUGACAGCUGGGAGUGAUCUACAAGCCAAUUUGAAGAAAUCGAAGACUCGAGCUCUUGCUUCUUCUACACUUCUCGAGUUUCCUGAUACCUUCAUGACCCUCAAUGCCUGCGCCGUCGCCGUCGCCAUUGAUUCAGUUCAGUAACUCCACCGCGCUAAAGAUUGCAACUUUCUUUUCUUUUCCUUUUUUUUUUUUUUUAUUUGCUGUUUCAGCGUAGAAAAUGAAAGACACGAAGCUAGGUAUAGAAGAUGAUUGCGAUUGGGUGGUGAUGGAGCUUAUACGACCCCGUUUUGUUUUCUUCAAAACUACGUGUCGUUCGAAGAUUAGAUGCCGCUUCCCUUUUUCUUAUCGUCCAAGUACAACGACGUCGUUUCAAUACCAUUUUUUUUUCAUUCCCCUCUCUGGGCAAUUUUUAUGAUAUUUUUAGCUGAAAAUGCAAAAGCUUUUUGCAAUGGUUUUUGUUGUUGUUAUAGUUGUAAAAAAUGUUAGAUAUUUUAGGAUGCUAAGAAAAUAUUUUAAUGUUAUAUAAGACAUAGAAGCUCAAAAAAUUUAUUAUAAGAUUUUAUCAAACACAUUUUUCAAAGAAUUUUGGAGGAAAAAAUUCAAAAGUUACUAAUUACCGAACGAACACUAAUUGUUUUGAUACUUUUUUUUCUUUUCACAUUAGUACUUGUAUAUCAAUUAAAAUUAAAUCAUUUUUCAUAUGAUUUCAAUGAUUGAUUAGUAAAAAACAGAUCAAGAGAGGAAGCCCUUCAUAAUCCUUCAUCCUUUAGACAAGGAUAACAAUGGAGUCAUUGCACAGAGAAAAAUCAGCACAGGCAGAGAGAGAUCAGCAACUGAUCUAACAAACUAUACAUGCGAAUUGGCAACAUUAGGGUAGAGCAAAUCUAUCAUCAAUCAUGUAAAUAUCCUUGAAAGCUCCCAUACCAUGUUCAGAAAUUGUCAUAUACAACAAGUUAUAACUCCACAAGGCUGCUGCAUUCAGGGAGUCCCUCUCCAACACCAUUUUGAGAAAUGUGUAGGUCAAAGGUCAGUGAAUUAAGAUGAUAUUGUUCCUACAAGGAUUACAGAAAUGUUUGUAAUUAAUCAUCGUCAGGGCUGUUCUUGAACUCAACCCCUACAUUUCUCCGCAUUCUGCAAUAAUACAUGGUAGUUUUGGUCGGUUGUUGGGUCCCGUGGCAACAUUCUCAAUCUUUCGGACAACCAAAAGACCAUCUCCAAGUACCCUCUACAUAAGAACAGAAAAUGAAAUUGAAGUUGAUGAGGUGGAGUAAAAUGAACUUUCUUAGAGGGAAAUACUAGCACAUAUUAGAAAAAGAGUAGCACAUCUACAUGUAUAAUCUUGGGCACAAAACUUAAAUCAACCUGAUCCAAUCCAAGCUGAAUACAGACCUAUAAUUAUGUCAAUUUGAUUGCAGGGCUAAGUCAGUUCAGGUUGGAUUUACAUUUGAAUUUUAUAUCAGAUAUUGCCAACCUGAACUGAUUUCCAAACACACAGAUUGCAAAAUUUUCAACUGAUCAAUUACAAGGGCAAAGAGAAGCAUAACAAAAUCUUAUAUAAGAAUUUGAAGACAUACCCCGAAUACAACAUGCUUAUUGUCGAGCCAGUCACAUUUUGCACAAGUCAUGAAAAACUGCAAAGGAAGAAGGUUCAAAUCAAUAUAAUCAUAUUGUGUUCUCUGUGUGUGUGUGUGUUGACUCAUGGCUAAAACAGCAGACAAUAGAGAAAGUUCUCCAGAACUCUCAUUCAAAGCAAUGCUGCUGAAUCCCAAGGCAUGUUUGGUUUGUCUGGCAUUAGGAAUAGUGAGGGGUCAUUUCCAUUCUGUGUGCAAUGUUGUUUGAUUUGCCAAUAACACAUAAGGAUUCUGUAAGAAAUGAGAAAUUUUGUUUUAUGCAGAAAAAGUUACUCUUUCUUUUGUGAAAUUAGAAUUGCAUUACAAGAAGUUUUGAUUUCACAUAAAAUUAUAAUGUGAAAUAUAUUCAAAAUGGCAUCGGAAUCCUAUUCCCUUUCUGUACCCAACUCUUGAGUAAACCAAACAUGUCUUAGUGGAAAUAAAAGGAGGGAUUGAAACAGUAUGCUUGAGUUUUCAAUUGUAAUAAUAAUUGUAUCUGGGAGUAAAUGUAGGGCAAAGGGGAAACAACUAAGUGCAAUUUUAAAGAUAUGGCUCGAGCAAGCAGCAAGCUUAAUGGAGCAUUAUAAGGUUAAAUAUCCACCACCGCUAAUUCAAAUUUCUAUUUCCACCAAACUGGAAACCUUGAACAACCAGAAAAAAGGUCCUUUCAAGGUUUAACACCUCUUUGCACACACCAAUUUAUUUCGUACUUUUUGAACAUCUAACAGCAGAGAGAUUACCUGACAACCAUUGGUAUUUGGCCCACUAUUUGCCUGCAAAUGGAAUGAUAAGGCCUUCAGUAUUAGUGAUAUAGCACAGUCUUCAAACUCAAAUAGUAAGGAUAUUUGAUGAUAAAUCUAGGUAGGCUAGCAUUUAAAUAUUUUGAGAGCUAGCGUUUAUAGAAACUAGGGUUUUCAUUUACAGUCAUUUUAGUGACUCUGGACGCUAAUUAAGAUGAAAUCCUCAUUGCCCCCAAAAUUCUGAGGUUACCCCACCCAAAUUAGAAUUUCUACCCUUGUUCUCCAAAUAACCAUAAUAUGAAAAGCAUAAAUGUAGAAAUUUGAGAUUUCUGAAUGUUUUACAAUCAGACAUCUCAGAGGAAUUAUUCGCUGUUGCACUUUCACUCAUAUUGGCCUCAAAGAUGCACAACAAUUAGUUGAGGCACAUGGGUACUUUCCCUACUAAGUUUUUCCCCUAUGGUUAGACUUAAAGCAAAGCCAUUCCAUAUAUUCUUUUAUCAGUAAAACAUAAAUACGUUAAACAAGGUCCCCAUCGAGGAACACCACCUCCUCAAGAAUUAUCAUAGGAAGUCAAAAAAAAAGAAGUCCUAAUUCCAAAAAGAAUGAGCCAUAAAUCUUGUCUAUGCUGGCAACAAAAUUUCAAAGUCGAUCAAACUAAGUUUCCAAUACAGAAUUAGUAGUUGUUAUACACCACAGGAUCCCACAAGAUAUUAACGCAUCAAAUUAUUCAUGACAAUUAGCAGAGAACUAUCUAAGAGGAGAGUCAAGGAAAUGAUACAAGGCAUAUAAAUGCAGCAGUAGAAAGCAAGAAAUAGCACGAUUCAUCCAAUACAAAAUAAGAGCAACACGGGGCACAUUUAUAUACAAAGAAAAGCACAGACCAUUGAAAGUAGACCAGGGCCGGUAUGUUUAGCAACAAAAUUUUCAUCCUCAAACUUAAGCCCAUAAAUAGAAACACAACCACUACCAUCACCCUGCAAACCAAAAAUUCCAUUAAUAACUAAUCAGGUAAGCUGAAAACAUUAAAAUAGAAAAUUAAGAAAAAAAAACAAACAAACAAACCUUAAGAAAAUCACCAGCUUGAAUCAUAAAAUCUUUAAUCACUCUAUGAAAUUGACAUCCUUUGUAACCAACUGGUAAUCCAGCUUUUCUGCCAUUUUUUUUCAAAAAUCAAAUUAAUUAAUUACAUAACCAGUGAUUAAUCAAUCUAAUUAACCAUAAAAAUGGGGAAAACAUCGAUAAAAGAAUUUCUUUUACCUGUACUCGCCUGUGCAAAACUGCCUGCAAGAUUUAAAGAAAAAUAAAAUGAAAUUAAUUUAAAAAAAAUAAUAAAAAAAUAAGUUUGAUGCAGAGAAGAGGGAAGGAGGAGUAGCAGGACCUGAAAUUUUCGGCGGUUCUAGGGGCAAUAUCAGCGAAGAGCUCCAUUUUGAUACGACCAGCAGGGAUGGUACCGAUGGUAACAUCGAAGAAGACGAUCGGGUUUUUUGGGUUUGGUGGUCUCAAGUGCCACUCCACGCUGCCUCCUCCUGACGCCAUUGAAGCACUGAAGUCUCUAGCCCUCUCGCUCUCUCUCAAUCUGGAGUGUGCGUUUUGAUGAAAGGUUUUGGGGGUUUAUGUGAGUGAACGUGUUCUACGCUGAUUGGUCGGUUUGGGAAAUAAGAAUUGACUUGUGUUUAGAACUUACUAUUUUUGUCGUAGCAUGGGGUGUUUAGUAUAGUUUAUAAAUAUAUUAACAUAAUACAUUUUUAUUUUUUAAAAUUUACGUUGGAUAAAAAACCAAAAAAAAUAUUAAUUUAAAAUAAAAAUAAAUUAAGAUUUUUGAAAACUCCAUUGAAACAAACACCACAAACUCACGUUUGAUUCAUAUAGUAUUGAAAGUCUAUACAAUCGAGUUCUCUACCUUAUUUUUAAUCAAGCUUACUGGAAAAUAAAUUUUAAAAAAUAUAAUUAAAAAAAAUAUUAUUUUUCAAUGUUUUAUUAUAUCAAAAAAUUAUUUUUGAUUAAGCUAGAAAAUAACAUUUAUAAGUUAAAUUUAUUAAUGAUUGAGUUCCUUAAUCCAGUUUAACAUACAUAAUUAUCAAUACUCAGAAAGAUUAUACAUGAUUUGUAUUUGUUUUUCUUCUUCAAAGAGGAAGGAAAAAAGGCUUCGAUUGAGGGCCAAGUAAUAGGUUGAUCAAUCAACACCUUGAUUGAUUGAUCAACCUAGACUUGUUCCAAAAUAAUUUAAUUUUUAAUUUUUUUUUAAUCAAAUAAUGUUGUUUGGACAAAAAAAUUAAAAUAAAAUGACAUUAUUUUAAAUAAAAAUUAAACAAAAUCUUUGGACUUGCUCUAUCCAUUUAGCUAGGUCAACCUAGGUCAGCGAGUUAACCCAUAAGGCCAUGGAUUUGACUCGGUGGCCAGGCUUAGCAAGAACUUCUUCCAUUGCUAGUUUUUUUUUUUAAAAAAAAAAAAAAAAACAUGAGAAGAAUGCAGAGGGAUUAAAAAAAUAAUAAUAACAAGAAAAGAAAGAGAGCGGAUUAAUUAUUGCAAAUUUGUCUUUACAAAAAAUAAACACGAGAGAUAAAAUACAGAAAUUGUAAAAGCACCACAGAAACUAGUGAAGAAAAUAAAUAACUUAAAGAGAGAAUCGGUUGGUUGAGGAAAAGAAUAGAAAUGAAAUGGUACAAAUACACAGUUGCCUGUCAUCACCUACGCAGGCACUCUCCUAGACUGAAGAUUUGGGUAUCUUGAACUGCUUCUUGAGAAACUGGGAGGCCUCUGAAUCACUCCGGUGACAUAAUAUCCUCAACAAUGUUGGGGUAUCUGCGCCUAGUCUGCUUCCACCGCGCUGCCUUUCCACCCCGCUUACAGAUUUCAGGUCCUCGAUUAAUUCUCUAGUCUGCAAUUCAAUUCAAAGGGAAAAAGUUAAUCCAAUCCUCUGGACAAAAUGCCAAAGAAAAAGGUAUAGUUUUUGUCUGGAGAAGUCUCAAAGCAAUGUUGAUCCGUCUAGAGCACAGUACCACCAAUGGAGUACAGUCAAUUAUCAGAUCAACUAAGAAUAGCUAUUGUUCCCAGUGAUUCAGAUGGAUAGAUAGCUGUUUCUCGAAAUAAUGUUACCCUUUAUCUUAUUCAGCACCACACUAACUAAAUUGUGAGGUGGAAAAUCAGCUGAUAGUAGACUGAGUUAUCAGCACAGCGCUCACAGACAUGUUACCAUUCUCCUUUUCAGCUUCUCUCUGGUGUGAUAAUAACAACACAAAUUUAUGAACAACUCCCACCUUCUCUUUUCAUCUGGAGUGAAUCACCACGGUGAUCACCCUGUAUCAGUAUCAUGCAAACUGAGGAGGAACUGAAGCGGGUUCAUAAAAAUCAACUUCAAUUAUCACAGUAGAUUUUUGCAGUCAAAAACCUCCAUAAGAACUAAUUGAAUAACUUAAAACAUGCUAUAAAUUGGCCGCGUCAAUUUCCUUUCGAAACUAAGCUACAAAAACAAACCUCAUAGCUGUGCAACUUGAUUACAUGUCGAGCACGUGCUACAUGGUUUUCAACUACUCCUCUGGGAAGCCCAUCUCCUCCAGAGAUAAAAAAUUCCUAAAAGAAAAGGAUACAUGAAUCAGCAGAAACAAUAAACAAUAAUUGGGUGCAGAUAUUUAAGAACAGGAAGUUGCUCAUUUCAGACCAUGUAGUUCACCAAUCACCAGCAUUUAUAAUGAAUAGGCAACAAAAAUUUAUAGCACAUUUCACAAAGUUUAAGCAUCCAUCAGAUUGUGAGAAUUAAACCACAAAGCAGCUUUAAAUGCUUCCAGUCCAGUAAUUUCAUCGUUCAGAUGCAAGAAUAGCAAAAAUCGUUCAUGGAGCCUAUCCAUGGUUUAUCUCCUUUUCUUUUUCUUGCCAAUCAAAUUCAAAGUACAGUAGACAAAUACCUUCAAAACUUCUACAUCAUCUUCCAAUAUUUUUGCAUCACCUGGGCAGAAAUAUCGUGAUGGUCCUCCAUCCAAUAUAACUCGGAGAAAGCCAUCCUGAAAAAAGAAACCAUUUCAGUAAGCAACAAAAUCAAGCACUCGUUAUGUUUUGUUUAAAAAAACAGAGGCACAGACCAGUGAAGCUUGUAGAAGACUCGUCACAAUGCGAUCUCUGAGGGGCUCCACAAUGAUACCACAGAGUUCAUUUAGUUCCUGCAGCAGUUACCAGCGAUGAGGCUUCUUAUCAGGAAAUAGAAAAAUGCAAAAUCAAAAGGGAUAACCUUCCUAAAACAGCACAGCACUUGACCAGUGUAAUUAAUAGGCUAAAUAUACAAGUUUAUCAUGAAUGUUAGCUUUUUUCCUAUUAAACCUAAAUCCUUUUAAUCAGUAUUAUUAUACAUUUAUCAUUAACGGUGUGCACCUUAAUUCACUUAGCAUCUUAUGACUCGGCUUUAAAAAGCCUUUAGCAAGAAGUUUUUAAUAACAUGGUCAAUAACACCAGUAUCUGAUUCUUCUUAUAAAGGAAAUGCAAGAAAAUCUUGCUUCUUAGAAGGAAAAAUCUUACUAUGUCAAGCGGUUCAAUUAUUGCUUCCAGCCUAGAUUGAGGAACAGCGGGUUUAUACAGAUUUUCAAUGAAUGGUUCCUUCAAGUCGUAGAAGAUGAUCUUAGUUCCUGCAUAAGUUAAAUCACAUCAAUCAAUAUCAAGUUUACUUCUCAAGAUAAUCAAUUUUGCAGAGUGAGACCAAAACUCUUACCAGUAAACUCACAGAUGCGAUCCAUAGCAGCAUUUAUAUCUUUUCUACUGCCAUCAAAUGUUCCCUUCUGCUUGAAACUUGCUGAAUUCCCAUCUAUGGAUUUCUCUAUUAAGGAAAAGAUUUAUAUGCCAAUCAUUAAUUAAGAAAUGAUCACUUCAAAGCAAGUAUACUAUUGUAUUCUCACUUUCUCAGUCUCCACUGUACAAGUAAUUAGGCAAACUAUAAACUUCGGCAAAUAACAUCCAUAUACAUGCAACACACAGAAUAUGCAUAAAAGAAGAGCUGUUCAUUUUAAGAAUCCAAAAGAUUACGUCAAUAGAAGAACUUCAAUAUUAAAUAAGAAGGUCUGACAAGAGUGGUGGCAAAACCAGUCAUCAAGAUCAAGCGCUGCCUACUGGUGCAAUGGUUUUAUAUUGCAGCCAGGGUGUUCUGGAAGCAGCUGUAGAGGGCAAUUUAUAACAUCAUGCUUGUUGAGGGUUUGAAUUACAAAACUAUAAAAUUGUAAAACUAGAAUGGAUGCAACCUAAUCUAAGUGAUUCCAACAGUAUUGCGCCAAAAGUAGAUUAACUAAAGCAAUUACGAUUUUCCAAGAAUAAUAGUCAAGCAGUUUUGCCAUUAAAGCCGUGAAAGAAAUGUGAACAUAACUGGUAUGAGAAAAAAUAUACCUUAUAACCAAAUGAAGUGAAAUGUAACAGCCCAUUAAAGAUCCAUUACAUAUGGCCAUUGUGUUUUAUAACAUCCAUUAUCUAAAUCCUUGAUUUACAUGCUUUAUGAAAUGGAAUCUGAAAACAAUUACUUGUUUUUUUUAGCUUGGGAAAGACAGAUUAUCAAAUUUUAAAUUGCAAACUAAAUAUUUAAAAGAGUGUCAUUUCAUUCAGGCAAGUCAACCAGUGGAUGGAGUGUAUCAUUCAAUAAUAACUUAAGACUAGUAGCUUAAAUACUUACUGAUAAAUUGCUCACGAGGCUUUCUCCUAUUCCAUCGUUCCCAAAUGCUAUCUUCCAACUUAUUCAGUUGACUAAUUGCAUACUGUCCACAGCAAGAAAUCAUGUGUCAUGCAUAUUACAUUAUAAAGACAGCCAAAAAUUAGUAACUCUGCAAAUGCAGAAAACUAGAAAACCAUCACUAUAAUAAUUUGACCCUACCAUGGAUUUUUAGGAGAUGUUUGUGAUACAGUGAUUGCUGUCAUAUGCAUAAUUAAGCCAUUCUGACAAUAAUUCAAAUUAUACUGAAAAAAAAAAUCACCACUGAGAAUUGCAUACUUUUAGAAGUUUUCUUUGUUUUAGUGUCAUUUGUUACAUUUCCAGUCUUUAUGAAAAAAAAAUUACUGUUUUGAUAUCAUCACAUUACUCUCCGGAUGGAGAAUUAGAGAGUAGCACUACAGUUGGCUAAGCCAAAAUGAAAUCAAUUAUUGAAUCAUGCUCUUUUUUCAAUAAUCUGCUUACAAUGUAGCCAGGAACAUCCAUUUUGAAAAUGUGACGGAGGAAAUCAAGAAACUAUCACCAAGCAAACUAUGAAACUCCACAACAUUGCUAGCCUUGUUGAAAAAGGAUUGUCACAUUAAUAUUCAUGACAGCAAACUUUAGAACAGUCUUGAUAAGGAUCAAUGUGCAUGUGAAAAUAGUGAAGUAGAAAGUCAAAACUCUUCUAUUCAUUUCUAAAAGGACCAUGCCAAUGUAGUUGAACUUACAUAUAGAGUAUUUAACUGAACACAAAGUGUUGCUGUCGCUGGAACAUUAAUUUCAUUGGAUUUUAUCUCUUCAGGCAUCCUCGAGUCAAACAGUUCCUUCUUUACGAAGGCCUUUAUUCCAGCUUCCUUCCUGUAUCGUGUCAGAAUAGGAACUGGUGGAAUUAGGUCUUCCUUUGCAGCUGCAUGGCGAGAAUUGCACAUUAAGGUCCCUAAUCGUAGGAAGGGGGAGGGAACACAAGAUAAAAAAAAACUGCACAGAAGGUGCAGAGAAGAAUGUAAACUGGGCAAUAAAGAAGAUGGAAGAACAGGUUAAGCAUACGGACAUGCUAAAAAAUGGUGAUAAAUUCAAUUUUAACAAAAUAAGCAAACAAGUGCAGUAUAUGAGACAGAAAGUUAGAUACAAGAAUAAGGAAAAGAAAGGAAAGAGAUAGACAUGUAUCCAUUUCGUAAAAGCAGUUUCUAACUAAGAACAUACAUGUAAGAUAUACUCACCCAACUUGUCAGUGACAUGAUUUGCAUAAACUUGGAAUGCAUUGUCAACACCCCGAAACAAGCCAUUCAACUCUUUGGAACUCAUUGGAACUUUAAGAGAAAAGAACUGAUCAACAGUCUGCGUAAAAAGGAAUAUUGAUUAUGCAAGACAUUAUUAAUCAAUGUCAUCCAGAAGCAGAUAAAACAUUAGCAAAAUUACACACAAAAUGCAAAAUCCUAUUCUGGUCACAAGUUCAGAAACUAUAGGUCAUGAUAAACCUCCAAGGGAAUUCCAUUUCUUACUAUCAUAUAAAACAAGUUUAAUCAAAAUAGCUGGGUAACUAGCAUAGACAUCUUUGUUUUUAAGCCUUAAUUACAGUGAUGCAUUCCAUGGUGAAUGAAGAAAGAUUAGAUUCUAGAUGUUUCCACAAAUGUGCAAUCAGAACACCAAAAGAAAAGGGUAGCCGGAAAAAAACACCUGACUUGCACAAAAAUUUAAUUACCCACAACUAAAAUUCUCUUCAGUUCCUCAAGUUUUCUUAUGUGCUUUUGCAACAUUAGGGUUUUUUUUAUUUGCAUAACACCUUAUGAUAGUACCAGAAUUAAUACUAUUGUUACAUGAGCAUUCUUACCUCUUCAACGAUCCUAUAAACCUCAACAAUUGAGCUCCCAUGCCGCUGUUGAGGUGAUAUUGGUUCCCACCGCUGAAAGAAUGAUUCACAGAAAAUGUUAAAAUAAAUGUUAAGUACAUUAGACCGUUAACUAAGACGAGGGAGUGAAAAUAAUCCUGUCAUCUAAUUGAACUGGAGUAGAUUGACUAAAUUCAAAAAAUUGAUUUUAAAGGAGUAAAAUGAAACAAAAUUUAGCACUUACCUCCUGUUGAAUGGCACGCUCAACCCAACCCAAAAUUCGUCCAAGCUGAGAAUUGACCCAUCGCAUGACCAAUGUUCCAGAUAUAGAUUCAAUCUUGAGAAAGAAACAGAGGGGAAAAAAAAUAAGAGGUGAUGGAUAUAGGAGAGAGCCUAAUAAAGUUAAAAGCUCCAUGUGUGCCGAUGUGAACAUGCUACAGGAUUACACAUAACUCUGUUGUUGAUUUUUAUCAUCUGGAUAAAUAUAAAGGGUUGUAAGGCUGGGGGGAUUUGAGUCUGGGGUGAGGGGCUUUGGUGAUCUAAAUAUUGAUCCCAAUCUUCAUCAAUGAUGAUUCCUCACUUGUAUUUUAUUAUAAUACGAUUUGAACCUAGGUUCCAUAAGACAUUAACACCAAGCGGUUAUUUUGUAAGACUUACAGAAGCUCCAAGGGAAACACUUGUUUCUUGAUCAUGAUUGUGCCAGCACACUCAAUGUGCGUGUAGAGAGAAAGAGAGAGAUUCCAAUCUGGACAGUUGCCGAACAAACUUCAACUAAGGUCAAAUAAAAGAUGAUGCUCGUUCAUGAGUCAAGCCAAAAGCCCUCUAACUCAAUAUAUUUGAGGGUUUUAUAAACCCCGAAUACCAAGACAACCUCUUCCACUUUGAGAAACUUCAAAUAGUAUAGCUAUUUUCUGAAAUUUCUAGAAAUUAAACCAUCUGAUUCAUAUGAUCUGCUUCAAUAGCACAACAUUUGAGGCAGUAUUUUGUCAAUUGUUAUCAGUCCUGCUUAUGUCUAUUUUAACUAAAUUUGUUUAGAGAGAGAAAGAGAGGACAAUGAAAAUUAAGAGCAAAAGAACCUCAAAACAUGGAACCAAACAAUUUCACCUGAUAUGGAGUUAGUUUGCGGAAUUUGACUUCCAUAUUCCCCUCUCCACAUGCAGAAGUGAUGAGUGCCAUUAUAUACUGCUCAAGGCUAUCAGCAGCAGGAAACACAGAGACAACAUCCUCGGUCAGAUGUUCGGAGCCAUCAAGGAAUGGUUUCUGAAAAUAAGAAGUACAAUUAGGCCUUCACAGUGUAAAGAAAGCACUCUGGAGUCUGGACUUUAAGCCAAGUGAACAUCCUUACCAACUUGUUCCCAUAGAGCUUGUGAACAAGUGAUGCUGAAACAACAAUUGCUUGUGGAUUCCUCUGUGACAAAAUUGGUGUGAAUAUGGUUGAUUCUUUUUUUAGAAGUUUCUUGAUCUCUUCUGCAAGCAAUGCCAAAGGAUGCUCAUCCAUUGCAUCUAGUUUAUCAACAACCACUAAUAUCUGCAAUAAGAAGAAACAAAGAUGAUGGGAGGGAUUAAAGAAAAUUUAAUGUCAUAUGCUAAAGUUCAAGGGGAAAAAUUUCAAUAGUCUCAAGAAUUUACAACUAUAGCACAAUGCACAUACUACAUGGGCAUUGAGCAAAUCUCUCAGUGUUUUCCAAUGCUCUAGGGGAUAAAACACUGUUUUAGAAAACCGUAGCACACUGCACAUACUAGAUGGGCAUUGUGCAAAUCUCUCAGUGUUUCCAAUGCUCUAGGAGAUAAAACACUGUUUUAGAAAACCCCAAUCCCUUUAUGUUUAACCCACCUCAAUCUAAAGGAAACUGUAUUGAUACUUACUGCUUUUCUUUAAAACAAAGAUGCUAGCCCAUUGAACUAGACAAAAAAAAAAUCUUAAUAGAGACAAUCAAACAAUAUUCCAACCCUCCCAUAUCCCAGCACUUAUCUUGAAUCUACUCUACAGGUUACUGAAGUUAAAUAAAAAAAAGAAAAAACACUGUUAAAGGAAUCCAUAGCUCUAUAUAGAUCAGGUGUCUCCACUUAGAAGCUUCAACUCCUGGGUUGGAUGCUUUGUAGUGUUCAUCACUUUGGUGUGUGUCAGUGCUUUUAGCUUGGAUGUGAUGGACAUAUCAAGUACCGACAAAUUGAUUACGUGAAGUGAGGUAUACCCUUAUGUACAUCAUGGCAACUCCAACCUAUUGGCUUAAAUUCCCAGAUCGGAUUCUCUAAAAUGAACAAUCCAGUAGAUCACACCAAGCAGAAGUUAUUUGGUUCAGACACUUACCCUUGUAAAUGCAUUCUUAAUGGAUGAUGCUAUGAAUGAUUCAAUCUGACUGCAGAAGUGUGGAAAAUUAAAUUUCAACAUAUAGCACAUAUAGCACAUAAAUUUCAACAUAUAGCACAUAUAGCACAGAUGUACUUUUUUAAUUCAAACUAAAAACUAGUUCUCAAUUGUAGGCAUAUACACUGAUAAUAUUCUCUUUCCGGAUAUGCUACCUGUGUAAUUCUUACUGGACAAUGAUAAAACGUGCCCGCACACACAACAACAACAAGGUUUUAACAUACCAUUUCAGAUUCUUCCAAGAGAAGCCUCCGGGUGAUCAUUGCAACUAACACUACAUCCUCCAUUACUGAUGAGUCCUACAAGACACAUAAUAACUCAUACUGGAUAAAGAGUUCCAAAUUGGGAAAAAAACCAGUUGAAAAGCAUUCCAAAAAAUAUAAAUGGCUAUAAGUAAUGGGUACAAAAUCUACACAUGUAAUACCCAAUAUGCACCAAAGGAGGUUGCCCAUUUUCAUUCAAAUUCAAUAAUCGACACAUUCAUAAUCAAUCAUAAAAAAUAUAUAAUCCUGGCAGCAUAUUAAUUCCUUCACAUUUACCAAUUAAAAUUAGAGUGGCCAAUAAAAGCCACAUCCUCUGUCAGUGCAACAGUCAUGAUUAUGAGCAUCCAUUUUGUAUAUGCACCAAAUAAAAAUACUGCUUCUAGAAGAGUGUAUAGAUUUCAACAUUAAUUAAUCAAGUGCCUGGCCGCCCCCCAUCCCCAGCUCCCAAUAUAUGCUGAGUCAUGGGCAUCUCUUAUAUUAAACAUCCAUCUCUAAAUAAACUCUAAAAUAGAGAUUAUCCCAUUUAUAUUAAGUAAUGUAAUUUAAACUUUAUGAAUUCCAGGUAUAGGACUUCAGACUUUUACAGGACAAACUCAAGUUCAAUGUCAAUUGUUUUUUUAAGAAGUCGAUUACAAGAGAACUUAUUUUCAAAGAUGAACCAAGUGGAAAUUCAAUAACAUUUAGGAGAAGAAUAUUUAAGAAUUAUAUUUGUGAAAUUAUCUUCAAGCAGUCAGACCGUGCACAUCAAUCAUGUUGAAUGCAUCAUGCACCUAUCUUAUAGUUCUGACAAAAUGAAUAUUGACAAAAUCACAUCUCGGGCAAACAUGGGAUAUUGAGCUGAGGAAACAAUGAAAAUAGACACAGAAAAUAAAGCACUGCAUACAUUGGACCACAGAGCAGUGUUAAAUAUAAAGAGAACAGUUUGCAAAAAUAUUCAAUUUUCCUGAGCAUGGAAGCAUAGAUACCCCAGCAAAAUGCAAAUUGUUAAGAAGAACAACGCGUGCAGCUUAAAAUUACAGAUAAAAUCUAACCAAUUAACAAGUAUAACUGAAGCACCUCCUAUGAUAAGCAAAUAUUCGAAAAGGUAAUGCUAACCAAGAGUUGAGAUUCAAACAAUUUAUCAAACCUCAGCAAAGUUCAGAUGGUAGUCUCCUAGCUGCUUAUCAGCCCAUUUCUGAACAGGUGAUAAAAGGGAUUGAAAGAAAGGCAGUUCUUCACCUUCAACUUUGGAAAGCAAACUUUUCAAGUGUAACCUCUCUUGUGGUCCGCGUUGUUCUUUUAAUGGUAUUUUCUUCAGCUGCUCAAUGGCAUGUUUUAGGAGCCCCUGCUCUUGUGUGAUGAUAUACUGCAAUGACACACAACCAAAUACAAGUAAUAUAAGAUAAUGAUGAUGGUUCUGUUUUGUCCAAUGGCUGGUUAAACUGCAGUUGCUUAUAAAAUGAAAAGCUUAAAGAAGCAUCUUAAGGGCUGUGAUAGAUUGUAAUAGAUACAAGAUGAGGAUGUCGAGCAACGAUGACAAUAGUUAUUUUUAAGUUUGUAUCUUCGGGUUUCUCAAGUUUAGAUCAGUAAGAAUAUUGGGUUUUGUAUUUUCAGGUUGUUUUAUUUUCUGUACAGAACCUUAGAUGUUAUGCUGAAGAAGGUAAUCGGUUUGAAGUAAACAAACAAAGACAAAAAGGGUCUGUUUGGGACUGCUAUUGACCACUGGGUGAUGGAGAAUAGCUACUGUCAAGGAAAGGAAUGCUCCCUGUUUCUUCAUUCCAGGAUAACAUCAUUGACUGCAUGAACUUAUGGCAAUUUGAAUGUGCUUAGACAAGAGAAAGAAAAGGGGAUACAGGAAUAAUACCUGACGAAUUAAUACCGAUGCAUAGCAUGUGUAAUGGAUGGUUUCUGUAAUUCCUAAAACACGCCAGGUUGACUUCAAGAGUUCAAGAAUUUCCUCAACUUCCUGAAAAUGGAGACAAGGUGCAAUUAAUUAUACUAGGUGGAAAAGGAAAAGGUUCACACAACCAAUCAUCCUUCUCUUUUUUCAAAAAAAUAAAUUAAUAAAUUGAACUAAAGUUAUUUUAAUAAAUAUCUCUACUGAAAAAAGCAAAGAUGGUAAAUUCAGAAAUUAAUUUCUCUGAACAUGACAUUUUUAAAACAAUAAUUCAAGCCGAAUGGCACAAAAGUAUCCAUACAACCAACCACAGCUAGGUGGUUGUUAUUGUUAUUGUUGUUGUUGACAAAAAUGUUUCCCGGUAUCAUGGGAUUAUGAUAAAUUGAAAAAAUUACUAACCUCUGUCAGCUUCCCCUCGUCCAAAAUGUCAAAGACACUCAGAAGCAGUUUCUCAUACAGUCUAACAUUGAGGUGAUAGCCAUCAGCCCAAUGGCAUACCUCACCAGUUAAGUCACCCCGAGCCGGCCUCUCUGCAAGUGGUAUUGCAAUCUCUCUGAGAGAUCUCAAACAUUCUGUUCGUUGGACUUCACCCGCAGAAGAUGGACGGAACUACAUUAAAAAUCAAACUUUAUUUAAGAAAGGCUAAGGUGAUAAGAGGGCACCAACCAAAAAGCAAGGGAAAAUGAACAUUAAACAUGAAAGCUUGGUAUGUUUUGACUCAAUAAUAAAAGCUUAAAUAUGGCUAGCCAAAAUAACCAAAGAGAGUGCAUGAAUAUAGUCCUAAAUGUUCAAAAAAAGAAGCAUACCAAUGCUCUGUUUAUAUUGCAAAAACAAAAACAAAAAAAUAAAGAGUAUAAUGAGUUGGAAUAAACUCCACCAAGAAACUAAAAUAACGAACAAAAACACAAUACAGUUUCCUCCAAAGUAAGCAAAUAAUAGAAUCAUGAAAGGUAAAGUAAUUGAUAGAUAACCUAACUUCAUUUAUGUUAUCUCUGUGAAAGGUCAUCUAAGUUUGUCAAACAAGUUGUUCUAUUGGUGUUUCUGAUGUCAAACAAGUUCGACAAAACAUAAAAUUAUCUAGACUUCUAGCCAUGCUUCUCCUUUCCAAUAAGGUAAAAAGUUUACUAGAAAUGAGGAGAAUAUCAAGCAAAGAGAAAGGAGAUCUCACUUGAAAGGAAUAGAUGAGUAUCUAUGAACAAAGUUCACUACCAGACAGCGACCAGUUUAGAAAAGUAAAGAAAGGAAUAAAAACAUCAAAAAGAUUCACCCAUUUAGAACACGUCAUAAAGACCCUAACUUGUUAUGAAGUCCUCUAAAGAAAACCCUCCUAUAGCCAUCGUGUACCCAACUUAAGCAACCAACACUAUCUAACACUGCAAGUAUGUAACAGUAGGGCAAAUUUGUUAAUGGUUUUCUGACAGUAGGACAAAACAAGGAAAGCUCCAUUUCAGUAUCAUAAAAUGUUAAUAAAUGCACCAUAUGAUAAUCUUUUGAAUCUCUAGAGCACAAACCUCAGAUUCCUCAAUCUUUGCCAAAAGAAUCCUCAAAUCACUUGGUUUGCGCCCUGAUUCACCAAAUCCAACAACUGGGUGAUUAAUAAGCCCCUCCUCCAGCAUGAAUAACUGUACUGAGACAAAAUUGAAAAUGCCUGUCAUCAAUAACAGUUCCAUGGCUCUAAUUUACCACUUAAAGGGAACUAAGACAUUUAACAAAAUAAAUUCAAAAUUAAAAUGGCACAUAGAAUGCAAAAUUUACCUGCCUUUUUUGCCACCGUAUAUAUGCUUUCUUAUCAGAAAAUUCUGAACGAGAAAUACAACAUAACAAUUCCAGUGGAACCAAUAGGGUGUCCAUUCGUUUUCCAACUUUUCCAGCAAGAGCAUUGAGCAGCCCUUGUCUAGUUCUUAUGUCCAUUGCCUCGGAUAUCUGCACUCAUGUAGAAGGAAAAAAAUUAUGAUAUUGUCUUGCUUACAGUUCUGAGCUAUGAUUUGGCACAGAUUACAACUUAGUGUAGUAAUUAAGACAAAUAUGAAAAAUAGCCGCAUACGCAUUAUCUACUUAGUGACGUAGCUUCAAGACAAUAGAAAUAGGCUCAGUGUAAACUCAGUCAAAAGAAAGUGAUACACAAGUCAUUCAUAAAAUAGCAGUCUCCCCAAUUAGAAAGACACUUUAUGCAAGGCAACUGAAGAUGUAAUUGACCUUUAAAAUAGCAGGAUGAUAUGAUUACAAAAAUCUGACUGGUAGAUCUUUUAAAAACUCCCACCCUUCCAAAUCUCUCAAACAGGACUUUAGCAUAGCAUAUGUCCAAACUUCCAGUUCCCAAGAGAUUACUCGAUAGCUCUUCCUCAGAGGAGACUGGACAUUAUCGUAUUUCACACAUUGGAAGUCAACAAUCUACAGGAGCACAGUUCCACCAUAUAAAACUUUGCAAAAAAGGUGGUGUAAGCACCUGUGGUACUUUAAGCUCAACUUAAGCUAAAUAAACUUAUUCAAUAGCUUAAUCAUAUCAACUUUGCUGAACAGGAGACUUGCAACCCUGUGACAUCAACUGGUUGAAUGCACUCCCAAUUUUUAAUGGCUGAAAGAGAUUUGACUCUCUCCUUCUAAAACAUUUUAGAACAAAAUUUCACACAUAUGGUUCUUCAUUUUUAUUGUGCUAUGGAUACAAAUGCAUGAAAUUAUGUCCUUAACACUUCAGUAUCCAGGCAGAAUCCUUCCAAGAGAAAAAAUAAUAAAACAAAGAUGCUGUAAACACUAAAUCCACGGAGGGGGGGGGGGUUCUGGAAUACCUCCAUCUGGGCACGCAUGUUUUCUAGCAAACCAACCAAUCCAGUUGCACGCUGAGAAUGGGUCACAGCAUUCUCAGUUUUACUGCGUCCAAGCUUUCUCAUCAACUUGGACCUUUUGUCUUUCUUUUUUUCUUUUGAUGGAACAAUAAGGCCUCUGCUCAUUUGAUAAUAAGGAGAAAAAUCAUUACACAAAUGAAGGAUGAAAUGAGGGAAACAAGAAAGGGAAAAACAUAUAUGAAGAAUGCAAGCACCAUAAACACCUAUGAAUUUGAACAUACAGAAACAAAUAAAGGAAAAGGUAAAAUGAGGAUAUCUAAGGAUCAAAUGAGAUUAUGAAACUUACCCUGAUGCUCCAGCACACGCCAAGAGCACUUCAUAUGCAGUUUCACGGAGGUCAUCAUCUGUGAUACCUGUGAUUAGGAAGAACCAAAAGUUAAUUGUGUUGGCAUGAAUUAAUGAUUUCACCUUCCAUUGCAAUAUAAUAGUAAAAGGCAUCAUAAUAACACAGACUUGACUCUUCAAAUAAAUAACAACAAUACAACCACCACUUUCAUAUAUCAAAAAACAAAAUGUGAUGUUCCAUGAAUCAUUCAUGAUCUUGAUGUUGUAACUAUCACAGCCCCAUCAUUCUCAUGAUUACGCUAGUCAAAUACUAGACAUCAUGAAUAUUUUUGGAAUUAGGGUAACCAUUCAGCCCAUUUCGUCCUCUUUCUUUUAUUGAUGGUUCUACUAAUUGACCCGUGAGAAUCAGCAAGGACCACCUUGCAAGGCUAAAUGCUCUUGGAUCAAGUGAAAACUCUGGGUUUCCAGCAUGCCAUUGCACAUACAAUGAGCAUUCUUGAUAUCAUGCCUUGAAUAGGAAAUCUUUUUUUUUUUCCUGUCCUCUUUCAUAAUUCUUUUCGAAGGGCAGAAUUGAAGUAUAGUGUUGAGCAAGGAAUCCAUUUUCUGAAAGAUCUUGGCUUUCAUCUCAUCAACCCUUCUAUCAGCUAAAAAUGAUGGAAAAUUUCGUGUUAACUUGUAAAUCACUGGCUCAAGAAAUUUCAAUGGCAUCCCCUAUCCUCCAAUGGCUAGUUCCAAUUUGGAUUUCUAUGGCUUUCCAGACGAGGACACCAUAAGUGCAAGCAGAAAUUGAGAUGGUCAUUCCUGCUCUUCAUCACCAUGAACUUCCACAGUCGAGCCUGCCUCUCCUCGUCACUCCUUCAAUUUAAAUAGUUCAUAAUUUAACCCAUACCCAACCCUGUCCUAAAAUAAUCAUUUGAAGUUUCUUCCAUGCAAUCAUGGGUCUAAGAAACCAUUAACCAACUAUUACAUCACUGUCAAGGUAUCUGACCUUAAACAAUCAUGCUUUAUUUCUAUGUCUUUUAAUUGCCAGUGUAAGGAAACACAGAAUUGGCAGUUUCUCUUUCCAUUUAUUUUUUUCUUGGUUUGAUUUGUUGUAGAAACUAAAAUGUAACAUAAUAUACUUUUAAACCAAUGUUACCUGUGGAAAAAGAGGGCAAUUUAGGAACAAGAUCGGCAGCAUCAUUUGGAUUGCGUCUUGACAUUCUGACACUAUCAACUACCUCGAGAUCAUCAUCAUCCUCGAAAUCUUCAAUGUCAUCAACAGUCAAUUCUCGAACUUCAUUAGAGUCAGUCAAUUCUUGAACUUCAGUGGAGUUAAAGGAUUCUGACUUUGCUACACUUGCCAAGGACACAACAGGCGACGGUGCAAAAACAGGAUUUGGCGCUGAAAUAGGAGCAGGAGGUGGUGCCCUUUUUGGAGGUGAACCUGAAGUUUCAGGUUUUGUAACCAAGAAAAACUCAUCUACUGAACCUGUAUUGUUCUGAAAAUGACAAAAUAACUCAACUUUUAAACAUAAUAUUCACUCAUAUUCUAUAUCUAACUAACAGUUAUACCAAAGAAAACCGCAGCCCAAAUUUAUCAAAAUCCAACCUCGUGCAAAGCACAUCUCAUCAUCCUAUGCAUUAUUAUCACUCAGCAAAAGAACAACAAAAUCUACCACCAUAUUCCAAACUUAAAAACCAACCACAUCAUGAAAUAACAUUACAUCAAUGCCAACAACCAAUACUAAUUACAACCCAAUAACUCUCUCAUCAUUGAAGCAAUACAUAAAAAUAUCAAAACUUACCAUAUGGGGUAAGCCGGUAUUAUCAUGGUAAUCUCUUAUAGCCUCCGAAAGUUCAAGCAUUCCACCUACAUUAUCAAAAACCCAUUAGAAAAAAACAAAACCAAACCAAAAACCACAAACUCAAAAACAAACAAUACCUUUCUUAACACAAUUGAGAACAUAAUCUACACUGACUUGGUCCAGAUCCACGUCAUCAAGUGUAACCGCACCAGGAGGCAUUACAACUUUCUUAAUUAAACUACCAGAAAGCAUAUAAUCUAGAAGAACUCUCCGGUCCCUCCUGUAUCUUUGUAAAAGCUCCAGGGCAUUUUCCCUAAUUUCAUCGAACAUAAAUUUUUUAAAAAAAACACAAGAGAGAUAUAUAAAUUAAUUAGGAAAAAACAAAAACAAAAAAACAAAUACAUACUCUUCCAUGGCCAAUUGAAGUAAUUAAGUAAAUAUCCACCACCUGAUAAAAAAACAAAAACAAAAAACAAAAUUAAAACUAAUUAAAAUAUUAAAAAAAUGCUACAUUUAAAAGAGAGAGAGAGAGAGAAGUACUUAGAUCCUGAUCUACCACUUCAAAUCUAACAAAUAGAGAAGAAAAUUAAAAAUAAAAUAAAAUAGUAUGGCCGCUUAACAGAAGUAAUUAACUUAAUUGACUUACUUAGAGGCAAUUAAUUGAUAGUGUAAUGAAGUAGUGAGAGCUACAUAACACGUAAUUAAUGAUGAAAAUUAAUUGAAGUGUUGAAUCGACCGAAGUGAUAAUUAAGAUUAGAAGACGUACUUGAUGAUUUGAUUACAGUUUUGGAUCUCUGGGAAGAAGAGAGAUGAUGUGGAGAAAGGUAAGAGUCAAUGUGAAGGUUAGAAAGGGUGUGAGAAAUGAAGCUGAAACGGUCAGUUUUGAGGGCAGCUGGUUUUUGACAUGAUUGGUUGCUUAGUGAGCGAGAUUUCUGGUUUUGAGAGAGAGAGAGGCAGAUGAGGUGAGUUGUUUAUUGUAGUUUUAUGGGUUAAUCUUUAUUUUCUUAUGUUGUUGUUUGGAUUUUACUAGUGACGUUUUUUCUUUUUCUUUUUUCCAGUGGUAAGAUCUAGACCAGCUAAGCAAGUUUAGACUCAUUUAGUAUUUUCUCAGUUAUUAUUUUUUAAAAUAUUUUUUUAUUAAAAAUACAUAUUUUUAAUAUUAGCAUAUUAAAACAAUAUAAAAAUAUAAAAAAAAAUUAUUUUAAUUAAAAAAAUUUAAAAUUUAAAUUUUUAAAACACAAAAAUAAAUAAAAUUUUAAUUUAGAAACUAAUUAAUUAAAAAUAUAGACCGGUCUAAAUUAAAAAACAAACAAGAAAAGGAAUUUACUAAGCUUUUUUUGUCAAAAAUUUGGAGAGGACAAGAUAAUAUAGAAAGCUAAUUAAUUAUUAUUUUUUUGAAAAAAUUUUGUUUUAAAACAAUAUUUUUUUUCUUAAUCUUCGCUCUUUUUUUUUUUUUUUUAUUGACCGAUAGAAAAGGUAAAUUCUUUGAAUAUGCGUGGAUGUUAAAUGUGACUAGCCUAUUUUAUUUGUAUUGAAAAAAAUUAAUUUUUUUGAAAUUAAAAAAAGUUUGAUCAGAAUUUCACUUUUCUUCUGUAAUUUUUAUAAAUUAUACUUUUUUAUCGUAUAAUUUACAUGUUCAUUAGCAUUUUAUAUCUUUAAUAGUGUAUUUUAUUUAUUUUAUUUUUAUUUUAUUCAAGAUUUAAAGUGUAAAGGUGAAAUUCAAAUAAAAUUAUGAAAGGGUUUUUUUAAUUAACCCUUUAGGUUAAUUAGUAAUUGAGAACUAUGGAUUUCAAUAUAAAAUAUAGAUUAGGUUAUAAAUAUUCACUUUCACCUAGGAGAACUCUCCCCUAAAAGGGCAUUUAUUUAGGGAUCGAGAGAGUAAUUAACUAUGACUUCGAUGAUCAUAUUAGAGGGUAGAGGCUGUAGAAGUAAAAAUUACUCUUUAAUGCUACGUUGUCUAUUUUUUGGUUUAAUGAUAUGUUAUUUUCAAGUCUAUUUCCCUUGCACCUAAAUCAAGCCUUUUUUUAUUAUUAUUUUUAAAAAAUCAUCCAUCGUUAUCAUUGAAUUCAUGAGAACAAAAAUUCAACAAACCUCCUUUGAAUUUAUUGAAGAAAAAUUCUUUACCAGGCGUAUGAAGUAAGAUUAGAACUCGUUUUUUUUUUCUAACAUGGAUAUUCGGUCAGUUUGUGUAUAUCUCGACUAAUUUCAUGAGUUCUGAAAUUAACAACCAUAUAAAUCUUUAGUAACUCUGAGAUUUAUAAAACUCAAACUGGUGAUUUCUAAAAUAUAUUUUUUUUAUUAGUAUUAACAUGGGUGUACUCUAAAAUUCAACAAACCUCCUUUGAAUUUAUUGAAGAAAAAUUCUUUACCAGGCGUAUGAAGUGAAGAGUAAAACUCGUCAUUUUUUUUUACUAACAUUGAUGUUUCGGCCAGCUUAUGCAUACAUCGAGUAAUUUUACGGAUUUUAAAAUUUAAUAAUUAUAUAAGUUUUCAAUGAUCCUAAAAUUUAUAAAACUCGAACUCCUAACCUCUAAAAUACUUAAAUAUUUUUUUUUAUUAAUGUGGGUGUUCGGGUCAGCUUGCACGCACCUCGACUAAUCCCACGGACCCUGAAAUUAACGACUAUGUAAACUUCAAGUGGCUAUUAUAUUAGCAACCACAUGGUUCGAAUAUAAAAUCACAAGGAAAGCAAAUUUUUUAAUUCCAAACUCUUACCAUUAAUCACCCUACCAGAUGAUUAAAUACUCUAAAAUAUUUGAACCACCUUCUCAUGGAUGACAAUGGGAUCCGUUUUUAUUUACUAUUUUAGAUAAUUUACGUCUGCUUUGUUUAAUUUUUUUUUAAUUGUUUCGAGCCACAACGAAGAAUGCUUAAGCAAAAUUCCAAACACAAUAAAAAAAAAACCACAGCUGCACAGAGUUUGCAGAAUCUUUAAAGAAUUGGUCUGACUUGAGAUGCGAAAGGAAUGCCUUAAAACUGUUUGAAAAAAAUAAAAUUAUAAAUGAUAUAUAAAUCGAGUAAAAAAUACUACUUUGUCUAGAUUAAAAAAUAAAAGUAAAAGAGAGUUCACAAACUUGUAUCAAUAAUUUUAAAAUCCGAUAAAUUAAAGUAAGUGGAUGAAAAGCAUCAUCAAGAUUUAAUUCCUAAUGUUUUAUGAAUAAAUAUUUUAAUUAUUUUUUAAAAAAUCAAUAAAGUAAAAGUUAGAUUUUAACCGAGUUAAUUAAUUUUUUUUAACUUAAACCAAUCUGAAUUUUUUAUACGGGUUUUAUAAAUAUGUUUGUUGGUGGGUUUUUGUGCAGCAAAAGUAAUAUAUUCAAAAUUAAUAUAUUUUUAAUAUUUUUAAACCAUUUUAAUAUAUUAAUAUAAAUUUUUUUUUAAAAAAUAUUAUUUUAAUAUAUUUUUAAAUAAAAAAAACCACAUUUUCAAAUAUAUCCUGAUUUAUUUAAAGUGGAUUGGUUACUUUUUUACAGGAAAGGCUGUGGACAGUUAAGUCCUUUCCAAACUCCAGACCAAACAUAUCAGUCCUAGAUAUCUUAAAUUUCUUAAUCAUAUCUUGAAUUCAAGGCAUAUUUCAUAUAAAUAGAAAACAUAAUUAUAUUAUUGUCACAGCCAUUGUUAGAUCAUCUUGUUUUUAUAGGUACCUCGGUAAUUUUUACACCAGCACUCUAUUCUUAGUGUAAUAGUUUAGUUAAACAAAGACUUAUGAAGAUUAUUUUUAAUAUAUUUUAGUUGUUUUGUAUAUUAUUAAGGUAGUGUCUAUAAGUGUUAUUGUUUUUUAAAGUAUUUUUAACUUGAAAAUACAUAAAAAUAAUAUUUUAAAAAAAUUAUUUUUAAUAUCAACAAAUUAAAAUGAUUUUAAAAUAAAAAAUAAUUUAAAACAAAAUAUUUUUUUAAAAAUCACAAAACACGGUGUCAACCACAAAAACAAACAACUCCUGAAAGCAUAGACAUAUGUUUUUUUUUAAUAUAUAAAACCAUAUUAAAUGUUAAUUAUAUAUUUGCUAAUGUUUCUUCUUUGUUAUUAAUGUAAUUGAGUAGUUUUUUUUAACAGAUCACUAUGUGAAUAAUUCAUUUAAAACUCGAUAAAAAAAAGAUAUAAUUUCAAUACAUAAGAAUUUAUUAAAUAAAUAUUCUAAUUAUCAAAAAAAUAAUUAGAUUCUCAGUAUUUAUAAUCUAAGCAAAUAUCUUACUGGUCUAUUUUCCAUCAAUCUUGAUAUAUUACCAGCUCUCAACUUUCUUUUUGCAAAUUAACUAUUCAAAUAUCUACCAAAUUUUAACAGAAUUUUUUUUUAAAAAUUCAAUAUUUUCGAACAAUUCUUUUUCUCAAUCGAAUAACAUGAGAUUUUUGUAAGAAAUUACUUGGAGUUGAUGCCUCUAACAAGAGAAACUUGGACAAAUACAUGGUGCUCUUAGAGGGACUUGAUCAGAAAUUUCUUUAAUUCUAGAGAUCUAAUUGACUUUUAUUGUCUUCCUAAAUGAGACUUUUUGAAUCUUUGAGGGACUAACUUGGAGUUUACUCUUGAAAAGUUUCUAAAGCGAAGCACAUUGCUCACAAGUGAAGUGUGACUUGUGAGUGAGCUAGGGUUUAUAUCGCAGGGUUUAGCAAUACCCCUCCGCAUUCCACUAGCCAUUAUCCUCUCUCUCACUCUCCCCCUCCUUCACUCUCUCAUUCAGCGAACAGCACAAAAUCAUGGCAAGUAACGACCAAACAGAACUCAACAAAGCUGAGAAAUCAGUUAUCGAGCAAGAAUCCGAUUCAGAAUUCGAAGAAGAAAACGAAGACUGGGACGAUUGGGGAGAAGACGACGACAAUGACGGUGGAGAAAACGACAAGCCUUUCAUGUGUUUGUUUCUUGAUUCACAGUUCAGUUCUUGCAGUGAGUUGUUCGAGCACUGUCGUUUGGCUCACAAGUUUGAUUUUGAUGGGAUAAGGAAGGAACUGGGCUUGGAUUUCUACGGUUCGUUUAAGCUAAUCAACUAUGUCAGGUCUCAGGUUAGUUGGUUUUGUUUGACGGGUUUUGAUUUUUGAGUUUGGUUUUGAUCUGGGUUUUGUUUUGUUUGCUUUGUUGUUGAGAAAAUAGGGGGAAAUGACAGGGAGUGAAUGUUUAAAAAGUUAGAAUCUUUAGGCUGAGUUCUUGUAGUUUUUCUAGGAAUUUGAGUGUUAACGUUGGUUUUGAUAUGGAUUCUGUUUGUUGCCGAGGAAUUGUAUAGAAUGGAAAGAAAAAUUAUUGUCUUUUGGUUUAUUUUUUAUAGUUUCCGUGUAGCCUAGUGUAUAAUUUAUUUCAAUUCGAGCUGUAUAGUAAUCUCUAUGCCUUCUGUUGUGGUUACUGGGAUAAAUAACUGGAAAAUGAAUUCAUUGUUUAUAAAAUAAAAGUUAUCAGUGGAUCAUAUUUUAUAUUUUUAUGUGGUGUUACGCUUUUAUCACAUUGAAAAGCUUCUACAAUACUAAUUAAAUUCUAAUAUCUUUGCCCGUGUUUAGCAAUGAUUUUAACUCAAUGCCUUGUAGUUAAAUACUACGAGGUUAAGUUUAACUAGUGCAGUUUUUUCAAGAAUUUAAAUGCAAAUUCGCAAGGUAAAACAACUUAUGGCUGGCUGGAAGGUAGUAAAUUUAUAUACUGUGUGAUGUUUUCAUUUACCAGGUGGCAGAAAAUAGAUGUUGGAGUUGUGGGCUUGCCUGUCAAUCCCACCAAGAUAUACAGAAUCAUGUACAUGAAACAGUAAAGUUGAAAGACAUUAAGCCUUUGUGGGAUGAUGAUAAAUAUUUGAAACCUUUCAUGCAAGAUGAUCCGCUACUGUACAGUUUCAAUGAAGAUGAAGAAGGUGAAGAUAAUCAUAUGACGCUGGAUGACCAAGAGGAGCUAAUGAGGGAUUUGAGGAAUAUUGAUGAGAUGUGCAUUGAAGAUACCGACACGCUAGAAAAAUCUGCUCAUGGCUAUGGAGUAAAUGGAGCAAAAGAGGUUGCUUCUACUUCCAGCAGCCAUGAGAACGUGGGAAAUUCUUCAAAGAUGGAAAUGGUUAACGGAGAUUCUGAAGAACGUGUUGGUUCGUCAGAUGGAAAGCCAUCGGAUAAGCAUUCAAAAGUUUCUCUUAUGAAUCUUGUUGAUAAGGAUAUCAAGAAAGCCAAUGCAAAUUAUUUUGGGGCUUACAGUUCAUUUGGUAUACAUAGAGAGAUGAUAAGCGAUAAGGUAUUGAGCCUUUAAUUGUGUUAUUUCAUGCCGGGGGUUGGUUGGCUUGAAAUGUGCAAGUUGAUUGGGGGUUCUGAGUAUCACUAUUUUGCAUGAAGACACUUAUAUUCUUGUUAUGCAGGUUAGGAUGGAUGCUUAUAGUCAAGCUAUCUUGAAAAACCCUUCUCUCAUGACUGGUGCAGUUGUGAUGGAUGUAGGUUGUGGAACUGGCAUAUUAAGGUGAGGUGGCAGUGGCAAUGUGGUUCUUGUUUCUAUGCUCUUAUUCAUCUUAUUUUGUUCGCACCUUUCGUUUAUUUUAGAGACAUUUGUUAAAGCUAGUCUUGACCAUCGAUAAAAUCUUGAAACUCAAUGCUUCACUUCUUAUAUUGCAUGAGUUUUUGGGAUAGAUGUAUAUGCUGUUAUGCACGUGCAUAUUGCAAAUUUCUUUUAUACUUUUCUUUUUUCUGAUAUUGCUAAAAUUCCUUAAUUCCACCUUGCUCUGAUUUCUAACAUGUCUCAAUGUUAUCUCUACCUAUUUCCUGAGAUGAUUUAUUACAUUAUGCUUCAGAGAAGUCCUUUGGCAACAUCACAGACUUCUCCUAGCACCUCCUUAAACAAAAUUAACAAAAUGAAAGGGCUUAAUACAUUAAAAUGCUGCUUUGGCUUAAUACUGCAUGCUUUGGUCUUUAAUGUUUUCUGGCUAGCUUUUCCAGUGAAGUGGCUUUGGCCUUUGAGAUGUUAGUGAACUUAGCUAGUGGUACCAGAAUUGUUGGAUUGAAUCCAAUCUCCCGUAGGGAUUGGGAGUUUAAAGCAUGAAACCCCUGCACUUUAUAGGAUUUUUUCGGCCAUGGACUGGUCUAUCCAGCACUUGCAAAACCACCCCAUAUCUGAUUUCACCAGCACCCUGAAAAGAGUAGAAGAAGCUACCCUUGUUUGGCUUGCCAGAAAAUAUCUGACCAUGUGGGUGGCUACUAUGCAAUGUUUGUGUAUGCUUGCUUAUACAUGAAUGAUUGGAACAGAACACCCUUGUAUUCAAUGAUUUUUUUAAACAUUUCAGAGUACAUCAGGAUCUUACUUGAAAUUCUUUUCUUUUCUUUUUUUACAGUCUCUUUGCUGCCAAAACAGGGGCUUCAAGAGUAAUUGCAAUUGAAGCCAGUGAGAAGAUGGCUUCUGUGGCAACUCAGGUAUGUUUUUCCGUUGUUUAAUUUAGUUCAUUCCUUCAUUACCUCUAGUAGUUCUUUGCUUCUCAUUUCUUUGGUAUGCAUAAUUAUAGAUUGCAAAAGAAAAUGGCCUUUGGCGGUGCACUGAAGGCAAUAACCAGUAUACUGGAGUGAUGGAGGUAGUUCAAGGUAUGGUUGAAGAGAUUGAUAAAUCCAUACAAAUUAAACCGCACAGUGUCGAUGUAUUGUUGAGUGAGUGGAUGGGGUACUGCCUACUUUAUGAGACAAUGCUGAGCUCAGUGCUGUUUGCCAGAGAUAAAUGGUUGAAGCCUGGGGGUGCCAUCCUCCCUGACACAGCGAGUAUUGUGAGUUCUUAAAUCUUUUUUUCCCUCAACUGCUCGUCAGAUGUUGAUUAGGGGUUUAUAGUCCGAACUCAUUUUCAUCUCCUUGACUGACUUCUUCAGUAUGCUGCUGGAUUUGGAAAAGGUGGCACUAGUCUUCCAUUCUGGGAAGAGGUGUAUGGUUUCAAUAUGUCUUGUGUUGGCAAGGAACUUGUUCAGGAUGCUGCUAAAUUUCCUAUUGUUGAUGUUGUGGAUGAGAAGGAUUUGGUGACUGAUGCUGUGCUUCUCCAGGUUAGUUAUAUACUUAAUAUUUCUACAGUUGCUUAUCUUGAUCUGUGACUUAGUGUAUGUGAUUCUCAAUAUUGCAUUGCCAGGGAUGAAGCCAUCUUUGCAAACAGCUUUAAGGUUUUUUAUACCUGUGAAUUUUUAGGUUAGAAAAUACAGAUCUCCUGCUUGUCCUUAUCGGAAGGUCAUGAUGAUGAGGACUCAAUAAUCAGCAAUUGUAGCUAAUGGAUGAUAGCCAAAUGAUUCAUUCUAAAAAUUCUUGAAUCUGGUGUUGGUUUUGUUGAACUUUUCUGAACCUUUGUUUUGUAUUCAAGUCACAAAACAUCCCAAAAAGUUGUCUUUUUCCUCAGUUUCUUAAAUUAAUGGCACUUUAUACAUGGUUGAACAUAUUUUGAAUCUUCAGAACUUUAUGAAUUUGGAAAGAUGCCUGCACUCCAAUUUUUCAAGUUGUCUGAUCCUUUCCAAGGAUAGUUCUGUAAUUACUUUGGAGCUUGUCGCCCAUAUUUAUGUUGCAUACUGUGUUUUGGUACAAUGAUUGCAUAAUGACUUGUCUUCUUCUUCAGACUUUUGACUUGGCAACCAUGAAGCCCGAUGAAGUGGAUUUCACUGCAAGCAUUGAGUUGGAACCAAAGUCGAUCUGUCUGGCAAACAACUCCACUGAAUUGACAUCUAAAACAACCUGGUGUUAUGGUGUUGUGUUGUGGUUUGAUACUGGUUUUACCCCAAGGUUCUGCAAAGAAACUCCAUCUGUUUUGUCUACAUCACCAUAUACUCCAAAAACACAUUGGUCCCAAACAAUUUUCACCUUCCUUGAGCCAAUAGCAAUGGCACCAGGAAAACCCUAUGUUGACAAAUCCGCAGCUGUUGGCACAGAUGCAUGUCCUGCCUCAAGAAUUCAUCUACGCAUCAGCAUUGCCCGUGCUGUCGAACACCACCGCAGCAUUGACAUUUCAAUUGAAACUUCUGGAGUUGACCUUGAUGGACGGAAACGCUGUUGGCCAGUGCAGAUAUUCAAUCUAUCUUAAGAGCAACUUCAGUGGAUCAAAUUUUAUAUAACACUAUCUAGCAAAUCAUUAGCUAGCAUGUCAUGGCCAAUGUGGAUCAGUUUUGUUUCAUCUGAUCUGUUGUCCUGCGAAGAAAUUUUGUGAUGCCUAUCGCAAGUGCCAUUAUGUCAAUUGGCUCUAGUUUUUUGUCAAGUAUCCUUUGCAGAAUAUUAGCUGUUAAAUUUAUUUUGUUGUUUCAUCCAAUGUAUGAAAUGCUUUUUGCCAUUCAACUAUGCCCCCCACCGGUCUCUAACACAGCUACAUAGCUAUCAAACCUGGCUUGACUGAGGCUUGAUUCCAAUCGUGUUGACAAUUGACUUGUGAUCUCAAGCAACCUGGCAAGGUUUGAACUUACCUGGCUAGACCAGAUUCAGGCAUGAUCUAGUUUUAUUUUAAUUUUUUUUUUAUGUAAAAUGAUAUAUUUUAAUUUUUUUUCUUAGAAUGAUUUCAUUUUAGUUUUUUUUUAAGAAAAAUAAAACCGAAACAAUGUUGUUUUGAGAUUGGUCCAUGGAAUGCCUUCUUAUGCAAACAAAACCCUAAUUCUAAGCAGAAAUCUCAAGAGUAAAGUGAAUGUUGUUACAAAUGCUAGUGAUUCAUUCACCUGAACCUGCACUUUUACAAUAUCCCCGUCUAUUAUCUUUGAUAGUAGGUGCAUUGGUGGAAGUCAAAAUUCAUCAGCCAUUCUUGUUUUCUUAUGCCAUGUUAUCAUUUUUGCUAAUAGCAAUAUUUUUAUGCCUCACAGCUCGAGAAUGGUCAGUUGCUCACAAUUCCUCCCUAUCUAGUGAAAAUACAAAGACAUCAUCUCCAUCAUUUGGAACAGUAUGGGGCUGACCUGAUACUUGGAUGCAAGCUUGGGUUCGUUUGGGUUGGUGAACAUGUCAAGGCCAUGGACAGUACUACUAUAGAGGAUCAACUAAACAAUACCGAACAACAACUCAUCAAAUACAAGACAACUUCCAAAGACAUGCUGCAAGAGCCGAGGCAGAGCAGAUGUCGGAUAGCAAAUGCUAUCCAUGUCUUGUCAUCUUUAGGGUUUAGUCUAACUUUAGAAGUGAUAAUGGAGACUAUCGACCUGAGCAGCGCACUAAAUCUUGGAAUAGAUGAGAUGCUAAGGUCAAAGUUACAUGUUUUGGAUGCAGAGAGAGAAGCUGAAUGGCGCAAUUCGAUGACAAAAUGAUGUUUAACAAUGAAACAAAAGAAUUAAAGCAAGAAAGAAAGAAGAAAAAAGUUAAAAAUUAAAAAAAAAGAAAAAAAAAUGAGGAUUAUGAAAUAUGCAAUUUUGUAAUUUUUAUUUAAUUUAUCAAAACUAUCUCACAAAAUAAAAUAAAAUAUAUAAAUAAUAUAACCUUAAAACAUCUUAUUAUCAGGCUCAGCUCAUUAAUUUAAAUUAUUUAACAUAAAUAAUUCAAAUAAAUAAAAUAAAUAAUAAAAUAAACUCAAAUGAGUUUAGUCUCUCAAUCAAAAAAAAUAACAGGCUUUAUAUCGUUUCUAAUUAUAUACUACAAAAUAAAAGGGAUGACGCUAGCUAUCAUUGGAAACCCAAGUUUCCCUAGAGUUAUCUUUUUCAUGGACUUCGAGAAUUAGGAUGGAUUGUGCUGUAGAGAAAGAUGAUUUGUACAGUUAACAAAAUCGUUGCUCAGAACCAGAACAUUUCAUCCUUGUCAAUCUUGAUCUUUCAUGUUUGUUUCAUUGAUACAUUAUAUUUGAAAUACCUCACAUCAAUUAUAUCAUUUUUUUAGCAUGCUAGUAGCCUGCCAUAAUCAGAAACUGAAGGUUCCGGAUAAAAAUAUAUCACAGCUAGAUGAUGCUACAAAUAUUAUGUUGGUGAUUUAGGAGUUUUUUUUAUGAAGCAGGACUAGAUAAAAAAAAAAAAAAUCUGGUCACUCCAAACUAGCCUCAUCUAAAAUAUAAUUUUGAUUCGAUUAUGGGAUUAUAUUUAAAAUUUCUCAAGCCUAUUUUAACAAAGAAUCACUUUUUCAAUCCAUUCAUAGUUCAUAUUUCUUUAAAUUAGGCCCUGUAGAUGUUGUUCGAUUCAAUUUUAUUAUUUUUUCUUGAUUUUUUUAGAUUUUGUUUUGUUUUUUUUAGAUUUUGUUUUGUUAUUUUUGGAUUUUAAGCUAUCUUUCCUCAAUAUUGUAAGAUUCUGAUUUUUCCUACUGUGUUUUUAUAUAUAUAUAUAUAUAUAGACCUGUAAACCUCUUAGAAAUAUAAACUUAUCACAUUAUUAUUUCAGAAAUAAAAUAAGAUUUUAGAAUUCCAGCCUAUAUUUUUUUUCCAGUUCUGUUUUUCUAUACUUGCUUCUAUCUUUGUUAUGCUUCAACCUGCAUCAAAUAACCUAAUCUAGAAAAUGCAGGGGAGAGUAUAAAAUGUCUGUUGGUAGAGUGUACUGAUUCACCUUUCAGUCUUGUAAUUCCAGCCUGGAAGAAUUUGAUACGGUUACACAGCUAGUUAGGAAAUUGAACUUGUCUUGAUUUGCAACGAAUCUUUAUAUAUAUAUAUACAAUUUUCUUUUAAUAGUAGAUAUUACAAAAAAUAGAUAACACUAACGAAAGGGUUUGGUUCAAAGACUGUUGAUGGAUCUGCAUGGCAAAGGCGUUGGCAUGUGUUCAAGCAAAACAGCAUGGAAGGAUUGGCAGAAGAGAUGCAGUUUCAAGCAGAGGAAACACUGGCUAUGCUAAGGACAAAAAUGAGUUGCUGCAAACAAAAAGGUGUGCAAGGAGACAUGCUAAGGAGGACUGGCAGCACAUAAAGGCCCGUCUGUUAAAUAGAGGUGGCAUGUGUUCAAACUCGAGGAACUGUUGAGAGUUAACUUUCUUGCAUCAGUGGAUGGUUCUAGUGAUAGUACUAAAUUGAGAGCUUCACAUAAACAGUGUGUAGAACUAAAUUGCCUUUUGCUAGCUGAAAAUUCUAUCAUGAGAUCUUCUGCGAAUUCCAACUCCCAAGUAGUCCAAGCCGAACAGAAUGAAUGAUGUCCCUAACAAGAUCUUCCUCAACAGCAGCUGUUGCGCCAUGGUUGCUGCAUUUCUUUCAGUUACGGGAUAGUUAGGCUGAGUUCCAUUCUUAAAUUCCUUUCUUUACAUAAGUAGAAGUUUGCAAUGAGCUCAAAAUUAUGCUGUAGGUAGAAGGCACUGAAUUCUAGGCAAAGAGUUUCUGUCCUCAGCAUCUCUGGAAUUCCUCAAGCCAAAAAACAAACUACGUAGCUUCUCAACCGCCUUAAGAUAUGGAUAGAAGUGCAGAAAUGGGAAGUGGCGUAAGAGUCAUAGAGAAUCCAAUGAAACUGCAACACCCACCACAUCCUUCCAAUUCAAUGAAACAGAGCAUGGGAGACAACAUAAUUUAACCUACGAGAAACUUAAAUAACAAUGAACUUAACUGAACCAGUUCGAGAGAAACAACUACUGAAGUUAGCAGUGCCAAAAUCUACAACGCCAUAUUUGAACAAUUUAACCAUCUGUUCGAUAAAAUAGAUUGCAAGGUUAAAGAGUGAGAAUGCACACACAAACAUGCACAAACAAACCCUAGCCGUCUAGGUGGCUAGGAUUAUUACCUCGGGACUAAACAAUUCACUAAAUUACUGAAAGAUCUACCAGUACAAAAACUUGAAUAUCUGGGCACCAAGAACUCAAAAGUUUAGGUAGAAAACGAAGCAUAACAAUAAAAUAAUUUUACCCGUGCUACCCGUGCUAAUUAUUUCUAUAAAGAGAACCGAUUUUAUGAGGCUAUUAAUUUGUCAUCAUAUAUGGACACCAAAUGAACUACAGUGGUGGUUCCUCUUCAGCAUUAAUCUUCGACAUUCAACUACGAUUCAUAUGGCAGGAACUUGGUUAAUGAUGCCUGACUCCUAGUCUCAUUUGCUAAUUGCGCACCAUACACACACAACAAGAGGAAUACCAGAAAACAUUUUGCGGAAAGAAUGCAGAUUGAGACUUUUAAAUCGGUGUUGAUUUCAAUCAUCAAGGAGCCAAAUAAUGGCAUCUGAUCAAGGCUAUCAAAAGAGUGAUGGGCAGAGGUGCAUCUAACCAGAGUGUCUAAACUCUGAUGUAUUUUAUCACACUCCUGCCAAAUUGUUGCAAUGAAUGAUGACUUUUUUAUUCAAAAUUAAAUUCAUAACUGCCUUACUCCAAAAAAAAAAAAAAAUACCAAAGUAUUUGCUUAACAACACAGGGAAAAAUGACAAAAGCUAGGAUUCUACUUGAAGUCACUAUAUCCUCCCAACAGAGGAAACUUGGCCAAGGUUUUCCUAGAAUCAUGGAAUAGUUUGGCUACACUAAUAAAACACAUAGCCAGGAUUGGCACAUAUAAAAUGUAAUCAUUGGUUGCACAAUUUGAAAAUACAGCCACGGUAAAAUAAGCGAAGAACAAAUACCUCUUAAUUCAGGAGCAAAGGAAAAUCAAUUUAGACAACCGGUACAUAUUAUUACAAUGCAUUGCAGAAGUAAACUUAGUCUGCCAUCAAGAUUCCAUCUUUUUUGCCUUGCUGAUACCACCAUAUAUUUCCAAUAAACCUGUCACCUUGUCUGCAUAUUUAGUAACAUACUUUUCAAGGAAAUCUCUAUCACUAAUGCGGGUUACUGCCCGCACAAUCUUCUCAUCUUCUUUAACCAGCUUCUUUGACACCAAAACCUUCAAAACAUUAUGCCUGGGACGAAGCCUUCUAUCAACCGAAUAUGACAAAUACUCGGGACAUGUAAUUAUAGCUUGUGGUUCUAACUUUAAAGUAUUCACAAAGAAAUCCAACGAUUUUCUGAUUUUCUCCUCUGAGCAUGCUAAUAGAUAAGGGUAUCGUUUAAAAGCCACAAUAAUCUCCUCUUCACUCCAUCCAAGGCUCUUCAUAACCUCAAUUUUCUUCCUCCAAUUCGACUUACUUAUGGAUAACAUUACCUUAGCAGCAUGUAGAAACACAGGAGUCUUGGGUUCAACACCCAAAUUCUUCAAAGCAUUCACUGCAUAAACCAUCCUAUCAUGCUUAACCAGUAUCACUCUUGCAUGCAAACUUAGUAGUUUUGCAACCCUAUCAACAUGCAUUCCCUCUUUUAUCAACAACUCAAUAUUUGGCUGCACAGCACCCUUGAAACUAAAAGACAUUAAAAAAGGCGCACGCUUUAAGGCAACUACAAUUCUGUCAGGACUGCCCAGAAAUAACUUGAGAAGCUCAAAACAUGGUUUAAGAUGAGAAUCUACAGCCGCUGACAAAAUAUUCGGAUCGGAGGCGAUAAGCUGAGGCAGAAGCUUACCCGUGAAACCAUUUUUAACGAAGAAGUCGAAUUUGGGCUUCAAAGUGUCGUCUACUCCGCUAUGGAGGAUUUUGGGUCGCUUUUCAAUUAAUUGGGCGAUGUGGGAAUCGUCAAAUCCGUGAGAUUUCAAGAAGAGGAGCACAGAUUGUGGUUUUUGGAGCUUAUUUUGUUGGAGGUGGAGCUUGUGGGAAACUGAAAGGGCAGAUUUUGAGGAAAGCCCACAUGAAUUCAUGAGGAAAUGAACAUCAAAUGAUGAUGAAGAUGAAGCAUUGGUGUUGGUGGUGGUCCUGGUGGGUGGAAGUAGAGCAUCAGCAGAUGAUGUUUGGAGACAUCGUUUUUGUAUAAGAGAAAGCAGCAGCUGCAGGUUUUUCUUUCUAGCGGCCAUUACUUUUUCCAAAGAACAAAAAAUGUCUCUUAAAGAAAAUGACAGACAAAGAAAGAAGGAAAACUGACUGGAGACUGAGGUGAUUAUCGCAGGUUUUAGGGUUCAGGGAAGAAAGGAGCAAAGCAGUUCGGCCCGAUUCAUGACCUAGCUUUAAACCUGAAUUAUAGAUUAAACGGCUAAAUAAAUUUAAAAUCACAUCGUUUUAUUUUUUAAAAUAAUAAAAACAAUUUUGUUUUUAAUUUUUUUAAAAGUUAAAUUAAAUUUUCACCGGAUAACCAUGUUUAAUUAGAAAAACUCUCACUUAUUUUUUUUUAAAAUCCAAUCCAUACUAGAUCUCUAUUCAAUUGGAUAGACUAACCCUAGAUUAAAAAAAGAAGAUACAGCUCACAAUAUACUUCAAAAUUUUCAUAUAAAUAUCAAUUUUACACUCAAAUUAUUUUAUACAUUAAUUUUAUUCUUAACUAUUUUGAUUUUUUUAAUUAAAAACUUAUGUUAAAUCGCUCAAUUAAAACAUUAAAUUCCUUACGAAUAGCGAUGUCUAUUGUAUAUAUAAAAAAGCAUGACAUGGAUAGAUUGAAAGAUUAAGAAUAAAUGGAAAAUUUUAAUUAAGAACUUAUAAAAGUUCGAAAAUAAAAUUAAUAAAAAAUUAUUGAAUGACAAAAUUGAAGUCGAAUUUAAACCUUUUGGUGCUAGAAAACAUAAAUGACAAUGCUCCUUCAUGAUGUCCGAGGAAAAAAAAUGGAUUGGUUCAAAGGAUAUUAUUUGAAAAAAAAAGGAAAAAAAAUUAACAUAAAUUUAAUCUAAAUUAAUUCAAAAUAAUAUUAUUUUAAAUAUUUUAAAAAAUUUAAAAGAUAUUAUUUUAAAUUUUUUUAUAUAAAAAGUCAUGAUGAUUUAGAUUUUAUUAGAUCAAUUUCCAACUAGUUUUUAAUUAAUUCGAGUUAAUAUUAAUCAAAUUGGAUUUAAUAACACUGUUUUCGGCUCAUCUUGUGAAUUGGGUCUUGAGUAACAAUUCGAGAUACUAAAUCUUGAACCCAGAUUUCUAUGUGGGCUGGGGCUUUACAAUAUGCUAUUAAGAAUUACCGAGUUAGAGGUCCUGUCUGCCUAACCGUUACUAACAGCCAAAGAUUCUUCCCGCCAAGACCCUCUCUAUAAAGAUUAACCAACCUUGACCAUCCAUCAUUCUGAGAUAUCUGCUUUCUUUCUCUCUUCCUUGCUCUUUCAAGAAAAUUUGUACUAGUUUCUUUAUUUCAUCUUCUGUGCUUCAAGCAUGGAUGGAAAUAACAAUGUAAGAGGUUAUUCUGAUCGAGAUCCCACCCUUCUCAUGGAAAGAGGAUCACUAUUCUUCUCUCAAGGCUGCUAUGCUGAUGCUGCUAAUUGCUUCAGGCAUGCUCGUGAUGCCAGGUAAAGUUUCUUUUCUCUGUUCUUAUUCUUUAGGUUUCUUCAUGCCUUUUUGAGUUAUUUUAUGUAUUUAGUAUAUCUGCUUUCUUAGUUGUAGUAUUUGUUUUCUUGUUGUUUGUUUCCUGAGAAAGUGGGUGCUGCGUGUGAGAUUCUGAGUCUUUUGGGUUCUUGUCCUUUAAGUUUUCAACUCACCAAAAUUUCUUGUAUUGGUUAAAUUAACUAAGCUAUUAACGGGGCAAAAUUCUAUGUGAAUAGUCUGCUAUGUGCGAGCUCUUCUAUUUAUUGUUUAACCUUUCUUUAUUCAGCAUUCGAAUUCAUGGUCGAUCUUCUUUAAAAUGCGCCAUUAGCCGCUAUAGCCAUGGCCUUUCCUUGUUGUGUCAAGUUCCAGUUCCAGUUCCAGAAAAUGAUCCAAUGGCUCUUCUACCAAAGGAAGUCGAUUACUAUAAAAGUUCAGUACUUCCAUUUCCUAGUUCUGCUUUCGGGACAUAUAGAGGUCAGUUCUUGCCCUUAUAAAUAUCAUCUAAUUCUUACUUUAUCAUGAUCAAUGUAUUAAAAAGCACACACAUGUGUGCGCUUGCUUGCUUGCUUUAGUAUAAUCCGUUUUCUGGCUCUUAAAUUGAUCCAAGUUCAUGAUCUCUUAUUAUAGACUCUGGACAUCAAGUUUUAGUACUGCUCUCUCUGGUUAUAGCACCCACCAAUCUUUUUAAGUUUCUAUCAGAUUUUCAUUAGAGAGGUAGAUGCAGCAAAAGCCCUCUGUGUAUAAAAUUAAUGAAUUCUGAAGUAUUAGUUGAAUGUAAUUUGACAAAAAAGGAUGAAGAGUCCUUGCAUGUUCCAAAACUAUCAUAGAAUUUUGUUAGAAAGUGCAUGAUGUCUCAUCAGCUUACAUUUUGUGGCUCUUGAAGUUAAGUUAGGUAGAUUUUUCCAUUAAAAGAAUCAGCUUAACUCAUCUGGUUAUGUGAAAUUUGUCUGGAACAACUAACUCCUUAGGUUUAUGUUCUUGUUCAUGUUAAAAGGGGCAAUGGAGGAGAAUUACGUAAGAAUUCUAGAGGUUGCAAAGGGAGAACUAAAUCUUGCAUGGUCGCUUAUGGAAUAUCGAAUAGACAACUACUUACUGAAAGGAAACGUACUGUCUGCCCUGGGGGAGGUUGCACUCAGAAGAGGUUUGCGUUUGCUUCGUAAUAUCUUCUUUUCACGAGAAAACUUUUAUCUGCAAUAUGCUAAAGGAAUAUAUUAAUUAAAUCACACUUCCUGCUCUACAUUUUGAAGGGGAGUCAAACCCUCAGCGUUACUAUUUCGAAGCAUCGUCCAUUUUCGAUACUUGGCUUGGAGAAAACAAUAAGCGAGUAGCGGAUAUGUAUCCAUUGCCGGUUAAUUUGGUGUAGAAUCUCAUUGACAAUUACCUUAUGUGUUAUUGUUUUCAUCUAUAUCAAAUGUCACACCUACGUUCUAAUUGAUCACAUCCUUGCAUCAGAAUCUAGAUAUGUGAAACUAAUAAUCUGCCUGGAGGGUAGUGACGAGAGUAAAGCGCUUGCACAUGGUUGUAAGGCUUAUUUAAUAUAUGAUGCUCUACACAAGAAGCUAUUAUCUGAAAUAGAUUCGGUGACACGGACAGCAAAUCAGAGAAGAGGAUUAAGUUCUGUAACACGAACGGAUCCCUUUAUUCAGCUAAAGAACGAUGAAGCCACACACCUCCGUAAUAACUUACAAAUACUGGGUCACAAGGCAAGUUCUUAUGAGACACAUUCUCUAUUUGUACUCUUUACAAGACAAGUAAGCUGAAUCUUUUGUCUUUCUAUUUUUGAAGCUUCAACGUUUGGGUUUAGGCCCAUCCCUCUCACUACCCCAGGAAAGAACUCGGGUCACUCCAGCUGGUCACAGAUGCGCAAAAGAAAAAGUCGAAAUUAACACAAAUCUUGAACUCUGAGAAACAUUUUGAUAACUAAAAACUGAUCUGCCAAUUGAUUCUCUGAAACUUUCUUUGUUUGGUUAGAUGUGGAUACGGUUUCGUGGAAUCCCACCGUGAGCAAUGUCAGAUUUUUCACAUUUUUAGCCGUGGGAAUUCAACUGCCACCCAGAACUUUUAAUAAAUCUGUCCCUGCAUAAAUCCAUUGGUUUAUGGAAUUUAUAAUGUGCUGCUUCUUGCUCGGUGGAUAAUUUUCUCUUUGCUAAUUGGAAAAGGGAAAAAACAAAACUAUGAAAAUAGAUUGUGAUUGCAGAUAAAAAAAAAACAAAUUCAGGAAAAUUGUCAUCUGAAAUGAUCAGUGAAACAUCUCUGCUAAUUAAGACUUCAUCUCAAAGCAAUCACGAAAUGUAGGCUUUCUCUUGGCCUGUCGACCUUUGUUGCUGGGUAGGCUGGCUUGCUCAGCUUCUGUUGGAGACUUAUCUAGACAAGCGUGGGUCAUGUUGAUGGCCUCUAGUCGCUUCAUUUUUUAGGUACAUGGCUUCAUUUAUUUAGGGAUGAUAAUUUCACGUUAACCUAGUGGAAACCGACCCAAACCACCCCAAAUGAAUAGGAAUUUCAUAGCCCUGAUGGAAAAUAAAUAAAUAACCUCAAAGUUUUAAAAAAAUAAACGAAUAUAAAGCUACUUAUUAACUAAAUAAUUUUAAAUUAUAGCUUUUAUGUUCAGGUUUCGGGUUUGGGUCAAGUUCGAGUUAUAGAUAUAUAAUGGGUACCCCAAACCUGAUUGAGUCAGGUUCGGGAAUAAAAAACUCAUACCUGGUUAGAUUUGAGUCAAAUUUGGAUAGUUAUUUCAGAUUCAAGUUUAAAUAUGAAUAGUAUAAAACCUCAUUCAUUGCCUUACCUACAUUUAUUGUAAUCCUUUACUACAUCACUUUAUGAUUAGUUUAAUGGUGCAUAAAAUAAAUAAAUAAAAUCCUUAGUCAUUCGAGUCAUGCCUAAAUGGUUAGAAGCCUAAAUGUCCAAACACCUUUUAGGGAUGAUAGUUUAAUCAAAUAUUUUUGGACUUUAAUUGAGUAUCCCUACCCCGCACACAUAUUAAUGUGUUUUUGAGUUUCAAAAAGUCAAAGCAAAGAUUGCGCACCAAUCACUGAUGCACACUAUACGUUACCCCAAACCACUAACUAGUGUUCUUAACGCACACCAAAUUCUCUGUGCAGAGUAAGAACACCAAUCUCUUAACUAAUGGCACAACAAAGCACCAUAACCAAUAGCAAGUACCAAUAUUUUCAUCAAUAUAGUGUAUUAGCCAACAACUAACCUGCAACUCCACACACCAUGAGGUACAUGUAACUCCACUCAUUGUAAGAUAAGUUCAUAUUCAAGUUCAAGCCAUUGAAAUUCAUUUAAGAGAUUCACACCAGUUCAACAAUCACAUAUUCCCUACAUUUUUCAUUCUCCUUUUCUUUUUUGUAUAUUACUCCUAUAUUUACUGAUUUAAGAAGUGUUCUCUUUUCCGAUAAGGAACUUGUUUUUGUAGGAAAACUCAUGAAAAUCACCUUGUCAAUCCACUAGACAAGUAGCAAGUCUAGUCACUAAAGGCAUUGACCAAGUUCAUCAUUCCAUCAGCUUGUCAACUUGGUCAAGCCUAGUCACUCCACAACCCAAGAUUGCAACCCUUGAAAAGCCCAAUCUAACCUGAAGUUUUCAUGACAUCAUCAAUUCAUAACAACUUCUUAUCCCUAGAAAUGGCAAUGACUAGAUUAACUAAUGUAGCAAGCUUCUAGAAACGGAAGGUUCUCAAUAUGUAGGUGAUGAUUUGACAUUACUAUAUAAGAAUUUGAUCAAGACAAACUAUGUGAAUAGCCUGACAAAUGUUUUUUUUAUUGAUUAUUUGAAUAGGUUUGGACUCAAGAGAAGGUUUGAUCAUACCAGACCAGGUUAACAUCUUAAAACUACAAUAACUGGAUAUCCAACCAUUGGAUCAUGUUCAAAUUUUCCCAGAUGAUUUCAGAAGCACCUUCGAUAGUGAAAUUAUGUUGCUUAUCAUAUUGUCAGAUCUUUUAGAGUCAAAUUCUAGGCGUAAAUGCUCAUGUUUAGGUCAAUUUUGUUAUUUUUACUUGGUUUUUUUUUUGGAUUCUAUGUUUUAAUUUGAAUUUUUGUUUAAUUUUCUUUGUGCUUUUGAAUUUCUAAUUGUUUCUAAGUAGAUGUAGGGUUCUCUAGUCUAUUUAAAGAUCUUGUAAACCUAUUGAGAAGACAACCACCAUAUUUUUUAGAGAAUAAAACUGUGAAUUCAUGGUUCAUAUAUGCAAUUCUCUUUGCUUAUUAAAUCUUUUGUGUUUUUCAGUAGUUUUGUAUUGUUGUUAUCCUAUUUAACUUCCGUCUGCAUCAUUAAUAUUAUUUGAUGACAACUUUUUUUAAAAAUUAUUGGUAGAAGAUUCUGAGGGACAAUUCUUUAGACUAUAUAAAGUGCUAGAGAUAGGAUUAUGAUGUUUUAAUCAAUCGAGUAACUAACCUUCCAUAUCCCUCAUUCUUAACAUUCAACACAAGUCCUAUGAUCACUAUUUUAUGUUUAAUCUAGAAAUUAAGAUUCUGAGAAUUAUUUCAAUUCAAAUAAUUAAAUUAUUGGGUGAGUUCUUAAUAAUAAUUUUAUAUUACUAUGCUCUCCUCUUUUUAUUACUCUUUAACUAGUUUCUUUAUUUCAUUUUCUUUACUUCAAGAAUGGAUGAUAAUAGCAAUAAAGGGGGUUAUUCUGAUCAAGCUCUCACCCAUUUCAUGGCGCAAGGAUCGCUCUUCUCCAGUUAUGGCUACUAUGUUGAAGCUGCUAGUUGUUCGAGCAAGCUCGCGAAGCCUGGUUAAGUUUGCUUGCUUCGUGUUUCUUGUCGCUCUUUAGGCUUCAUUAUGGCUUUCUUGGAUCAAUUCUUUUUCAGUAUACUUUUAGGAACAUUAAUUUCCUGCAUAUAUUGAAUUUAAUCCAAGAUUUCAAUCUUGGGACAUAACUCUAUAAGAAUAAUCUUUCUUUAUUCAGAAUUCAACUAGCCAAUGCAUUUCUUUUUAAAAUAAGCUCCUGUGCUCUAUAAAUGUGCUCUUAUCAUCCCUGUCGAAUUACCAGUUCCGGAGGAUGAUCCCAUGACUCUUCUACCGAAGGAAGUUGAUUUUCUUUUCAAAAAUAUAUUCCAAACCAAGGGGUUGAAAACGAGUUCUGAAAAUAGAUACAAAAGCAGACGAGGCACAUGGCCAUGCUACAAGAUGGAAACUACUAAAUCAUGCGAGGUGAUCAAUUUUUGAUGUGAAAUUGGUGAUACAGACAAGAAAUAACAAGAGUCUCUGGAUGUGAAGAAAUCUGAUCAAAGCAAAGCCUUGAAACAAACCUCUGCAAUCCUUCUUCUAUAUAUCGAAAUUGCACUCCUUUCUCUCAACGUUGAAGCUAGCUAGAGCUGCAUGCUUUAUAAUCUAGCUGAGCAUCGACUGCUGGAAAUGGAGCAUGGCUAUGAUAAUUCAACGUUAUAUAAAAAUCAUCAUCGCAUCCAAAUGUUUGUUCUGUGCCAGUUGAUUCUGCUUAGUCGUGCCGCUACUGAUAGAUAUGGUUAAGCUAGACGGAUGUAGCUAGUAGCAAUAUAACAACGAAUCCAAGAUUUUUUUUUUUAAAAAAAACUUCAUAUUGAUAAAAAAAUAAUAAUAAUAAUUCUAAUUGAUCUAAUUAUUAAAGAAUUAAUUCAAUCUAAUAAGGUGAAAUUUUAAUGUAUAAUUUAUAUAAUUCUCAAGUAAACAGUAAAUUUACAUUUCUUGAUAACGCCGCUGGCCAGCUAUUAAGGAUUAUCAAGCUACUGUUCCUGCCUGCCUAACCGUUACUAACAGCCAAAGAUUCUUCCCGCCCAGAACCCUCUCUAUAACGACUAACCUUCCUUGCCCAUCCAUCAUACUGAGAUAUUCUGUGCUUCAAGCAUGGAUGGAAAUAACAAUGUAAGAGGUUAUUCUGAUCGAGAUCUCACCCGUCGCGUGGAGCUAGGAUCACUAUUCUUCACUCAAGGCAACUAUGCUGAUGCUGCUAGUUGCUUCAGGGAUGCUCGUGAUGCCAGGUAAGUUUUCUUUUCUUAAUUUGUGCUUCUCGUUACUCUUUAGGUUUCUUUAUGCCUUCCUUUAUAUUUAGCCCUUCUUUAUUCAGCAUUCAAAUUCAUGGUGAAUCUUCUUUAGAAUGCGCCAUUACCAGCUAUAGCCAUGGCCUUUCCUUGCUGUGUCAAGUUCCAGUUCCGGUAAAUGAUCCAAUGGCUUUUGUACCAAAGGAAGUCGAUUACUAUGAAGGUUCAGUGCUUCCAUUUCCUAGUAAAGCUUUCGGGACAUAUAUAGGUUAGUACUUGCCCUUGUAAACAUCAUUUAAUUCUUACCUUCUCAUGAUCAAUGUAUUAAAACACACACGCAUAAGUGCGCUUGCUUGCUUUAGUAAUCCGUUUUUCUGGUUCUUAAAAUAUUGAUCCAAGUUCAUGAUCCUUAUUAUAGACUCUAGACAUCAAGUUUUAGUACUGCUCUCUCUGGUUAUAGCAAUUUUUUAAGUUUCUAUCAGAUUUUCAUUAGAGAGGCGGAUGCAGAAAAAGCCCUCUGUGUAUAAAAUUAAUGAAUUCUGAAGUAUUAAUUUAAUGUAAUUUGACAGAAAAGGAUGAAGAGUCCUUGCAUGUUCCAAAACUAUCAUAGAAUUUUGUUAGAAAGUGCAUGAUGUCUCAUCAGUUUACAUUUUGUGGCUAUUGAAGUUCAGUUAGGUAGAUUUUUCCAUUAAAAGAAUCAGCAUAUAUAACUCAUCUGGUUAUGUCAAAUUUGUCUGGAAAAACUAACUCCUUAGGUUUAUGUUCUUGUUCAUGAUCAUAGGGGUGAUGGAGGAGAAUUACGUAAGAAUUCUAGAGGUUGCAAAGGGAGAACUAAAUCUUGCAUGGUCGCUUAUGGAAUAUCGAAUAGACAACUACUUACUGAAAGGAAACGUACUGUCUGCCCUGGGGGAGGUUGCAUUCAGAAGAGUUUUGCUUUUGCUUUCGCAUUAUCUUCUUUUCUGAUUUAAUCAAUAUGCUAAAGGAAUAUAUUGAUUAAAUCACACUUCCUGCUCUACAUUUUGAAGGGGAGUCAAUCCUCAGCGUUACUAUUUCGAAGCAUCGUCCAUUUUCGAUACUUGGCUUGGAGAAUACAGUAAGCGAGGAGCGGAUAUGUAUCCAUUGCCGGUUUGGUGUAUAAUCUCAUUGACAAUUACCUUGUGUGUUACCGUUUCCAUCUAUCUCAAAUGUCCCGCCUGCGUUCUAAUUGAUCACAUCCUUGCAUCAGAAUCUAGAUAUGUGAAACUAUUGAUCUGCCUGGAAGGUAGUGACGAGAGUAAAGCCCUUGCACAUGGUUAUAAGGCUUAUUUAAUAUAUGAUGCUCUACACAAGAAGCUAUUAUCUGAAAUAGAUUCGGAGACACGGACAGCAAAUCAGAGAAGAGGAUCAAGUUCUGUACUGACACAGACGGAUCCCUCUAUGCCGCAAAAUAACGGAGCUGGCAAUCAAGGCAAGUUCUUAUGAGAGACACAUUCUCUAUUUGUAUUGGUUACGUGACAAGUCAGCUGAAUCCCUUGUCUUUUCAUUUUUGAAGAUUCAACAGAAAGGCUCAUUCCUCUCACUAGUCCGGGAAAUAACUUCGGGCUCUCCUGCUGGUCGCAGAUGCGCAAGAGGAACAGUCGAAAUUAACACAAAUCUUGAACUCUGAGGAACAUAUUGAUGACUAAAAACUGACCCUCUAAUUGAUUGUCUGAAACUUGCUUUGUGUGGUUAGAUGUGGGUAUGGUUUCAUAGAAUCCCACUGUGAGCAAUGGCAGUUCAACCAUGGGAUUUCAACUGGUUAUGACAAAAUCGAUACAAUGCAGACGAGGUACAUGGCCAUGCUACAAGAUGCAAGGCGGAAACUAAAUCAUGCGAGGUGAUCAAUUUUGGAUGUGAAAUUGGUGAUACAAAGUACAAACAAGAAAGGACAAGAGUCCCUGGAUGUGAGGAUUUUGAUCGAAGCAAAGCCUUGGCACAAACCUCUGGAAUCCUUCCUCUAUCGAAAUUGCACUCCUUUCUCUCAACGUUGAAGCUAGAGCUGCUUUAUAAUCUAGUUGAGCAUCGAGUAGGCUAGAAAUGGAAGCAUGGCCAUGAUAAUCAAUGUUAUAAGAAAUCAUCAUCGCGUCCAAAACGUUAUAAAAAUAAAAAAUUAUCAUCGCCAUCCUCUUAUUUGGUUUUUAUUUCGCUUUGCAACUAGUUUUUCAAAAACUACAACUUGAUGUAAAGUAGAUUUUAAAAUUUAAUGAAAUGAAUAUAAUGCGAUUAGAAUGUAAUCAUGCUAUAAUUUAAAAAAAAUUAAUUGCAAAGUGAAAUAAAGAUAGUCAUAGUAAUUUAUAACAAAGUAUCCAUGACCUUUGCAUGGUGGCUUGAGACCUUAGUUCUUGUGACAUUAGAUAUGCAAGAGUCAUUGAAAUCUACAAAUAUACGCAUUUUCUCUCACGUAGAAAAAAUUUGAGGAUCAGAGCAUGCAUAAAUUUAGAAACAUAAAUUGGAAUGAACAUACAAAGAACCUAUUAUAGAGGAAAUCAGACCACAACAUGCUGUGCAUUGCAGAAGUAAAACUUGCAUCUUGGCCAUCAAGUUUCUAUCUUUUUUGCUUUACUAGCGCCUGAUAUAUAUCUGCAAUAAACCUGGUACUUUCGCUGCGUAUUUAUUCACAUAAUUCACCAAGAAUUUCUUCUUGCUGAUUGUUAGCAUGUUCUGUUUAUUUCAUUGUUGUUUGAGUCAGUAUUUGAAUUAGUCAGUAUUUGAAUUGGUCAGAGGAUAAGGGAUUAGCCAGAGUAUCCCUAGUCUUCAGCUUCCCACGUUUGUAGUUCCUAUUAUUAAGUUUAUCGUUGUAGGGAAUAGCCUAUUUAGGCCACUGUUCCGAAGACAGAAGGCAUGCAAUCAAUAAACAAGCACCUUUCUCUUUUAUUUCUUUCCUUCUCUAAAUUCUUCUUAUCAGACGCCCCAUAUAUAUCUGCAAUAAACCUGGUACUUUCGCUGCGUAUUUAUUCACAUAAUUCACCAAGAAUUUCUUCUUGCUGAUUGUUAGCAACCACCCAAUUCUCCUGGCCUCCUCAAUCAGCUUCUUGGAAGCCAAAACAUCAUACUUAGGACAAAGCCUUUUAGCAGUUGAAUACAUAAGAAACUUGGGAUUGAUAAUUAUGGUCUUCUAAAGCAUGCCAAUCCAAGUGGAAAUUGCUUAAAAGCUCCCACAAUCUCCUCUCCACCAAUUUAAACCAACAAGUCUAGCAUUUAUAAAGACAAGAGCUUUGGGUGAACGCCCGGAUCCUUAACACCAAUGACCGAGUAAAAUUCAUGCAAUAAUAACCAUGAAAAACGCUUGAUAGCUGCGAAAAUUCUCAAUAAAGGAGAGAAUCUUACCAUCAUUUUUCAAAAAUACAGGAUUUUGAUACGAUAAGGUAGAGGCAGAAGCUAACCCACAAAUCCAUUCGCGCUCGUGAUGAGGACCAAACAAAAUUGGGUUGAAAUCCAUGUGGGCUUCCCUUACAAUCUGCUCUAUCAAUUUGUUUGCCUUAAAAUCUAAUCUGGAUCUUCUGUGAAACUGAAAGAGUAGAUUGUAAGGGAAGUCCACUUGGAUUUCAUGAGCUGAUGAGGAGCCAUCAGCAGAUGAUGGUGAUGAAAAUGUAGAAGCAGCCAGCAGCCGACGACGACGACGACGACGAAGGUUUAUCGCAAACAAAUAAGUGGAGGAAACUAGAAAUAAGCUUCUGAGGUAGCCGUCUUACGAAGGGAUCCUCAAUUGGGCCAGACUUAAAAAUAAGAGGGCUGAGCUUAAGAUUCCUUUUCAAAAAAUACGUUGAAAUGAUAGAAAUGUGUUUGUUUGAAAUAUUGAUAAUUACUCGAGAAGUAUUAAAAAUUUCCUUCCAAACUAAAGAUAUAUUUUAUAUUUGUUUUUUAUUUAUAAUUUUGGUUUUUUCCUUCAAGAAAUAUGAUAAGUAUCUGAAAUUAAAAGAGGGAGCAAGAGUACAUUCUUGAACAUUUAGAUACCGUUUCUGGAUAUAAACAAUUAAAAUAAAAUAAAAAACUUGUUUCUUUUAUGUUUUGAAAUGAUAUAAAUUUAUGCCAAAUUAUUUUAGAGAUAUAUUUAUUUUUAUAUUAUUUUUUUUUAUAACCAAAUACAUUUUUAUCUUCUUUUUUUUGUCUUAUAAUGCUAUUUAAACAUAAUCUAACAAUUUAUUUGGAAUAUCAAUAUUUGACUUGUACCAGCCCGAUCCAAUUUAUCAUAUAUUAUUCGUUUUGAACCUUAGCAUCCUCAUGAUUUUGUUUCUGGUGAUGCAAGCCCACAUCUGAACCUGACGUUCCAAAACGCGUAUGACAAGUUAACAACUAACACUACUAAUAAAGCUCUGGCUCUAGACACUCGCUUCUGAUGUGGGAUAUCACACUAAUAUAAUUGAUUUCAAUUCUAUAUAUUUUUUGUUAUAUCUCACAUAAUUGAAUUCACAACUUCAAAAAUUGAAAGAGAUAGCCACUAUAAUAUUCUUAUCUCUAGAAUGCCUCCAACAGUCAUGAUGAAUAUUAAAUUGAUGACCGUAUCAUAGGUUAAGCCAAAUAUUUUUUUUUAUCUAAAAAAAAUAGUGUUUAAAUAAUGCUAGUGUUUUUAAAAAAGUCAAAAAAAUUUCAAGAUUUGAGCCAUUAACUCGACUAAAUUUAAUUAAUUUAGUUAAUUAAAUAAUAUGAUUAAAAAAUAAAUAAUAAAAAAUUUUGAACUAAACAAAAACAAAUA
rnacentral:lncRNA from 1 species